rnacentral:lncRNA from 1 species
AUAAUUUUUAUGAACUGUCCAAAUCCAAUGCAUUCUCCUGGCCUUGUAGAAACAGCUCCAUGCGUCAAGGACGGCACCUGCUCUUCCAAUUCUUCUCUGUCCAAUGGUUUAAGAAUGUUUUCUUAUUCCAUCUUUGGCUGGAAUGGCUCCAUAAGUUCAUUGGAUUUGGGGGAGUCCUGUGAAAUAACGCAGAUGCUUAUGGUCUCACCUUCGUUGUCUGUAGAAGACAUGCAUGAGCACUUGACGUCCUGUGAAGGCAUAUAAAGUGAAAUAGCGCAUGGCUUCGAGCUUUCAUGGUUUCACCAGGCUUGUAGCACCUCAAACUGCAUAGAGGGGAAUUGUGUGCUCAAUAACGUGAGCAAAAUUAAGUGCUUUCGCUAUGAACCCAUAAAAUAUGAACCCAGAAAAGGUAGUGUCUAUUAUUCCUCUUAUUCACAAGGCUAGAGUAACCAAAUUAAUUCAGCAAAUAAUUAGUCUUCAAUUACUGGGAGUCUGUCUGUCUAUGGAGAGUUAGGUUUUACAACUCUAGAAUAAAUUAGGUCAUAUAAAUAUUGACGAGAUGAAUGGGAUGGGAGAUAAACUUUUAUUUCUAUUAAGUACGUAUUCGAGGCUAAAUUUAUUAAGGAAGGAUCGCUACCUUUCUUUUUGUACUUUCUCUUUUGACCUUUUUACUUUAUUUUUUAAGAUCUUACAUAUUACUUGAUAAUCAAAACUGUUUAUUUUGUAUACCACUAUAAACUAAUACUGCAAAAUACCCCAUUAAUCAGAAUUUAGAAUUCAUUUCACUGUUCGAUUAACGAUGUCAUGAUUUUUUGUUUAACUAAAGCACAUGGUUCACCUUUUAUUGAAUUCAUAUAUUGUUAUUUUUUCUAUAUUUAGAAAAUAGGCAGUUUGGAAUACCGAGUAAUAUUGUAAGAUCUUACAAAAAAAUGGAAGGUAAUAAGUGAAAGUGCAAACAGAAGGGUAGCUAGCAUUCUCCUAUGAUAUUAAUUUUCACCCUUUUUUUCUCUUAAUAGGAAAAAUAAUAUAUAUGAUCCUUAAUGAUAAUUCUUCUUCUUUUGCAAAGCAGAACAUUGGUACAUCAAGAUCUUACAGUCCAUACUAUUGGCACUAGGCGAGUGGUUUACUCUCUUAACGCAGCUUCUAUUUAAUACAUGUGCAGUUAGUUUCUUUAUUUGUGGUCACCUUGAUAUUUAUUAAAAAAUUACAUUUGGAAAGUAUGAUCGAUAUUCAUCGCUUUACUGCAGGAACGGUUUUACCAGAUGUAUUUGUCCAUCCGCUAUGGUCAGUUUAUCCCUUGGGACGAGUUGAGUGUGGAGCAAAAAAUAUUCACAAGGCGACACAUGGAUUUUUGGAUAAAAGAGGACAAAAAUACCCUUGAGGCAUACCAGGAUUCCUACACACGAGCAGCGGGCAAUCAUCCGUUAACCAAGUCAAAAAUGCCCAAAGAAGGUAACAAAUAAAAGUUAUUUUAUCCAUAUACUCCACAAGGUAACCAUUCCAAAUAUUCCAUUUAAAUUAGAUUAAUUGGUGAAUUAAUGGAUUUAUUUCCUAAUUAAUCCUUUAAAUCACCAAUUCAAUGACUCAUUAUGCCAAUUAAUCCCCCAUUACAUAACCCAUUACCCAAAAAUCCCAAAUGGCCGGCCACCCUUAUUGAUUUCAUCAUAUUCACCUAUUUUAAUUAGCUAGUUAAUUUGGCAAUAAUUUUAUUUGCUAAAUUAAUUAGUCAAUUAUUUUCAUAACUCCUAAAUUCAACCUAAAUCAAGAACCCUAUUCCUAUAAAUAGGCUCUCAUUCUCACCAAAAAUCUAGGUCAUGACUCUUGCUAAAAUUCUCCAAAGCUCUCAAACACUUUUCUCUCAAAAUUCUAACUUUGGCAUCAGAGGUUCUUCGGCCAAAGCCCUCCCCAUUCAUCGUGGGCGUGUGAGGCUCUUGGCCUUGACCUAAGGUGUUAAUUAUUUUGUAGGUGCAAUUUUGUCCAAGAUCAAGGAGGAAGAAAUUUGCAUCCACAAAUUGGUGCUUUCAUUGAGAGUUGAGAUCCAUACUCGUAGAAGACUCUCGCAUAAAAGGUUUUUUCUCUAUUUUCUAGUCCAUUUGAAUAUUUUUCAUACGUUCUUAUUGUUAGAAUUUUUUAUUUGCAAAGGUUCUUUGAUAAAACGUAUAAGAAAAAUAUAAUGGCUAGAAAUUUAGAAAAUUCCACAAGUGAAAAUUCUAAUACUUAAGAAAUGGGACCGCGACGAUCCACGAGGCUAAAUGUGGUCAUAGGCGGAGUGGUACCACCACUACGAGGUUCCAUCAUGGCCCAAGCAGUGCCAUCCAAGCUUGCACAGGUCCGAGCCCAAGCCUUGCAUUCGUAUGCAUCACACUCUGAGCAGCCUGCUCCCGACGAGCAGUCCACUCUCGUUGUCCAACCUGCUCCCGACGAGCAGCCCACUCUCGUGGCCCAGCCUGCUCCUGCCAAGCAGCCCACUCUCGCGGCCCAGCCUGCUCUCGUGGCCCAACCUGCUCUCGCAGCCCAGCCCACUCCCACCGAGCAGUCUACUCUCGUGGCCCAGCCUGCUCCCGAUGAGCAGCCCACUCCCGUGGUCCAGCCUGCUCCCGUCGAGUAGCCCACUCUCGCAGCCCAGCCUACUCUCAUGGCCGAGCCUGCUCCCACGGCCCAGUUUGCUCCCGUGGCUUUCCAAGCAGCCCAAGUCGGCCCAAGACUAUCUCAACUAUUCGGACCUACCAUCGAGCCAGAGGCAUUCUCACCAUAUUUUUUCUCGGAUUUGACAUUUUCCAACUCAAAUCUCGCGCCCGGAGUCUACCGCAUUUCCACUGCCAAAUGAGGCACAUUUCUUCCAAGUUUUUCCAACCCAAAUGGAGAACAACACUUGUCUCGACAAGUCAUAGAGUUGACGAGCGCCCUUGCAUAGCAGAUGAACUUGGUGAACCAGCUCUUGUAGCACACCGAGAUGCAAUGUGCCCCAGAUGAGGUGUCCCGAAGUAGGACAAGGGCAGACAAAGAACCUCUCCAGCAGCGCCCCGGUAAGCAGCCACUCGACCAGCCACUAACCGAGUGUUCAGGCAGUGUACACUCCCGAUUGGGCCCCCGAGAUAGCGUAUACUCUCGUCUUAGAGCACGGAGGAGCGUGCACUCUCGACUAGGCCCACAGAUAAGCAUACAUUCACGGUUGAGGUCACACUCCGAUAGUCAACAUGAGCAGCCUUCCAAGAGAAGUGUUCAUUCGCGGCUAAGCCCGCAAUGAGCAUCAUCCACCUCACAUCGGAGUAGACAACAUGACGGACAGAGAAAAACAGUCACUCAAUAUGGCUCAAGUUCAACCAGCAACCUGCGAAGAACUCGUUCGCCUGCUAGGAACGCGCUACAUGCACCGCAUAUGCGGCAUAGAUGAGCCAAACACAUGGAAGAACAGCCUAGACCAGUAAGUCAUAAUUGGGGGCAGCCGAGAGUUUCGCUACCCCAACAAAGGUAAAUUCAGGAAGAAGUAGAGAGACUUUUGACCAAGCGAUUGCGCAAUUUCCAACGUAAUGAGGUCACCGAUGAGGCACUACGACGGAACAUGACCAACAUAAGCAGGUCACCCUUCACGGACUAGAUCGAGUAAGCAGAGCCUCCACGCGAGUUCAGCAUGCUACAUUUCACAUCUUUCAAAGGGGAUGAAGACCCGGAUAAACACUUAAAGCACUACCGAAGCGCAAUGAUCCUUUAUCGAAACAACGAUGAUCUCAUGUGUAAGAUAUCCACCACCACUCUACAAGGCGAGGUGCAAGAUUGGUUCUACACCUUGCCGCCACAAUCCAUCUGGAAUUUCGACGAAUUUUCUUUGGUUUUCACCAAAGAAUAUUCAUCCUAUCGCUCGAUCAAAAAGAAGUUCAAACAUUUGUUCGACGUCAAGAAGAACCCAAAGGAGUCGCUUCGCGACUAUGUGAGGAGGUUCAAAGCAGAGAAGACAAAAAUAGUCGGAUGCAACGACUCGAUAGCUAGAGCAGCCUUCCAAAAAGGACUUCCAGCAGACCACCUAUUGUUCGAAAAACUGAUAAUGAAAGAAGAUCUAGCUCUGGCAGACUCUUUCGCUUUGGCAGAAAAGCAUGCACUUUGGGACGAAGUUCGCUGAUGCCCAUUUAAGGCAAAUCCAAGCGAUCUUGAAUAUGAAGUUCCCCACUACUUGGAAGGAGAUUCAAACUCUGACUGGACGAGUAGUCACAUCUGAAGCAGAAAUAAGCUCUACCAUUAUACGAGAAGAGCUGGGGGCCCGACUACCUGUAUUCCAUAGUUUAAAAGCUCUUAUUGAUGUUAUCAGAAAUUCAAAAACUAACUUUGGCGAUAGUUGUUGCAACCCGGAAGCUCAAGUUUUACUUUCAAACGCAUGCAGUCAUCCUCAUGACAUAUUAUUCCACCCAAUCUAGACUCGCGACGAUAAAGACGUAGACCCUGGAGGAUGCAAAGUUUUCUAACGAACGCAACAACUCGGCUCAAAAGACAUGCCCAGGGUAGACGAACACUGGAAGGGCACACUCGGAAGCAAGUUUUGUCCUCGUCACCCUAAAAGAUUCUACAUAGGAGUAACAUGUACCGGCAGUUGAGUACCAUCUCCUGCUGCGCACCACACGGCCCUAGCCGACCCUUGCUCAAUGAUUCAACUCUAGAGUGGCCCAAUACUGGCAGUUGAGCAUCUCAUGUUGCGUGUGACAUGGCCCCAUCUCCACAACUCCCUACUGCGCCUUCACGCCGAGCCUAGGUGACGCAACAGAGCGGCCCAACGAUGCCCCAGAAGUAGCUGAGCACACUCUAGCCACGCCUACUCCACCCGAUGGAGACUUCUGGCAUUUGUAUGUUGACGGCGCAUCCAACUACAAAGGCUCGUAAGCAGCCAUGGCCCUUAUCACCCCAGGCGGUUUGAUGCCCGAGCAGGCAAUCAUUCUAGGUUUCAAAGCAUCCAACAACGAAGCAGAGUACGAAGCCCUACUAGCAGGCCUUUGAAUGACAAAAGACUUGGCGGUGAAAAAGUUUUCAAUUCAUUCUGAUUCCUAGCUAAUCACCAGCUAGACUACUGGGGGCAAAGGCAUGAUGAUCGCGGCAACCGACUACUUCACCAAAUAGGUAGAAGCAAAGCCCAUGACGACCACGAUUCAAACGGACAUAGAGCGCUUCAUAUGGAGGAACAUCAUUUAUCAAUUUGGCUUCCUUAAUCUAUCGUCACCGACAACGGCCCGCAAUUCGUGGGCAAAGAUUUGGCGAAGUUCUUCCAAAAAUAUGGCAUCAAGCAGCACAUGUCUACGCCAAAAUAUUCUCAAGGCAAUAGGCGGGCCAAAGUAUCCACCAAGAUGAUCCUCGACUGCCACAAGAAAUCCCCCACCAAUAAGAAAAGAAAAUGGCCAGACGAACUCCCUGGAUGUCCAUGGGCAUAUCGCACCACCAAAAGACGAGCAACCGAAAGAAGAUGGCCACAAGCUUAAAUCUGGCAGAGGAGAAAUGCGAGCAGACUAUCACCCGCCUCGCAGCUUACCAACAGCAACUCCUCCCCAGCUACAACAAAAGGGCUAUGAUCCGGCAGUUUCAACCCAAAGAUCUAGUCCUAAGAAAAGCCUUCAUCACUGCCCACAGAGAAGGCUUCAAAAAGAUGAAUCACAUCUGGGAAGGUCCGUACAAGAUCAGCAGAGUAGGCGGCAAGAGUAAUUACACCAUCGCCACCAUAAAACGGCAAAAAGAUCGAAAAACAAUGGAUGGCCUACAAUCUGAAGAAGUACCAUGUGUGACUUCUCGCUACAUCAAAACCCGAAGACUCAAGAAGCUCGAUGGGCACCACCUCAAAAGCCAAGGACUAUCCAGUUGUUAUGCAGUUCCUACCUUACAGCUAAGUUCUCGUUUGUUUCACUUGUUUUUUCAAUGAGGAAUUCAGAAGAAAUCACAACUUGGCUCGGCUGCAUGCUUACAACAACUGAUCACUCCUGCAUUUCAGAAGAAAACUACGCCCUACUUAGGGACUCAUCGCAGGAAUUGCGCCCCCCCCCCGAGAGACCAACCAUGCUCUCCAGUGCGAGAGAGUAAACUAAUUGCUCUCCAGUGCGAGAGGGUAAACUAAUUCCCCGACACCCGUAUGGGUCAGCUCUCUAAGAAGAGAGGAUAAAUUUUACACUCCGAAUAUCCAGACGUGGAUGAGCCUGGCUGCUUUAGUAUAACUAGAUGCACGAUGGCUUGCGUCGGGAUUCCUAGAAGUAGCCACAAUGGUCUUUUUCAAGGCUUAGCUAACUGAAAGAUUUUGGGUCUCUUGGCCUAAUCCGUGGGGAACCGGGCCCUAGAGACGGAGGGGGCACAUUACGCAGUACGCCCUACAAACGGCUGCCCUAGAACCCUAAAGCUGCUACCGAGUGCACUAAGAUAGCCUACGAUUUCCGGAAGACUACCUACGGCUUGCCCUUCGAGCAGUAAAAUCGCGUUAGACUUAUACAACCGCACAUUCUUGUGAAAGGUUAAACAAGCUAGCGUGCAUAUACGAAGCUUUAUCCACUGCCGACAUGCUACGUAGUUGAUAAGCUUCACAUCUGCUAAGCACGAAACAACCUACACCAAGUCCUAAAAUGUUGUGAUAUUUGCUACGUAACCUACGGAAUUGGAGAAAGUCAAGGUUAGCAGCCUAGUGGUUACGUGGACUUGUCUGCUUCUGUAAGUAAGGCAUCCGGCUGCCAACCCUAUGGCUAACAACUUUGCAAAGUUCUACACCAACACCUACGACUGCAUAGGCUACGCGAGCUUGUCUACUUAUAAAAAAAGUAGCAUGCCUGCCACUAGUCUAUCAAGUCUAAAGGUUAGGGCAUGAACAAAAGAAUUAAAGAUGAAGAAAAGCGAAGGAAAACAUGUUUAUAAACAAUUAGCAAAGGCCAAAGGAGUUCAAGCAAAACAAGAGCUACAAGGAAAAACAAAGAAAAUCCUAAAGGCUACCUAAAAUACUACACUACAGCAGCUUGGACAUCCCACGACUACUCGGUCGCCACACCUUCAGCAGCCAUAACGCUCUUAGCAACGGCAUCAUCCGGCGCUUCACCCCAGGCUGCCCAAGCCUGGGCACUAACGUCUCCAACUACUUCACCAAUAGAAGCCUCAAAAGUAAAAGCAAGCAAGUCUUCCAGAGAAAUAGAGAAACCUCAAGUCUAUCCUUCUCACCCUUCAGCUGCUCAUUCUUCUCAAGCAGACUAACACGGAUGCGCUGCAGCUCAUCCACUCCAUUCAAAGCAACAAGCUCAUAAUCCAACCUCUUGAUCUCCUCGGCUGAGGAAUAAGCUUCAGCUGCCAUAAUCUUUGCCACCUCCUUGACAGCCUUGCUAUAUAUGCAUCAUAACAAGCAGAGCAAUCCUUCUAUAUUAGGUCGUAUGUUUCGCAAAGGAACUUGGGCAAACAACCUCUCUACCGCCAUCAACAAACUUGGCACAAGCGUCCAUGUCUUCAAGCAGAUCUAGUUUCAAAAGCACAAUGAUCUCAGCAGCCUCCCCAGAAGCAGGCUUAGUGGAUUUCUCACAGCUGCCCACACAAGCAGUAUAUUCCUUCCUAACAGGCGAAUCAGUCUCAGCAGCAAAGGGAGUGGGCAUUGGUGCCACUUUAGCAGCAGAGUCCACCUUACCACUCUUCAAUAGCAAGUCUCUCCAAAGGUGAACCAGACUUGGCUCAAAACGAAUGUCUUGGUAUAGACUUCGGCACUAGGGGCAUGAUAAAACCUUUACGCUGAGCAAUCUUAUCAACAAUUGUACUAGCCAUUUUCAACAUGGAAGGCACCACAUGAUCAGAUCUAGCAGCCUCAUUUUUCUUCCCAUUAGAAGAAGUCAUGCCAAUCACAGACCUCUCGACAGCAGACAGAUCAUCAUGAGCAGCAGUGGAGAAAGUCUUCAAUUUUUCUCAAUCGGUAUCUCUUGAGUAGGCGGGGAAGAUCUCUUCUUUCCAUCUUCAUUCAUAGUAGACUCCACGACAGCGAUUAGACGAGCCAAUGCAUCCGCCUUGAUCCUCUUGAUCCUCUUUACCUCCUCUUUCGGGAGCAGCCCACCUUUCCCUUGGCAAAAAGAACUAAGCAGCCAACACCAUUCACGGUACUCAGCAAAAGAGCUCAACCCAGCAUUCUAGCAGGCACGAAGCCUGCAUACCCAGCAUUCCAGCAACUUAUGAAGCCCAUGACAUCCUCAUUUCUUUUAGUCGCCAGCCUGGCCCGAGUAAGGUCCAAAAGCCCAAAAGACAUGAGCCAUGUGGCUUGCCUAGCAUUGCGCCCCAACGCCAUAAUUCGCGGCCCCAGCCGCACAAGCUGCCAUUGGCUCUAACCAAGCCAAACAGCCCAAGCAGUAGCCCCUGCCAUAAUGCCUCAUCGGUUGAUGCCGAGCCGACUCCUGGCCCUUGCCAGCCGACGUGUCGUACCACCCCGACGGCUGCCCUGCAAUAGAACUAUCCAAGAAGAAGACAAGAAAAAAAAAUUUAAUUUUUCUUACAUUGGUGUGGCACGGAGAAGAUGAAGAAAUCAACAAAAAACGGUCUUUUGCACGGGCAAGAUGUAGAAGAUUGCUAGAGGAGGGGAAACAAAUAUCCUCUAAGCUCUCUCUCUCUUGUAGGGUAUAAUAAAUCGCUCUCCAAAGUUAAUUUAAUAACCCACUUAAGGUGGACUUAAAUAGGCUUUAAGAGAAAUUUAUUUCCCUUUCCUAGAAGGAUCUAAUUUCCUAUUAAAGAGAGAAUCUACAUCAAAAUAGGAAGCAGUCCUACGUUUCCUAAAGCAAGAUGAUCUCUACACCUGCUGCUCUUUUCUGUGAGCAGCCCAACAGGUGUGGGGGCAUUUGUGGAGCCAAAAAUAUUCACAAGGCGACACGUGGAUUUUUGGAUAAAAGAGGACAAGAAUACGCUUGAGGCAUACCGGGAUUCCUACGCACGAGCAGCGGGCAAUCAUCCGUUAACCAAGUCAAAAAUGCCCAAAGAAGGUAACAAAUAAAAGUUAUUUCAUCCAUAUACUCCACACAAGGUAACCAUUCCAAACAUUCCAUUUAAAUUAGAUUAAUUGGUGAAUUAAUGGAUUUAUUUCCUAAUUAAUCCUUUAAAUCACCAAUUAAAUGACCCAUUAUGCCAAUUAAUCCCCCAUUACAUAACCCAUUACCCAAAAAUCCCAAAUGGCCGGCCACCCUUAUUGAUUUCAUCAUAUUCACCUAUUUUAAUUAGCUAGUUAAUUUGGCAAUAAUUUUAUUUGCUAAAUUAAUUAGUCAAUUAUUCCCAUAACUCCUAAAUUCAACCUAAAUCAAGAACCCUAUUCCUAUAAAUAGGCUCUCAUUCUCACCAAAAACCUAGGUCCUGACUCUUGCUAAAAUUCUCCAAAGCUCUCAAACACUUUUCUCUCAAAAUUCUAACUUUGGCAUCGAGGUUCUUCGGCCAAAGCCCUCCCCAUUCAUCGUGGGCGCGUGAGUCUCUUGGCCUUAACCUAAGGCGUUAAUUGUUUUGUAGGUGCAAUUUUGUCCAAGAUCAAGGAGGAAAAAAUUUGCAUCCACAUUGAGGUCUAACACCGUUUACGGGUGUCUGAUAACUGUGCCCUCUCUCCUAGGUAGUGUAUUUGUCCAUCACUUUGCUGCAGAAACGGCUUCGUACCAGAUGUAUUUGUCCAUCCGCUAUGGUCGGUUUAUCCCUAGGGACGAGUUGAGGUCUAACCCCCUUUACGGGUGUCUGAUAACUGUGUACUCUUUCCUAGGUACUGUGAACUACUCGUACUCAGCUAUAAUGCAACUUUUUCUAGCUUCAGAUACUCAUCAUUCAAAAAUGAAUGUUUGAUGAUCACUUUGUUUUUGUUUUCAUUCUUAUUAUUAUGUUUUAGUUAAAGGUUGCAGGGGAAUAUGGAAGAAUAUAUAUGAGAAAGAUGUGAAAAGGACAAGGAGGAUCGAGGUGGAUAGAGAAAUUGUUAUUGUCUUUGAAACAAAAAGUGUUUUCCUUUAAUUUUUUGUUUCAUAAAUUCUCCAUUUCUCCAUCAUCCCCCUCCCCAUCCCCAUAUCUUCUUUCUACAAUUUCCCCUCGCCUUUUUUCUCUCUCUUUUUAGAUUAAAAAAUAAAACAAAAGGAUUACCAAAUUGUUGCUUAAUUAAUGAAAAAUAUCGUUGCACUAAAGGAACAAGUUUGAUGAUAUUACAGCAAUCAAUCUAUUUGGUGACUCCAAUGUUUUUGAAGUUGAAUAUCAGAGUGCACAACGAACAAGACUAACAAGAAUAAUAAGAAUAUUAUUAAACAAACUGAGAAUGCCGGAACGGCUGUAAAACCCUAAGAGACUACAUUGUGAAUAACUUAUUUUCAAACUAAAUUACAAGCUCUAUUUAUAGAGCAAUAAACCUAAGAAACCCUAAUGCUUAAAUGCCAAAAAUACCCUACUACAAAAUCAAAUCAAAUCUUAAUUAAUUUCCUAAAUAAACCUAAUAAAUUCCAACACCCCCCGUCAAACUCAUGGCGGUACACGACAUGAGUUUGCCAACAAGCAGAUGUGGAUGCAAGCCUCCAAAUUCCAAUGCCGAUGCCGAUGCCGAUUUCCGAUGCCAAUUUCAAUACGAAAUUCCAUCAGUGCAAGUGCAAGAUUCCAAUGCCAGUGCAAGAUUCCAAUGCCAGUACCAGUGCAAAUGUCGAUGCCGAUGCCUAACAAACAAACAAAAAAUCCAACCAAAUAUUCAACAUCACCAGCCUCCUUCUGUUCGAUUCCUUCCUUUUUUUUUUACCUUCUGUGCGAACCAACGUGCGACCCAACAUCACCAACCUCCUUCCUUUUUUUCCUUCUGUGCGAUUCCUUCCUUUUUUUUGUACCUUCUGUGCGAACCAACGUGCGACCCAACAUCACCAACCUCCUUCCUUUUUUUCUUCUGUGCGAACCAACAUCACCAGCCUCCUUUUUUUUUUUUUCGCGAGGGUACAGUUGUGGACGGAUCCAGAUGCAGGGUGGGGUUGGGGAAUGCAGAAAUCCUAGUGCGAUGGAUUCACCAAAUUCCUUUUUUUCAAAAAACAGAAUUUUUUUUCCCUUUCUUGAAGACUACCAAGGACAAACUGAAAACCAAACCAGAAAACGUAAAAAAUCUAUGAACAAGAAUAACACAAUUUGACGGUCAAUACCGAAAUCCAAAGACAAAGAACAUAAACAGAAAUCCAAAGACAAAACGAACAAAAAACAGAGUGACCAAGAACAAAGGACACAGACCAAAGCGGAAGCGAAAGCCUAAACGAGACCCAAACUAAACCAAAAAACAAAAAGCGACAAAACAAAUUGAUACCAACAAGAACGGAUUGAACCAUAAGGAUCAAACCCGUUCUGAUACCAAGUUGAAUAUCAGAGUGCACAACGAACAAGACUAACAAGAAUAAUAAGAAUAUUAUUAAACAAACUGAGAAUGCCGGAACGGCUGUAAAACCCUAAGAGACUACAUUGUGAAUAACUUAUUUUCAAACUAAAUUACAAGCUCUAUUUAUAGAGCAAUAAACCUAAGAAACCCUAAUGCUUAAAUGCCAAAAAUACCCUACUACAAAAUCAAAUCAAAUCUUAAUUAAUUUCCUAAAUAAACCUAAUAAAUUCCAACAUUUGAAACGUGCAAGACUAUUCCAAGUAGUCAAAUUUUUAUUUGGCUUUCCCUGUGUAAUUGCAUUAAUAAUAUACAAAUGCAAAAGGAGGCACUUGUCCAUGUAUGAAAAUAUAGAAGACUUUCUGCAGAAUAAUCAGCUCAUGCCAGUAAGGUACUCUUACUCGGACAUAAGAAAGAUGGCCAGAGGUUUUAAGGACCAGUUAGGGGAAGGUGGCUAUGGUUCUGUGUACAAGGCAAAGCUUCGCAGUGGUUGUCUUGUAGCCAUCAAGAUGUUGGGUAAGUCGAAAUCUAACGGGCAGGAUUUUAUCAAUGAAGUUGCUACCAUUGGAAGGAUUCACCAUGUUAACGUGGUGCAACUUAUUGGUUUUUGUGUCGAGGGUUCAAAGCGUGCUCUUGUAUAUGACUUCAUGCCUAAUGGGUCUCUUGAUAAGCACAUAUUUUCUCAACAAGGAGUUAUCUUCUUAAGUUCCGAGAAAAUGUUUAAAAUCUCACUUGGAGUGGUUCGUGGUAUUGAAUAUUUGCUUCGAGGAUGUGACAUGCAAAUUUUUCACUUCAACAUCAAGCCUCACAACAUUCUUCUCGGCGAGAACUUUCUUCCGAAGGUUUCUGAUUUUGGGUUAGCAAGGCUAUGCCCAUUAGAUAAUAGCAUUGUGUCUUUGACUGCAACGAGAGGAAUCAUCGGAUACAUAGCUCCAGAGUUAUUCUACAAAAAUAUUGGAGGUGUUUCGUACAAAGCUGAUAUCUAUAGUUUUGGGAUGCUACUUAUGCAAAUGGCUAGAAAAAGAAAGAACUUAAACGCAAAUAUAGAAUGCUCGAGCCAAAUAUACUUUCCGACAUGGGUUUCUAACCAGCUGAGGGGAGGAAAUCCGAGAUGCUACAGAGGAGGAAAAGAAAAUCAUUAAGAAGAUGAUUAUUGUGGUGUUGUGGUGCAUACAAAUGAAGCCUAGCGACCGUCCUUCUAUGAAUAAGGUUGUAGAGAUGCUUGAAGGAGAAAUCGAGAGCCUUCAAAUGCCUCCAAAGCCUUUCUUAUACCCACAACAAAUGCCAAAGGUAGUUACUGGCAGCAGUUCAAGUACCGCAUCAGCUGCAUCGAGGACAACGACAACAUCUACAAAAAUUGUUUUGAUUGCAGAUGAAAAUUCACACAGUUAAUAUAGCUAGUAGCAAUGUUGAUGUGCAAAGGAACAUUUAGUGUACCCAAAAGCACAAAUAGACCGACACGCCCCGACCCUGAUAUUCUCCGAAUACCAGGACUGACACGUGCUGGCCGACACCCGGGGGUGACGAAAGCCAUUAAUUGAGACAAAAGCUAAGAAUAAGAAAUAAAUAAGGGUUAUGAAUUUAAAAUACCAUGAAUUAAUAAAUUAGGAACGUGUUCAGAGCAUACAACUAAACCUAGUCACUAACAAAAAUUAAGAUAAGAUUGAAUGAACAAAAGAGUGGGUCCUACCCCGAGAUGACUCGACGAUGCUGCUGCGGAAGUGUCUUGACGCCGGGAUUAGGUGCCUUGAUUCUAAGUCCUGAAUGGGGGCGCAAAACAAAGAUGAGUGGACCAAGUUUAUAUAUAUAUAAUAAUAAUAAAACAGUUCUCAAGUUACUAACCCCCACAGUUUAUAUAAUGAAAACUACUAGCAUAAUAAGUGAUGGAUUUAAUAAAAAUCCUAGCAUGCCAAAAAUAUCUCAAAAGCCAUAUAUCGCGGAAAAGCAUAGCGGAAAUCGAAACAUCAAACGUCUCAUAAAUCGUCUCGUAAACGCGGUGUGCUGCUAGUAGCUUGCCGUUGAAUAAAUAUAACUCCUGGCCAAUGCCUGCCAAAUAGCUCAACUCUCUCUCCAACUCACUAGUCUCUCCCUGCCCGCCAAUUAUUUCUUCCAGCCAUGAUAAUACCAGGCCGGCAUCUUACUAAAUAGGCCUCUCCAAUCGGUCCAAUGCCUCUCUACCAAUCCUAUUGUAAAGGAAUUAUUUUUCCCAGCCUAAAAUGUUCAGGCUAGUCUUAACACCUCUCAUAAAUAAACAAGCAUAGAUACCGAUCAAUCGUCUACACUAUAAAGAGGGGAAUUUCUCUAAAUAAGAGAUAGUUAUGGUUUUUAUAAAAUAUACCAUAUUAUGCAAUAAAACAAUUUUAAUUCCUCACCAAAUUCAUAGCUUCAAUAAAUUCAUUUUUCAGUUCAAUAAUUUAAUCAUAAUCAUAAAAUCAUAUGCUAAUUUCAAUUAAAUUAUAAAAUCAUGUAAUUUUAGAAGGGGUCCACUCACAAAUAUUCCUUAGCAGAAGAUUCGCGCGGAUAAGGAUAUAGAAUUUCUCCACUAGCAAUUUUACCUAAGAACAAGAAUGCACUAAUUAAAUAAAAGGAUUUUCUAAAAGAUUGGGUUGAACUAAAUAAAAUAAGGGAAUUGGGUUUGGAUGGGUUUACGUUUUAAUGGGUUUUAGGAACCUAGGGCUUUUUGGGUUAAAAGGGUAUUAGGGUGAGAAAAUUGGGGUUUGGGCUUUAGCCCAAACACAUACACACACUACAAUUACACACACACACACGAGCACAAAGGCCUUAAAGCCUUAUAAAAAAAACAGGGCUUUAAGCCCUUGGUUUAAACCGGCCCAAGGCCAUUUUAAAAUAAGGCCCGAAGCCUUUAGGGGUUUUAAAUACAAAAUGAACAAAAUUUAAAAACUAAAGGGGGCUGGGGGUUUUGGGCUAAGACAACACGGGCCUAAGGCCCGAGGGUAUUUAAAACGGCCUGAAAGGCCUAGGUUUGCGGAAGAAGAAAGCCCGAGCUGCUACAGCUCCGGUCACCUGAAAACGAGGGUUCUAGACCCCGAUCUAAGUACGAAAAUGAAGAGCAAGAUGAGGGGAAAAGAUUUAUACCUUCCAAAAACCGUAACUCGAUCGGAGAUGACUGGAAAAAGCUCCCAAAGUCCACGGUUCGCCGAAAAAUGGGUGUGCUCACCCACAAUGAUUUCCGAAGCAAAAUCUACGUAAAAAUGGAAGGUUCAAGCUUCUAAAUCACAACCAAACAUCAAGGUAACAACGAGAAUGAGAGAUUUGUGAUUUACCUCAACGAAAAGAAAGAAAAUGCUCACCGGAGCUUUGCUCCGUGUUGUUGAACUCGCAGGGCAGGGUCUCUGGGCUCGUGGUGAGCCUCUCCUGAUGGUGACUCGGUUCUAGUGAGUCCAGGGGGAGAGAGAGAUGCAAGGUCGAGGGAGAGAGAGAUACACGGGAGAGCUGAGAGAGCUGAGAGAGUGUAAGGGAGACAGAACUGCGAGAGAGAGAGAUGCGGGAGAGGUGAGGGAGAAGAGAGAACUGAGAGAGGAGAGUGGGAAACCGGAAAACACAAAAAAUAAAACAAGGUGGGCCCCACAGGCUCACCAAUUAAGGACUAAAACCAUUUUUUAAAUAUAAAAGAGGGUUGGGGUGUUUCAUAGACUACCUGAAUUUAAUGGCAUUGAUUGCUUUCUGGUUUUCAGUUUUUAGCUUUGGCACGUACAAGGAUUAAUUUAUGCACAAAUCGUCUCUCGAUUAGUAUGGAAAAGCUUUGGAUAUAUAAUUUGUGUAUGAGCAAAGUUCGAUAUCUAUAACUUAUGUUGAAGAAUGCAAUCCUACAUAAGAAACUAAACAAAUUACACAGCUUAUAUCGAAUGGUUCCACUUCCAAUUGCAUAUGAGAAGCUUUAAGAGGAGGAGAAGGUACCUGAUCAAGGCGUGGCUAUCUUUGAUUAUUAUCUCAGGAUGUGCAUUUGAAUUCAAAUUAACUUAGCAAGGUAGAAUUAAUAUUUAUUCAUAAAAAGACUAAAGCAGAUCGCCUUACAUAUGCGACCCAAUUAAUAUUUAUUGCAAUCAAUAGGCUUAAAAAAGAGUCUCUUUCGUUUGUGCCAUGUUGCCAAAGACCGCGAUUUCUCAACGAAUGGGUCUGAAAGCAAAGCAAACAACAUCCAUUGACGCUCUUAUAAGAAAGUGUUGAAAGCUUGUAACUUCACAUCUGCACCAGUGAAAUGCGCAGUGAUUAUCGGAGCUUUGAUAGUCGAUUUGGUCUUGUAGCAGAGGCAUAGGAAGCGUUGAGGGGUCAGUCAGACGUCUUAAUCUUAUGGACUUGCUCACUGUCAAUUCCAGCUUAUUGUACAAGUCCUCCGGCAACAAUGUCAGGGUAGUACCUGAAUCAACGAUAAUAUUGCCCUUUGCUGGAGCUAAUGAAGGGUUCAGUGAACUGCCCGACACUCAUUGCUUCAAGCCCUAGAUAAUAUAAAUAUUGGAGUGUGCUAUCCACACAUCUCUUUUUACUUUUCACACACCCCUUGUUAAUUCCUGUCCGUUGAUCUUCUUUAAUUCAUCCGAUCUGACAGCCGAAAACCAAAAAGGUAUGGGAGAAGUAAAAAAAGGUGUGUGGAUAUCACACCCCUAAAUAUUUUGAGCCUCCAGAAGAAAGUAAUGGGGUAGAAAACGCUGUGGCGCCAGAAACCACAGCUUCAUUGCCGUAGCUCAUUGUGCUUGAUGAGUUGAAUCCUGAAAAGGCAUGCACAAGGCAGUAGGAAAAUUUCCCGUCGAUUGAAGAACUCAUCUGCGAGAUGGGGGACACAGGUCCACGUCCCAACCGUGCCUGAUCCAUUUCUGUUAAAGAGGCCUCCAUUGUCUUGUCCACAACCAAAUAUCAUUUGUGGGAAUGAAACUGGUUGCCCAGCAGUGGAGUUAAAUGUGACACUUUCUGUGGGUCUAAAACUUCCUUGCUGUAGGAUCUGCCUCCGUAAGAAACUGUGUAAUUACAAACUUCAGCUGUGUCAGGAGGAGAAGAAGUUCCGGUCACAAAUUUGCAUUGGCUUGAGUUCCGAGGAACUUGUGUGUAAGUUUUAGAAUUCUUUGGAUCGAAAGUUGGCGCUUUCUGCUUGUAACAAUUGAUGCAGGGUAUGCAUUGCGUCCAUGUAAGAUCACUACCUGUAUCUGCAGCGCCUAAGAUUUCAAGAGGAGGUGUACCUACUGAUAUUUUCAUGAGAUAUUCACCCGUGUCUGAGACUAUUGUAGAUCUAGGCAAGUUUGAAGGUGAUGAAGUUGGGUUCAAGCGAUUGACAAGGUUAAUGGAACACCGCAAAGCAUAGUCACACGUUGCAAAGGCGUUAAUUCUAAAGGAUCAUAGAGAGGAGAGACUGGAGAGUCGCAGUGAAUAAGUUGUAUGCUGAAGCUGCCAUUGCGAUCAGCUUGAAUAAGAGAGAACUGGGAGAAAUAUGGAGCAGAUAAUGUGAGUGCUAUUACGGAGGAGAAAGAAGGGAUAGCACAGUGGCUCCCAUGGUUCUCCGAGAAGCUUGUACGAAGUUAAGAUAUCAAAUUACAGUAUCAGUGAUGUCUUCGAUUUGAGGUGCUUCUGUGUGACUGUCCAGAAUCCAGAUCCUAACUCCAUGAGCAGUGAAAAGUGCAACCCUUAUUCAAAGUCUAAUUUAUUGUUUUUGCUAUAAUAUUCAAUGCCUUAGUUUAGAUAACGUGGCAAGGGACUUGUAGCUGGAUUAAGCAUUGCAUCCAAGGUUGUGUGUUCAAUUCCCUUCCCUUGAUAUCGCUUGUAAAAAAUGACAUAGUUUUUAGACACAAAAGAAGUGAAACAUGUGUCGAAAGAAACUUGAGCUACCACACUCCUCACUGCCUCAUUAUGAAAAGAAGAGGGAUUUUAGACACAAGUGAAUAGGGCAAACUAGACUAGAAAUGCAGGGCACAGUGCAAAAUUAUAUACCCUUGCAUCUUUUAGUAAAGAAAUUUGGCUAAAAUUAACAACGAACAUAAACCGCAGGGGCCGAAUUUCACCUUUGUAAACUACAUGUAGCAUUUAUACUUUUGGCCUAAUAUAACCAAAGAAACCACCUUCAGGCUUGAAGGUAUUGCAAAUGAGGCAGGAGGUCAAAACCUCUAAGCCCCCAAGAUAAGCUGAUCCACUAAGAAUUCCUAUAAAUCGUAUUACCCCCAAAACCGCUCAAUUGGCCUCCUUCCAUUUAAGCUAAUUUAAUCUACAGUAGUUUGUAUAUAACCUAAAGAGAAAAUUUCACGAGCUCAAACUAAAUUGCCUCCAUGCUUUCAAACACUAUCACGAAAAAACAGGCAACAAUUAGAGCUCCCAUUUGCUAUACCUCUGUAAUCUUAAGGAUCUUCGGAUUCUUCAUCCUUAUCUUCUGCAUUGCCCCGCCACCUAACUGGCCCAGACCAUCAUAAUCAAUUGUUCCCUACAAAAUACAAAACUUUGCUUGGAGGAUCAUAGAAUUCAUCGCAAUCAACUUGCCUAAAGACACCCCAAGUUAAUUUGAACAAAGAUUUAGAGCACUGUGACGAUAAAAAUUAGAGUUACUCUUUACGAAGGAAUUAGCACGUGUUUUAACAAAAGUAAGUUUCACAAAGCAGCAUUUUUGCAAUUGUUAAUUGCCUUUGGAAAAUUGAAAAGUAAGUCAUAUGAUAAAGUUCAGAGCAUAAACUUACAGUAACCACCAUAGGAGCAAAUGGUUUCGCAUCUUCUGGCUGUUCAACUGGAAUUGGUGGAUAGUUCACACUUUGAACUAGGAAUCUUGACUGCCAUUCAGAACUAAAAGUUUGCAUGCACGUAGACACCAGAAAGUUGAGUAGCUAUGGAUAAAUUAAACCGUAAAGAUAUGAACCUCAUCUGUCCACUCAAGAGCAAGAUCAUCUGCAUCAGGACACUUCCCUAUCCAAAUGACGAUGUUCCUGUAUUCCACAGUAUACCAAAACCACAUAUUCAACAGUAAUUCAAACAAUGAACAUAUGAACAAGAAUCCAUCAAGGAAGACAUGGAAGGGGCGGUCCUCAGGUUCAGAGAUGGAUGGAGAUGGCAAAAGAUGUACUGGUACAUAAAUGUCAUAAAAAAAUCCAAGGGACACUGCCAGUUAAAGAUUGAAAAUCAGACCAUGGACUUGGAGUAGGAGUUUGUCAAUGCAUUGCUGCACAAGGUGCAUGUGUAGUGAUAAUUACUUGCACCAAAGACAACCUAAGAAGUAAUGAAACCCAAGAAUAGAUCAGUAGAUAUAAACAUAAGAUCAUUAGAUCACAACUUUUAGUAGUAGCUAAUUAAAAUGAAGAGUGCAAUGAGAAUUAACAGAAAAUCCCACCUUCAGCUGCUAAGAGCAAACUAGAAUUCAUCAUCAGGCACAAAUCCCCUUUGAAGCAUUUCAUCAUGGAACCGAAAUGCCUCCUUCAAAUUAUCCUUGGUCACAUGUCCAUUUAUCAUUGACGUAUAAGUGGAUCUAUCAGGUUUUACACCUUUCUCAAUCAUCUUCCGCAAUACUAGCUCAACUUCGUGCAUUCUACCUUGCCAACAGAACCCAUUUAGAAAUAUUGUAUGUAAACUGAUCCGAUAAUAUCCCUUGCUUUUCCAUCUCCUUAACUGAGGAAAAAGCUUUGUCCAGAUUCUCUUCUUUUACAUAACCAUUAAUCAAAGUGUAGUCAGUAAUACUGUCGGGAAGAAUUCCUCUUGAAAUCAUUUUGACUAUAAGAACUCAUCCGCCUUUGUUGUGUCACCAGAGCGGCAAUAACCUUUAAUGACAGCGUUACAUGUAACUAGAGUGGGGUUUGAUACCUUCUUCAAUCAUCUGGUCCCAUAAACUCAACGCCUCAUGCACGUUCCCCAUGCUACAAAAUCCAUUAAUUAGAAUGCCAUAUGAAAUGUGGUUGGGUAGUAUCCUUCUUGAAACCAUGUCACCCCAUAACUCCUUAGCUUUAUCCAUUCCACCUAGUUUGCAGAAGCCAUCAAACAAUGUGUUGUAUGUGACUAUAUCAGGCUUAAUAUUUCUUUUUGUCAUUGCAUCAAACAGAUUGAGAGAUUUGGUCAUAUUCCCAUGCUUGCAAUAACCAUGAAUGAGUGUUGUGAAAGUAUAAAAACCAGGAAUGACACCCCUUUCCACCAUUUCAUUGAAAAAACUCAUCUGCGUCAGAAAGCAUCUUCUCCCAACACAGUCCAUUUAAAAUUGUAUUGAACGUUACCACAUCAAUAGCACAACCUUGCUCAAGCAUUUCAUCAUGCAACUUCAAAACCUCUAACACCAUUCCCUUUCUACAAUAUCCAUCUAUAAGGAUAGUGUAGAUCACAUUAUCCGGAACCAAGCCUGCCCCUUUCAUAUCUCAAAAAUAUACUAAUGCACGAUCAAUAUUUUUAUUCCUCGAAAAAAACCCAAUAAGUGAACUGAAACUAACUAUAUCAGGAACAACACCUAUGUGACAUUUCAUGGAAGAUUUCCUCAGCCUCUAAAAUAUCAUCUUUUCUACAGCUCUCAACAAGCAUUGGAUUAUACAUAGUAGUAUCAGGAUUCAACCACCUUGCAACAUUUCAUACAAAAGUUCCUUUGCUCUCACAUAAUUUCCUACUUUACAUAAGCCAUUUAUGAUAGCAUUGUACGUGAAAAGCUCAGGUUUCAACCCCUUAGAAGACAUAGAGUUUUUUAACUGAAAAGCUUCUUCAGGAAGCCCUUCACGACAAUAUGCAUUGAUUAGUGUAUUAUAUGUCACAAUAUCUGAAAACAACCCCUUCUCUUCCCUAUCUGAUAAGAAGAAUUUAACGCUAUCAAUUUUGCGAGCUUUGCAUAAGGCAUUGACCAUUAUAUUCGGUGUAUAAACAUUUAACUGAAUCCCACUGCUAACAACUUCCCCAUAUACGACCCAUGCCAAAUCAAUCCACCCGACCUUCACAAGCCCGCCAAGAGGACUAUUGCAAGCAUUUAUCAAAACACAAACUCCCUUGCUUCUAAACAGCUGAAACGCCUCAAAUCCUUCUCUCAACUUCUUAGCCUGCACAUAAGUUCUAACAAACAUAUCAAAGACCAAAGAACUUGAGCCGCAACUGCUAUAAGUUGAAACCAAAGAGUCUGCUACUUCAACACACGAAAUGCCACUCUUUCUAACCAUUCUAAGAAUCAGAGCUUGUGCAUCCGACGCUGUUCGACCACGCACCAACAUGUGAAUCAUUGCACUCAAAGACAGUGAUGAAUGCUUAAAAUCAGGACUAUUUAACAGAAUCAAAUCAAUAAACUUCAGACCCAGUUGCAAAUUUUCACGGCAGCAAGAAAGAACAACAACAAUAAGAGACGGGUUUAACCGAAACAGAAAGCUGCGCAAAGAGGUGAGGUUACCUUGCUUCAGACCUAAUAAAAUCUUUUCCACCAAAAGAGAAUCUGAUAAAGAAGCUGAUGGCUUGUACUACUACAGGGUUCUUGUGAUUGCAUACUUUUAAGACCAAGUUCCAGGUCAUUUGAUGGACAAUAUGCUAAACAAUGAGGUCUAUGAGAGUGAAAGAGUGAGUGUUCGUUGGUUUUGUGAAGGUUGUGCGGGUUCUCGGACCUACAUUCUCAAAAUUAGCCAAUGGGUUUGCAUGUUUGAAACUAUAAUUUUGUUUGUUAUUAAUUUUAUUCUAAGAUGGGUGGAUAUAGUGAUGACAUUAUCCUGACGGUAUGUUAUCUUUCAUCUAAAAUAAUCAUCUUUUAUCUUCAUCACUCACUUAUUCUCUGAAAUCUCUAAUAUAGGAUUGCAUUUAUCAACACUCCUCAAUAGAACCUGUCUUUUAUGGGCCACAUGUGCAACCAACACUCACUUUUUCUCAAGUAGCACAAGAUUGUCAUGAAAUUGUCGUUAGGUUGGGCCGGAUCGAGAAGAACCCGCUUGAUACAAUUCAAGAUAUAAGCCUAGUGGCUCAUUAUUAAUCACACCCAUAUUUUCCUAACAUAAUCACAUGUACAACUUUGCAGGCGUUCAGUUUUAUCACAAUCAACCUUAGUGAAAAGGGGAGACAUUUAAUAUAAUUUGUUAUUUAUUCUGCCAAGUGUUCGUUGUGAAUUAAUACGAAUUAAUAAUUUGGUCAAGUUGACUGAAUUGUAAUCAACUUUAUAACUAAUAUAUUCUAAACAUUCAAUGGAUAUGCUUCCUGCGGGUUAGAAUUUCUUGAUCAAGCAUGCGUCAUUGGAGCCGAUUCAAACGUUGCUAUAUACUAUCACCUUCAGAAAAUAGAUUUCUAUUACUAUCAGACAUGCAUAUAAAAAUUCAGUUCAAAUAUCAUGUCUCCAUCUUAUGUUUGUUAGCUAUUUCCUUUCUAGCUAGGUCAUCAUCAGUUAAACUUUCAUGAAACUUAUUCUCAUUAAAUUAUCAAUGAUAACAUUGAAUUUCAACCCCCUUACCAAAACAAAAGUUUUGUUAUACAUUUCAUCGAAAUUGCCAUUGAGGUCACAAUACGUAUUGAGAUGUGAUACUAAAACACAUAUAAAUUGUAGUUGAAAAAACAGCAAUGUCACUCAUGUCAAGUUGAAGGUAAUAAUUUUCUUUUUUUUACAUUGAAUAAUCAAAAUUUCUUUGCUCUAGAUGUGAUCGUUGAAGAAUGCUCAAUCUUACUUCUGAAAUUUAGAGAGAAAAUAAAAUAAAACUUAUAGGGAAUGGUUUUACUAUUAAUUGAACCGAGGUCUAUCGGAGGAUCAUCCUCGUCAACAGAUGUGGUGCCGUGCAUAGGAGGCGGCAUAAUUACAUUGUGGUUGUGUUAAUGUAGCCAUAAUAGUGGUAAAAUGAUUUGGUCGAGAAGUUCUUGAGUUCAACUCUCAAUGAAAGUACCAGUUGUUGAAACCAAAUAUGUGUGUCGUCGUGUGUGCUGGAGAUGCUUAAGCUCGUUAACUUGUAAAAGAACAAACGACUGAAAGGCAAGCUAGAGACCGAAGGGGUGUGUGUCUGUGUGAUGGCUAAAGGUUAUCCGACGUCAAGUCAGUAAGCAAUAUUAGGACUCAAGUAGUGGGUAAGAGAAUAAGUGUGCAAAGAUAGCGUUACCAAACAUGCCAUUUUUAGGGUGUAUUUAGACAAAUAGAGGAGAGGACCUUUUAGGAUAGUAAAAUCCUUAUUAAACCAGAAGAAUCCCAGAGGAUAUCUAGGAAGUAGAUAUUGAAUCCUCUUAGGAGUGUAUUUACUUGCGGUGCAUGUCAAUCCUUAGAUGGUAAGGAAUCCAAGAUUAUAGAAAACCUGAUGAUUCCAUACUGGAUUGGGUUCUUGAAUCUUAUGGAACAAGCAUGGUUUAUUUCAAUGAAGUCGAUGGACUUCGCCCGCUGAUUCCAAAACAAGAUGAUUGUGGCAUCACUGAACCGUUUAUCAGCUCUACAAUGGAGGGUGUUGAGUCUAUGGCUGGACUACUAAGGUAGACGUCUUCCAAUCCGUCUUACUCUGGCUCUGAAAAAUCAUGAUCCCACAGUAAACAAUCAAAACUACUAGUUCAUUUUUAUAAGAAUAUUACUUGUAUAAAUGUCGAAUCCAUCAAUGAAUAAGUUUCAGAUAAAAAAAAAUGCGAUAACAUAAAUUUGGACGGCAAUUUCAUAAUACAUUCAUUAAGCUUGAUUUACUAGUACAAGUUAUUAUUAAAUAACAAACUGAUAUACCAACUACUGUAUGUCUCUUUCGCAUUGUUUAAAUAAUGAAAAAUAAUAAUAGAUAAGUUAAUACUAGAAAACUUCAAUAAUUCCCUGCCUAACAAAUAUAAUAGUAAGUUUCAUGUAACUCAAACUUCAUUAGCUAAGCAUGGAAGAAAAAAAAAAGUUAAUAAAUAAAUUUCUCUGUGAUGAUAAUCAAGACUUCAUACUCAAUGUAAUCAGGAAUAAAAUCAUUUAAUAUAAGUUGUCAUUUAUUUUUUGAAAUUUCUGAUAUAAGAUUGUAUUAUUCAACGCUCCUCCUCAAUAGCGCCUGUCUUUGUGGGCCACAUGUGCAACCAAUUUCACAUUAGUAGCCUUUUAUUUUGUUUCUUUCUCUCAAGUAGCGGUAGAUUGUCAUAAAAAUUGUCGUUAGCUUGGGCCGGAUUGAGGAGAAUUUGCUGGAUACCAAUUCAAGAUGUAAGGCUAGUGACUCAUUAUUAAUCACAUUGAUAUUUUCCUAACUUAAUCACAUGUACAGCUUUGUAGGUGUUGAGUUUUAUAACAAACGACCUUAGUGAAAAGUAGAGCCAUUUAAUUGUCACGUCCUAAUCCCGACAUAUGUCCAGGACCGACACGUGACAUCAUCAAAUACACAUAAAUCUAACAUACCUUGCUUCCGGGAUAUGUACCAAACUCAACUCAUGCCUCAAAAUUUCCAAUAUCAUUCACUAACCACCAAUGCGACAAUUCCAAUCCCAUAACAUCAUUUCCAACAUCCACAAGUAUAGGCACUUGGACCUAAUACCUAAGCUCUAAUACCACCAAAAGUUGUCACCAACAAUCCCACGGCGCUGUCGCCGCCAUACACCAUGAAACGGCUUGAAUUGCAUCGAAUUUUUGGGUGAUCAACUAGGGAAGAGAGGUGUAAUGGUGUUUGUAGGUGGUGGGAGGUCAUAAAACACCGGAAAUUGGACUGAAAAACCCGUCAGAAUUGGCAGCAGGGGCGCGGGUCGGGUCGGGGUGUACGGUUCAAAGGGAAAAAGGUCCGAGUUUAGUGCUUCUCAAAAGUUGUCACCAAGAAUCCCACGAUGUUGUCGACACCGUACAACAUGAAACGGCCUAAAUUGCAUUGAAUUUUUGGGCGAUCAACUAGGGAGGAGAGAUGUAAUGGUGUUUGUAGGUGGUGGGAGGUCGUAAAACACCGGAAAUUGGACUGAAAACCCAUUGGAAUUGGCAGCAGGGGCGCAGGUCGGGUCGGGGUGCAGGGGCCAAAGGGGAAAAGGUUCGGUUUAGUGCUUCUCACUUCCCUCAUUUCUCUCCGUGAUCUCCCUCCUGAUUGGGUACUCAACCUUUCCUCCUCCUUCUGAUUCAUCCGCCCCCUCAUUUUCUCUCCUUUCCUUUCCAUCUCAGCCACAUAAGUGGCAUCACAGAUAAAUGCUCCAGCCAUCUGGAGCCUUCUAGAUUAGGUUAAAAUUAUAAAAAUAUCAUUGACUUUAAACGUUAAUAACUUCAUUGUUAUAACUCCGUUUCACGAACGGUUUGAACCUACCCAUUCAUGAGAUCGAGCUAUAUUCAAAAAUAUAAAUUGUGACCUUGAAAGGUCUACAAAUUUUAAAUAAUUAUUUUCCAAACUUCAAACUUCGUAACUAGUUAGAUUAAAAUCUAAAUUCCAACAAAUUAAAAUAAAUUUUCGAAAAAUAUUAUAAAAUCUCAAUAAUAAAAAUACGUAUAUUAUUUCACAUUAAUAUAAUUUGUUAUUUAUUCUGUCAAGUGUUCAUUGUGGAAUAAUACGAAUUAAUAAUUUGGUUAAGUUGACUAAAUUAUAAUAAACUUUAUAACUAUAUCUAUUCUAAAUAUUCAAUGGAUAUGCUCGCUGCGAGUUAGAAUUUCUUGAUCAAGCAUGCGUCAUUGGAGCCGAUUCAAACGUUGCUGUAUACUAUCACCUUCAGAAAAAAGAUUGCUAAUACUAUCAGACAUGCAUUUAAAAAUUCAGUUCAAAUAUCAUGUCUCCAUCUUAUGUUUGUUAGCUAUUUCCUUUCUAGCUAGGUCAUCAUCAGUUAAACUUUCAUGAAACUUAUUCUCAUUAAAUUAUCAAUGAUAACAUUGAAUUUCAACCCCCUUACCAAAACAAAAGUUUUGUUAUACAUUUCAUCGAAAUUGCCAUUGAGGUCACAUUACGUAUUGAGAUGUGAUACGAAAACACAUAUAACUUGUAGUUGAAAAAACAGCAAUCUCAUUCAUGUCUAGUCGAAGGUAAUAAUUUUCUGUUUUUACAUUGAAUAAUCAAAAUUGCUUUGCUCUAGAUGUGAUUGUUGGAGAAUGCGCAAUCUCACGUCUGCUACUUAAAAAAAAAAAAAAAAAAAAAUUACAACGUAUGGUCAAUGGUUUUACUAUUAAUUGUAUCGCGGUCUUUUGAGAUCAAAUCUAACACCUUGUUGGAAUGGGUAAAUAAUAAAAUUAGAAAUAUCAAUGUGAUUAGUAGUAGACCGUUGCUCCGACUGUGACAUGUUGAUAGUGAUUCCUUCAUCUGUAUAACACUCAACCCACAUUGACUUGAUUUUGGAAUUAGAUAUCUGUGAUCUAAACUGUUAUUGCAUGGUUUGACCAAGGAGCUAGAUUUAUUGUAAAAAAUAAACUAUCAUAGAAAAUCUGCAACAGUACGAGAAAUUUGUAAUGGAUAUUUUAGGUAGAGCAUCUUCAAUCAUUAUUAUUAUUUUCUAAUUUUAACAAAAAAAUUACUAGAGAAUUAGUUUAGAAAAUACUUUAAUAUUAACUAAAAAAGUAAAAGAAAUUAAAAGGGAGAAAAGGAGAAAAAAUUGGUUGUAAGGUCAUCUCCAACGGAAAUGUUAAAUAUAACUCCAUCCAAAAUUAUAGUCUUGUAAAAAAUUAUUUUUAAAUGAACAAUAUUAGGUCAUAUUCAUAUACCAUCUCCAAUUGAAAGAGCUAAACAUAGUCCCUCAAUAACUUAUUAGUUUUAAGUUUAUACUUUAAAUUUAUUGGCUACAUUUUGAUGUGUCAAAUCUAGCCGUUGAAUUUAAAUUAAAUGUUGCAACUAAGGAGUUGGGCCCCCAAAAAGAGGCUAAGAGCCUGAUGCUUUUUUGGCCAAAUAAUGACAUUGUGGGCUGCAUAUAAUUACAUAAUCAUCAGUUGAAGGUGAAUUUUUGGACAAAUUAAGCUUUUUUUUUACUUUUGAAUCUUUAGUCCUCUCCAUUGAAAAUGACCUAAGAAGCUAAAAAGAAGAAGACGGCAUAUGUAACACAAAAACUAAACUCCUUGGAACAGAUAAACCCCAUAUUACAAAAAAUAUAAAAAGAUCCAAUGAAAUAAAAGAUAAACGUAAUUUUUAACUAUCUUAAUAUGAUAGCACUUGACCUCUCAUAGCAAAUUUUAUGACUAGUACAACACUUGAACGACUUGCAUAGAGAAUAUAGUUGUAUUCAGUCAGUUUCGGAAAGGAUUAGCAGGUACGGGUAGAUUGUCACCCUCUCCUUCUAACAUUUGAAUAACAACUUUCAUGGAAGGGCGAUCUAUUGGGUGCCAUUGGACGCACCAUAGACCCACAAUAGCUAGCUUCUUUGCAGUUUCAGCAUCUCCUCCGUCCUCAAUGUGAAUCCGUAGGUCGUCCCCUUGUUCUAAAAGGUUAUAAAUCCAUUCUGGGAAGUAGACUUCGCUGCUGGUGGAGUCCUCUUCCAUGAACUUAAAGUUUUUUCUUCCCCCGACCAUUUCCAGCAGCAACAUUCCAAAGCUAUAGACAUCUGACUUGUAGGACACGUUUCCAAAGUUCCUAGAAAACACUUCGGGCGCAAUGUAGCCAAUGGUCCCUCUGAUGGUAGUCAUGGAUACUGCGCUUUGAUCUCUAGAGCACAACUUGGCGAGACCAAAAUCGGAAACUUUUGGGGUGAAAUUCUGGUCUAGCAAAAUGUUGUGUGGUUUGAUAUCGAAAUGGAGGAUUCGGAGGUCACACCCUUGAUGAAGAUAUUCAAUUCCUUUGGCUAUACCUAAAGCAAUCUCAUGCAACUUAUCCCAACCAAGGAAAGCGCUUUUACUAUCUGCUGAUGAUAAGAUAUUCUGUAGUGAACCAUGUGGUAGAUAUUCAUACACAAGAGCUGUUGUGUACCCAUCAGCACAAAAACCAACCAAGCGAACCACAUUGACAUGGUGGACUCGACCCAUUGUUCCGACUUCAUUUAUAAAAUCUUCUCCUUUUUCAUUAGAAUUGUUGAGGAUUUUCACAGCUACAAGUAAGUCGGAGGAAAGCUGUCCUUUGUACACUGUUCCAUAGGCUCCUUGACCUAACUUUUCAUUGAAUUGAUUUGUUAUCCUUUUAAUAUCAGCGUAGGAAUAUCUACUUGGCUUGUGUGCUAUGUAAUCGUCCAAAAAUCUUUCAAUCCUCAACUGAUUUGUUUUCUCUAUUUUGUUGGAGCUAUAAACACGGUAAAUGAGAGUCCCCACGACUGUUACAACCACAGAAAAUGUGAAAAUACCUGCGGAUACAGAAGAAACUCUGCGUUAAGAACCAACCCAUUUCUAAAUUAAAUUAAAAUAAAUCACAAUUGCCUCCAACUGAUAAAGCCCCCAGAAAUCAGAACUGAAUUUAUAUUAAUACUUAUACAUAUAUAGGGUACUUUUGUGCGGAAUUUAACGUGUCUUUUAUCGGGAUGCUGGCACUGAGUUUUGAACUCAUAAGGUUUUCUUGUACCUUAAAAGAAGAACCCUUUCAAGGAUGGGAUCCAAAACUUGAAAAACAAAUGAUGAAAAUUGGUGCCCAUUGAAGCAAGUUCCGACUAGGACCCUAAAAUAUAACAUACUGGCAUGAGUUUCAAUAAUCCAAACCGUCUUGGAUUUAGCUCUCCAUCUAAGAUUUAUGAUUAUGGAUCACACAAGUGUGCAAAAAUUAACCUAACUAUUAGCAGUUCAAAACUUCAAAUUCAAUCUUGUAAAAAUAGUGCUUAUGUGAACAACUUACCAGAUAUCUCUAAGCUUGUCCUUCCACGGGUACUAUCUGUAAAAGCAGGUUAAUUAAGUCAAUAAUUAGUACUUUUGUUAUCAAAAGAAUAAAAUACUUGAAGAAUUGUUUGCAUAAAUCUUUGUUUUCAUUUAAUAUAAAAAGUUCGAAUAUAUUCUUUGAGUCCAAAUUUGUUGUAUAUAUUAUCUGCACAAACUAGCUAAUUAAAACCUUGUCAAUGUGAAAAGGAGGGAAAUAUUUGCCGGCAAAGUACUGCAACAAGUCAAGUUAAAUGGGAGAUUAAAGGAUACCUUCGCUCACGCAUUCAGUUUCUGCAGUCUGAUUAUCUGUGAAAUUAUAUUGACCAAUAGUUCUUUUCAGUCUGCAAGUCUUGCCCAUCUCUUCGCAACGUCCACAUGAUGGUUUGGACCACUGCAGCAUCAUAAGGUUGAAUGCUCCCACUGAUGAAAUUUGUGGAAUUGAUUUGUAAUCACGCAGCUUGGUACAAGACACUAGGUUCAUGUCAUCAAUGGAACACUGGCCGUCGACAGCAUAGUAGUUAGUUUGGUUUUCAGGAUUGUCAACGCCGUAAGGGCACAGUUCAAUACGACAAUAUACGUCCGUUUCAAGUAAUGGUGACGGACAACUGAAUAAAGUAUAAUUAGUAUUAAACGGUCCAUGCACAAAUUGAAAGGUCGAGGAAGAUAAGUUGAAUUUGAAAAUAUCUUUCGGCAGGCAAUCAUUUUGGAAAUAUACUCCGAUUUCUUGAGAUGCGUAGUUAAUCGUUUCAACGAUGAGCUUGUUAGAUGAGGAUGGCAUCUCAAGCACGGUUCGGCCGUCGGUGGUGCAUGAUAGAUCAAAGCCAUGGUAACCGCACGAGAAUGGCUGUCCUUUAAGUCGAAAUGGGAAUCGGAUGGCUGGACCGUGGUGUUCACAGUAACUUACUUGCAGUUUUCAGGGACUACUCUGUCGCCAUACACUGUGCUUACAAAUCCAGCAUCUGCUAUCAUGAGAAACCAGCACAAGAAAUUGAUCAGAAGCAUUCUACCCGAUGAGAAUAUUGAUUGUAGAAGUUUGGUAUCUAGGUAAUUCAUAUAUAUGAUUGUAUAUAAGAUAUGGGAUUGCAGAAGUCCCCUAUGUUUUGGGUAAUAAAUAAUAAUCUCUUUUUAUAUUCACCCCUUCGUUCCAUUUCCUACCCCCAAAAACGGUUUUCUAAAUUUUUUGAAUCUUCCACCCAAUUUUGUUUUUAACUUCAAUUUGAAGGACUUGGUCGUGAUUUGCGUAUGGGUUAUUACCAUCGUUAUCAAAUAAAAACUUUUAGUCGCUUUUAUGCAACUGUUACUCGCCGUAACGUGAAACUGGAAUGCUGGAAACUGUUUCUUCCCCAGAUGGGCCAGAUCAACCCAUUAUUAUACAUGUUAUUCCGAGUUAGAUGAGCUGGGUUCUGUGGUCGUGUGGCUUCAAUAUUGGUCAUUCUACAUUGAGUAAUACUAGGUAGAUUAACACUUUAGUAAUAAUCCAAUUAUCAGCUUCCAUGUCAUUCAGUUUACAAAAUUUAUUCUAUAAAUUUAAUCUUCCUAACAUUACCCUUCUAGAAUUUGGAGUUGUCAAUAUAGUUUGGUUGUGCAAAUUUGUUCUCUUUAGUUUAGCCUUGGUUGUUGUUGUUGUUGGAAUUAGUAUUGAUGAGACUUGUGUUUUGCAUAAGUCUUUAAUGUAUUCUUAAAGUUUUUGCGAUAACUAUGGUUGUUGUGUUGAAAAACUAUUUAUUAAAGUUUUUUUUUUCAUUCAAUAAAAGAAAGGUAAGUGAUUUUUACACACGAUUUUUCUUCUCCUACGUACACAUGUAUAUGUACAUUUCUGGCCUUUAAAAAUUAAAAAAAAAGGCAGAAAAAGAAAAGAGUGUUAUGGGAAAAAAAAUUAUAUAUAUAUAUAUAUAUAAUUUUUUUUUUCUUUUUAACAAAGGGAAAGGAUAAUACUUGGAUCUUCCCAGGAAAGUACCUAAUUUACUGACCAUCUUACAUGGCCAAUAAAUUUAAAACACCUAGCAUUUUAACUCUCUUCUAAUAUUUUUCUAUCUCUGUCACCAAACACAUUUUGUACCUGAGAACCCACUCUUCUUCCCAUCUUCUUUCCUUGCCCAGCCCAACCCUUCACCUUCUCCGGCGACCAUCUCCAUGCCUAUCGGGAGUUUACUAAUUGGGCCACAAGUACCCACCGGGGAUAAUACUUAUUGGGCCACUUAAGAGUGAGUAAAUUGAAUAAUACUUGGGUCCUAACCUAUCAGGAUCAAGUGUACGGACCACUGACGUGGUCCAAUAAUAUAAAGAUAUCUGUAAUUUUAAAACGGGAUGUGCUAUUUAUACAUCAUUUUUUACUUUUUACAUACUUUUUAUUAAUUUUUAUCUAUUAAUCUUCUUCAAUUUAUCCGAUUCGACGAUUGAAAAUUAGAAAGAUAUGUGAGAAGUAAAAAAAGGUGUUUGGAUAUCACAACCCUUUUAAAACACCACUAUUCUAGUACCCAAACACCUUAAGUCCUAAACUCAUAACCCAUAACCCACCUCCAGAUUCCCUCCUCAGUCGUCAUCGACCGAUGCCCCACCUUUUCACCGCCUUCCCUCCCCAGCAUCUCUCUCUCAUCAGAGUCUGCCAUUCUUUUGAACUUCAAAGUUCCAAACCUCUUGUCUUCCACAACCUCCAAUUUCGAGGAUUUCCAUAACCCAAUUUUACCGAGCUCAGAUCUGGACGCCGGAGAGGGAUUGAAACUGACGUCGCCGGAGAAAAGAAGGAUUGGGAGUGGUCGGGAGUGAGACGGAGUGCGGGGGUUGCUGGAGAAAGAAGGGUUGAGGAAGAAGACUGGGUGAUUGGUUACAAAAAUAAGCAAGUGUUUGAUUGAGUUUCACUUGACAGGUGGAAUAAUUUUAUUGGACCACGUAAGUGGUCAGCUUGUCAGUAUUAUCCUAGUUUUACUCGUCUCGUGGGUUUGUCUUUGCUUCGUUUGUGAUAAAUAAUGGGCUCCAAGCGGCCAAUUUAUAUCUGAAUUCGCCCCUUUCUUGCCUUAAGCCAAAAACCCUUGCUCCCCAUUAAGCUUUUUUGCCCUCUUCCAUAAUUUUGAUACAUUUAUAUUCUCUUUUGCCAUGUGUAGAGGAAGUCUCUUACUAGUUGCAUAUGGAGCCCUUCUUCUACUCUUUCUUCUUCCCUUUAUUUGUUCCCAAACAUCGAUACCUGAAAAUAAUUCUGUUUGUACUCUUUCUUGUGGCAAUAUUAACAUAAGCUCUCCAUUUCGGUUAAAAGGAGACCCUCAACACUGCGGCAACCCUACGUAUGAGCUAACUUGUGAGGAAAAUGUUACAGUCCUCUACUUUUAUAACCGAAAGUUUUACGCCAAGGCGAUCAAUUACAAUAACUUUACAAUCCGAGUUGUGGAUGCUGCUGUUCAAAAGAAAGAUAACUACUACUCCAUCCCACGUUACUCUUUAACCUCAUCCAGCUUUGGUUAUUGGGAUCCUUACAGCACUUCUAGUCCGACUGACGUGGGGUUCAAAUAGUCCAGAGAUAAGUUACACGGCACGGCCUAUAAUUUUUAUGAACUGUCCAAAUCCAAUGCAUUCUCCUGGCCUUGUAGAAACAGCUCCAUGCGUCAAGGACGGCACCUGCUCUUCCAAUUCUUCUCUGUCCAAUGGUUUAAGAAUGUUUUCUUAUUCCAUCUCUGGCUGGAAUGGCUCUGUAACUUUUUUGGAUUUGGGGGUGUCCUGUGAAAUAACGCAGAUGCUUAUGGUCUCACUUUCGUUAUCCGUACAAGACAUGCAUCAACACUUGACGUCCUGUGAAGGCAUAUAUAGUGAAAUAGCGCAUGGCUUCGAGCUUUCAUGGUUUCACCAGGCUUGUAGCACCUCAAACUGCACAGAUGUGGAGGAAUGUGUGCUCAACAACGUGAGCAAAAUUGAGUGCUUUCGCUAUGAACCCAUAUAUGAACCCAGAAAAGGUAGUGUCUAUUAUUCCUCUUAUUCACAAGGCUAGAGUAACCAAAUUAAUUCAGCAAAUAAUUAGUCUUCAAUUACUGGGAGUCUGUCUGUCUAUGGAGAUUUAGGUUUUACAACUCCAGAAUAAAUUAUGUCAUAUAAAUAUUGACCAGAUGAAUGGGAGAGAAGCCUUUAUUUCUAUUAAGUACGUAUUCGAGGCUAAAUUUAUUGAGGAAGGAUCGCUACCUUUCUUUUUGUACUCUCUCUUUUUACCUUUUUACUUUAUUUUUAAGAUCUUACAUAUUACUUGAUAAUCAAAACUGUUUAUUUUGCAUACCACUAUAAACUAAUACUGCAAAAUACCCCAUUAAUCAGAAUUUAGAAAUCAUUUCACUGUUCGAUUAACGAUGUCAUGAUUUUUUGUUUAACUAAAGCACAUGGUUCACCUUUUAUUGAAUUCAUAUAUUGUUAUUUUUUCUAGUAAUAUUUAGAAAAUAGGCAGUUUGGAAUAUCAAGUAAUAUUGUAAGAUCUUACAAAAAAGUAGAAGGUAAUAAGUGAAAGUACAAAACAGAAAGGUAGCUAGCAUUCUCCUAUGAUAUUAAUUUUCACCUUUUUUUUUCUCUUAAUGGUAAAUAAUAUAUGAUCCUUUAGAGGAAAAAUAAUAUAUAUGAUCCUUAAUGAUAAUUCUUCUUCUUUUGCAAUGCAGAACAUUGGUACAUCAAGAUACUAUGGGCACUAGGCAAGUGGUUUACUCUCUAACGCAGCUUCUAUAUAAUACAUGUGUAGUUAGUUUCUUUAUUUGUGGUCACCUUGAUAUUUAUUAAACUUAAAUUACAUUUGGAAACUAUGAUCGAUAUUCAUCACUUUGCUGCAGAAUUGGUUUUGUACCAGAUGUAUUUGUUCAUCCGCUAUGGACGGUUUAUCCCUAGCGACGUGAUGAGUCAUAAGGCCCUUUACGUGUGUCCGAUAACUGUGGCCUCUCUCCUAGGUAGUGUGAACUACUCGUACUCAGCUAUCAUGCAACUUUUUCUAGCUUCAGAUACUCAUCAUUAAAAAAUGAAUGUUUGAUGAUCACUUUGUCUUUGUUUUCAUUCUUAUUAUUAUGUUUUAGUUAAAGGUUGCAGGGGAAUAUGGAAGAAUAUAUAUGAGAAAGAUGUGAAAAGGACAGGGAGGAUCGAGGUGGAUAGAGAAAUUGUUAGUCUUUGAAACAAUCUCAAAGAGUUUUCCAAUAAUUUUUUGUUUCAUAAAUUCUCCAUUUCUCCAUCAUCCCCCACCCCCAUCCCCAUAUCUUCUUUCUACAAUUUCCCCUCGCCUUUUUUCCUCUCUCUUUUUAGAUUAAAAAUUAAAACUAAAGGAUUUCCAAACAGUUGCUUAAUUAAUGAAAAAUAUUGUUGCACUAAAGGAACAAGUUUGAUGAUAUUACAGCAAUCAAUCUAUUUGGUGACUCCAAUGUUUUUGAAACGUGCAGGACUGUUCCAAGUAGUCAAAUUUUUAUUUGGCUUUCCCUGUUUAAUUGCAUUAAUAAUAUACAAAUGCAAAAGGAGGCACUUGUCCAUGUAUGAAAAUAUAGAAGACUUUCUGCAGAAUAAUCAGCUCAUGCCAGUAAGGUACUCUUACUCGGACAUAAGAAAGAUGGCCAGAGGUUUUAAGGACAAGUUAGGGGAAGGUGGCUUUGGUUCUGUGUACAAGGCAAAGCUUCGCAGUGGCCGUCUUGUUGCCAUCAAGAUGUUGGGCAAGUCGAAAGCCAACGGGCAGGAUUUUAUCAAUGAAGUUGCUACCAUCGGAAGGAUUCACCAUGUUAACGUGGUCCAACUUAUUGGUUUUUGUGUGGAGGGUUCAAAACGUGCUCUUUUAUAUGACUUCAUGCCUAAUGGGUCUCUUGAUAAGCACAUAUUUUCUCAACAAGGAGUUAUCUCCUUAAGUUGCGAGAAAAUGUCUGAAAUCUCACUUGGAGUGGCUCGUGGUAUUGAAUAUUUGCAUCGAGGAUGUGACAUGCAAAUUUUGCACUUCGACAUCAAGCCUCACAACAUUCUUCUCGACGAGAACUUUCUUCCGAAGGUUUCAGAUUUUGGGUUAGCAAGGCUAUGCCCAUUAGAUAAUAGCAUUGUGUCUUUGACUGCAGCGAGAGGAACCCCCGGAUACAUAGCUCCAGAGUUAUUCUACAAAAACAUUGGAGGUGUUUCAUACAAAGCUGAUAUCUAUAGUUUUGGGAUGCUACUGAUGGAAAUGGCUGGAAAAAGAAAGAACUUAAACGUAAAUAUAGAACACUUGAGCCAAAUAUACUUUCCGACAUGGGUUUUCGACCAGCUGAGUGGAGGAAAUGACCUUACAAUCGGAGAUGCUACAGAGGAGGAAAAGAAAAUCAUUAAGAAGAUGAUUAUUGUGGCGUUGUGGUGCAUACAAAUGAAGCCUAGCGACCGUCCUUCUAUGAAUAAAGUAGUAGAGAUGCUUGAAGGAGAAAUUGAGAGCCUUCAAAUGCCUCCAAAGCCUUUCUUAUACCGACAACAAAUGCCAGAGGUGGUUACUGGCGACAGUUCAAGUACCGCAUAAGCUGCAUCGACAACGACAACAUCCACGGAAAUUGUUUUGAUUGCAGAUGAAAAUUCAGAGAAUUAAUAUAGCUAGUAGCAAUGUUGAUGUGCAAAGGAACGUGUAGUGUACCCAAUAAGCACAAAUAGACUACUUGUAUUCAAUGGCAUUGAUUGCUUUCUAGUUUUCAGUUUUUAGCUUUGGUACGUACAAGGAUUAGUUUAUGCACAAAUUGUCUCUCGAUUAGUAUGGAAAAGCUUUAGAUAUAUAAUUUGUGUAUGAGCAAAGUUCGAUAUCUAUAUAUUAUGUUGAAGAAUGCAAUCCUACAUAAGAAACUAAACAAAUUGCACAGCUUAUAUCGAAUGGUUCCAAUUCCAGUUGCAUAUGAGAAGCUUUAAGAGGAGAAGGUACCUGAUCAAGGCGUGGCUAUCUUUGAUUAUUUUCUCAGGAUGUGCAUUUGAAUUCAAAUUAACUUAGAAAGGUAGAACUAAUAUUUAUUCUUCAUACAAAGACUAAAGCAUAUUGCCUUCCAUAUGCGACCCAAUUAAUAUUUAUUGCAAUCAGUAGGCUUAAAAGAGAGUCUCUUUCGUUUGUGCCAUGUUGCCAAAGACAGCGAUUUCUCAACGAAUGGGUCUGAAAGCUAAGCAAACUACAUCCAUUGACACUCUUAAGAAAGUGUUGAAAGCUUGUAACUUCACAUCUGCACCAGUGAAAUCCGCAGUGAUUACCGGAGCUUUGAUAGUCGAUUAGGUCUUGUAGCUGAGGCUUAGGAAGCGUUCAGGGUCAGUCAGACGUCUUAAUCUUAUGGACUCACCGUCAAUUCCAGCUUAUUGUAUAAGUCCUCUGGCAACAAUGUCAGCGUAGUCCAUGAAUCAACGAUAAUAUUGCCCUUUGCUGGAGCCAAUGAAGGGUUCAGUGAACUGUUAUAUUGCAAUCUCUUACGCCCAACGCUCAUUGCUUCAAGCCUUAGAUACUAUAAAGAUUUUGAGCCUCCAGAAAGUAAUGGGGUAGAAACCGCUGUGGUGCCGGAAACCACAGCUUCAAUGCCGAAGCUCAUUGUGCUUGAUGAGUUGAAUCCUGAAAAAGCAUGCACAAGGCAGGAGGAAAAUUUCGCAUCGAUUGAAGAACUCAUCUGAGAGAUGAGGGACACCGGUCCACGUCCAAGCCCAAUCAUGCCUGAUCCAUUUCUGUUAAAGAGGCCUCCAUUGUCUUGUCCACAACCAAACAUCAUUUGUGGGAAUGAAACUGGUUGCCCAGCAGUGGAGUUAAAUGUGACACUUUCUGUGGCUACAACUCACUUGCUGUAGGAUCUGUCCCCGUAAGAAACUGUGUAAUUACAAACUCCAUCUGUGUCGGGAGGAGAAGAGGUUCCGGUCACGAAUUUGCAUUGGCUUGAGUUACGAAGAACUUCUGCAUACGUUUUCAAAUUCUUUGGAUCAAAGAUUGGCGCAUUCUGCUUGUAACAAUGCAGGGCAUACAUUGCGUCCAUGUAAGAUCACUACCUGUAUCUGCAACGCCUAAGAUUUCAAGAGGAGGUGUACCUACUGAUAUUUUCAGGUUUCAACCCCUUAGAAGAAGACAUAAAGAGUUUUUUAACUGAAAAGCUUCUUCGAGAAGCCCUUCACGACAAUAUGCAUUGAUUAGUGUAUUAUAUGUCACAAUAUCUGAAAGCACCCCCUUCUCUUCCAUAUCUGAUAAGAAGAAUUUAACGCUAUCAAUUUAGCGAGCUUUGCAUAAGGCAUUGACCAUUAUAUUUAGCGCUGGUUUGGUAUUGCUGUGCUUUGAAAAAAAAGUUGUUGUGAGAAUAAGCGGCUGUGCUAUGAGAAUAAGUAGCUGUGAAAUAAAUCAGCAGAGUGUUUGGUAAACUUUUUUGUAAAAGUGCUUUUGGAAAAGAAAAAAAACCAAUCUGACCGUGGGUCUUUUCAUUAAAGGAGCACUGUAGCUCUGUGUGCUUUGAAAAAAAACCAGUUUUCCAAAGCUACAAAUAGCAGCUUUAGCUUUUUCCUUUGAUUUCAGCUUAUUCUCACAGCAGCUUCUAAAAUAAGCCAUUUUUUUUCAGUUUACCAAACACCUAAAACCCUCACAGCUUUUUUUCAUGGGUGCUUUUUUUUUAAGCACCUCACUCCCAAACCACCCCUUAGUGUAUAAAUAUUUAACUGAAUCCCACUGCUAACAACUUCCCCAUAUACGACCCAUGCCAAAUCAAUCCACCCGACCUUCACAAGCCCACCAAGAAGACUAUUGCAAGCAUUUAUCGAAACACAAACUCCCUAGCUUCUAAACACCUGAAACGCCUCAAAUCCUUCUCUCAAUUUCUUAGCCUGCACAUAAGUUCUAACAAACAGAUCAAAGACCAAAGAACUUGAGCUGCAACUGCUAUAAGUUGAAACCAAAGAGUCUGCUACUUCAACACGCAAAAUGCCACUCUUUCUAACCAUUCUAAGAAUCAGAGCUUGUGCAUCCGACACUGUUCAACUACGCACCAACAUGUGAAUCAUUGCACUCAAAGACAGUGAUGAAUGCUUAAAAUCAGGACUAUUUAACAGAAUCAAAUCAAUAAACUUCAGACCCAGUUGCAAAUUUUCACGGCAGCAAGAAAGAACAACAACAAUAAGAGACGGGUUUAACCGAAACAGAAAGCUGCGCAAAGAGGUGAGGUUACCUUGCUUCAGACCUAAUAAAAUCUUUUCCACCAAAAGAGAAUCUGAUAAAGAAGCUGAUGAAAACAGUUCUUGGCUUGUACUACUACAGGGUUCUUGUGAUUGCAUACUUUUAAGACCAAGUUCCAGGUCAUUUGAUGGACAAUAUGCUAAACAAUGAGGUCUAUGAGAGUGAAAGAGUGAGUGUUUGUUGGUUUUGAUCAGGUUGUGCGGGUUCUCGGACCUACAUUUCUCAAAAUUAGUCAAUGGGUUCGCAUGUUUGAAACUAGUUACAGCCAUUGAGGAAUGAAUUCAGAAUUCAAAAAGAUGUGGGAUGCUUCGGGGCUGAAAGGGCCUGUCUACUGAUUUAAAGUUCAUUCCAGUUUGGCUUGGUUAGGUCCCAAACCAAGAACCAGUACCAAACAGUUGGUAGGCCAUAGAGUUGAACCGGAAACUGAGAACCGAAAACUUGGACCUGCAAUAGACUGACCGUAUACUGAAAUUUUAAGUGUGGUCUGGUCUCAUUGAAUUAUAUCCUCAUUUGUAGCAGGUUGAUCCUGAAAAAAGUAAAUAGCAUUCAUCAACAUUAAAAAACAGAGGAAAAUGAGAACAGCAGUUCAACAGACAUUGGAUUGCAACGAGAAUCUCCCCAAAUGGGCAGAACGAUUCGAACAGACGAUUAAUUCAUUACAAAAAUGAUCAUCCAGAUUAAAAAAACGUUAUAGGUACGAUUAUUUAAUCCAAAUUUCCAUGCUUGUUCCUAAAUUCUAAGAUAUUUUAUCAAAAAUUACACUAACGGCACAUAGUUAGUUGCAAGAUAUUUCAGCCAAAUCUUGUUCCUGAGAUUUUAAGAAUCACGGAAAGUAGAAGAAAAAAAAUUAUGAAAUCUGAAGUUUACCUCAGUGAUCGGGCGGACCAACACCAACGGCGGCGACAGGAAGUGAGAGCAGCGAACGAUGGGCUAUCAGGGAGUGGAUGACGACUCCAAGAGUUCGAGCUUCAAUAGAAACCUUCAAUGGAAGAAGAGCAGGAUGAGUUCAGAUGAGAGGUUGAGAGGAACAGGAGGAUUCUGGUGGUUGUAACGUUGAGAGAGAGAGAGAGAGGCAGUAGGCGGGAGAGGAUUCAGAGAGAGAAAGCGGUCCACGUAGAAGGUUUAGUAGGCAGUUCAUCUCCAAACAUGUGUUAUGGCAAAACCCCGUCCAGAAUGAUCUCUCCGUCCCAAUCUCUCUCUCCUCUCUACUACUGACCAGUUACGUUAAAUUAUGUCAAUAUCUUAUAUUGAUUUUUUAAAAGAGAUAAUAAAACAAAAAUAACAUCUGAAAUGAGAAGAGGGAAGAGAAUGAGAAUAGGAGGGCAAGAAAUCUUACUCUUAGAAUUAUAGCCAUGCUUAACCAUCUCCCACCAAACCGAACCAUUAAUAACUAUUAAUUUAAAGUUUAUACUUUAAAUUUAUUAGUUAGUAUAAUUAAAUUAGGGGUGUGAUAUUCACACACCCAUUUUUACUUCUUCCACACUUUUUUGGUUUUCGGCCGUCAGAUUGAAUGAAUUGAAGAAGAUCAACAGACAUAAAUUAACAAAGGGUGUGUGAGAAGUAAAAUGAGACGUGUGGAUAGCACACCCCUUAAAUUAUCGUUGGAUGAUUUCAAAUCUAAUGGUUGAAAUUGAAUCCAUUAUUACAACCGAAGAGUUGGCCCUACAAAAAGGACUAGGAGGGGGCUACAUAUGGCAAGCUUGAUGCUUCUUUGACCAAAAAAUAGCUUAGUAGGUUCCAUAGAGUUAUAGCUCAAUCAUAUGUUGGAGAUGUGUUUUUAGGCAAUUCAAGUCUUUCUUGGUUUUUUAAACCUUUUAGCAUUCUCCAUUGGAAAUAGCCUUAAAAACGAACACAGGGUAACUUAAACCUACAGAUAAAGGUUAACCGGUAACAUAUGGGCAGAUGUGCAAUCCUAAGCUAUCAGCUUAAACUUUCGGUAUUAAGCUAUCAACUUAAAUAAUUAUUUUUUUUACAAGGAAACAAAUACGAAUUUAUAUGACCAAAAAGAAUAAGAAGAGAGAAGAUAGUUUCACGUCAUUCAAAUCUCUUUUAUCUACAAAACUUAAUCGCCUCAUCGAAUAUCUAACCCAGCAAAUCCAAUUGUAUAAACUUUAAUAACUUUACUCAUCCAAUUUCAUCCAAUCUUUUUGAAAUUGAUACCAGGUGGAUUCAACUGUACUUCAAAAUCUAUAUGUGUAUUUCUCUAACUAGUCAGCAACACCAGUUAACUAAGAUCAAAUGAUUAGAUUAACAAUAGUGGAAGCAAUCAAUUUAAACCCUUGAAAAACUGAAGAAAUCUCAGCUAACUUAGAUCUACUUUAGUACAAAUUCAAAUGUUGAUUAUCUUAGUUGCAAGGAUAGGUUAUGAUGAUCACAUAUCAUAUAGAAUUAUUGAAGUAUAAAGCCAAUAAACACAAUAAUCAACACAAGACGUUUUUGACCAGAAAAAACCCACCUCUAGGUUAAAAAACCGGGGGCUUAACAUUGAGUCCAAUCCACUAGUGUAAACAAAGGUUCAUACAAAGACCACACAAGCUCAAUUCUAGAUCCCUAUCUAUGGAGCAGCUUUACCUUUGUGCAACAUUAGCUUACACGAGAUGAAUUCAUAUGAUCUUCACGAAGUGGCAUCUCCUCCUGAGCUCAUCACCUUGUGGCACCGAUAACCAACACGAUCAAUGCAAAUGAUAUGAUGAUGAUGGAUUUAAACACCAGUCAAAUUCUCCAAUCAACAUUUAAAGGAAUAUCCGACUAUAAUCUCAACUUGAUCUAAUUGAGAAAUCAAUACACAAACUAGAUCAAGAACACAACACAAAUUGAAAAGACUAAUGCAACCUAGAUGCACAAUGAUCUUGAGAUAAAAUGCAUAAGAACAAUUUUGUAGUUAGGCAACUAGAUGAGAAGGCACAAAGCUCAAACUCAAUUUUUUAAGAUAGUGAAAUGUUUUAGCCAAAGAGACAAGGAAGGCAACUAAGGGUUUAACAUGGGAGAUACCAAAUUUUUUGUCCAAACAAGGACAAAAGACACUUGUCAAUGCAUAGCUCAAUCUAAGCAAAUCUAAGGCUGAGAUUUCAACCUAGAGCAAAGAUUUCAGAAAGCCCAUGUGAGCUGACUUAAAAAGCGUGUCCAGACAACUGGACAUCAGUGACUUUUUGACUGGACAACAAAACUAGAUAGAAGGAACUCAGGUUAAUGCAUGGAAUGUAUAUGAAUGAUCAAACCUUUAGUGAAGAUAAAUUGUCUUCGAUCAAAGCCUUCAGAUAUAAUAUCCAACAAGAUGAACCCAUACUAGAGUUGUAAAAAACAGAGACAAUCUAAGAGUAUGUGAGGUAGUAUUUACAACUUUUGACAAGGAAAACCAAAUAGCUUAAAACUAGACUUCACACUUUUCUCAAUGAUAUUCAAACACCGUUAGUUACAGAGCACCAAAAUAUUUGAGAUUAUGUGGUUUUGAAAAUUGGGAUAUUUAAAACAUGUCUCUCUCUAUUUUUCAUAUACGAAAAGGAAAAAACAAAAAAAUAUAAAGGAGAAAAGGGGAGUGAAUGAUUAAGAGAGAUGAAGAGACGAAUGGGACGGCAAGGGAAGAAGACGAAAGAUUUCACGUGGGAAUUUUUUUAAUUUAAUCUCUUUGCAGAAUUAUUGUGUUUUGAUGUAACAAAGAUUGUUUAAGUUGAUAGCUUAAUCUACCAUAAUAUUAUCUGAGAGCUCAAAUACAAAAGAACAUCAUCGGUCCUUAAAAUGAGGACCUAGCAAUUUUGAACAUAUGGGUAUUUUGUUAUCUUGUGAUGUGAAAUCUCAAACCACUUAGGACACGUUUUACAUAUCUGGAAUCAGAAUAUAAAUGAAUGGAAAGAUGAAUUUUCAUUUUUUUUAUACAACGUUAUAUUUACAUACUAGGAUGAGGGUAUGAACAUGGAAACUCCUGAAAUUCAAUGACAGAAGAAUUACACAAGUGAACAGGGUUGCAAUCUAUGGGAUACAUUCUUUACAAGAAUUAAUCAUCUAAUGUGAUAUGCAAAAGUGUCAAAAAAGACCAAAAUAUGUUGCUUGAUCCAUGGCCGUAGAACCUUAAUAUUGAUUGAACGGAUGUCACAAUUUUUGUAGUGGUAUGUAGUGUUUGAUUUUAUUGGUAAGGAAUUGGCUCGUAUGAGUUAUGGUAGAUAAUUCUCACAAGUACGAUGAAGAAUUUAGGAAAAUCUUUCUAAAUUUGUGGUGUGGCUGGAGGAAUUUGAAGAAACUGAAUUUUGGAGAUUGCAAUGUAUUUGGUAUAACAACUCUUGUUUUCAUUGGGGAAUAUUUCUCUAACUCAAUAAUUGAAAUUUCUUAUUGAGUUUUCUUUUUCUCUUUGUGUUGAUAUUCUAGACCUGGAAAUUUCUUACACGACAUGUUAACUCGACCGAAAAUAAUACGAAAAUAACGAGUUUCAAGUUAACACAUUAACUAAUUGAGUCGUUAUUGGGUCAAACAUUAAGAACCCAUUGGUUUACCUGCGGAUUGUAGAAACUCAUGAUUCUUUGAGAGAACAAUUAGAGAUAGAGAGAGAAAGAAUUUUAGAGAGAGAGAGGAUUGAAUAGAAUGAUUUUCAUUAUACUCAGAAUAUGUACAAUACAAUAUAUAUAGAUACAACCACCUACUCUACCAACUAUAUCUUAACAGAUAAGAAAUCUUUUUAAUCAGAUAUAGGCUUAGUUGGUGGUCCUAUUGUAUCCUUAACACACCCCCUCAAGCUAAAGUUAGGGGGUCUAACUGAAAGCUUGGAAGUAAGCUCGGCAAAACGAGGAGCAGGCAAGGAUUUGGUGAAAAUAUCUGCCAGUUGAAGAAGAGAUGUAACAUGAUUAACACUAACUGUGCCACUGAGAACCUUUUCCCGAAUAUAAUGGUAGUCGAUUUCAACAUGUUUUGUCCGAGCAUGAAAGACCGGAUUGAAGGCCAAGGCAAUUGCACUCUUGUUAUCAUAGAAAAUCGCAGGCGUUUGGAGAAUAGGAAAGGAGAUAUCAUGCAGAAUCUUACUGACCCAACUGAGUUCAGCAGCUGUAUGGGCCAGAGACCUGUACUCAGCUUCAGUAGACGAGCGGGCAACAGUGCAUUGCUUCUUGGCACUCCAAGAGAUGAGAUUAGGGCCAAGAAAAACACAAUAGCCACUUGUGGAUCGUCUAUCAAUAGGACAGCUUGCCCAGUCCGCAUCAGACCACGCAGUAAGGCUUUGACAACCUUUAGUAAAACACAAACUAGAAUCAAGAGUACCCUUCAAAUAACGAAGGAUUCGUUUGACUGCUUGCAAAUGAAUGGUCCGAGGAGAAUGCAUAUACUGACAGACUUGGUUAACAGCGAAAGCCAAAUCGGGUCGUGUCCAUGUGAGAUACUGCAAGGCCCCAACAAUUGAUCUAUAAAAUGUAGGAUUAGAAAGUAAAGUACCAGAGUGAUCCAGUUUGGCAGAUGCAACAGGAGUGGAGCAAGGUUUAACACCAACCAUAUCAGUCUUCUUUAACAAGUCAAGAGCAUAUUUAGACUGGUGAAGAAAAAAUCCUGUAGCAGAUCGGUGCACCUCAAUUCCCAAAAAGUAGUGAAGAUCACCCAAAUCCUUGACAGGAAACAUAGUUUAUAACUGAGAAAUGAUGGAAGUGCAGACAGAGGUAGAGCUCCCGGUGAUGAUAAUGUCGUCAACAUAGACUAAGAUGAAGGUGAUGGUAGAAUCCUUUUUGAUAAACAAGCUGGUAUCAGAGGAAGAAGCCAAGAAUCCCAAGGACAAAAUAGCUUUGUAAAAGGCUUCAUACCAGGCCCGAGGGGCUUGUUUUAAACCAUAGAGAGAACGCUUGAGUUUACACACAUGUUGAGGGUGGUUGGAGUCAACAAAACCAGGGGGCUGGAUCAUGUAGACAUCCUCUUUUAAAGUACCAUGCAAGAAUGCAUUACUGACAUCAAGCUGAUGAAUGAACCAGUCAUAGGAAACUGCAAUGGACAAUAAAAUUCGAAUGGUAGUUGGUUUAGCAACUGGACUGAAGGUCUCAGUAAAAUCAAGGCCUUCUUGUUGAUGGAACCCUUUAGCCAUCAGCCGAGCCUUAUACCGUUCUAUCGAACCAUCUAGUCUAUGCUUGACUUUAAAAACCCAUUUGCAACCGACUAAAUUCAAGUCAGGCUGAAAAGGAACUAGAUCCCAAGUCUCAGUAUUCUGCAAGGCUUGAAACUCAGCCUCCAUGGCAGCCAGCCAGUGCGGAUGCUUGGAAGCUUGUAAAAAUAUGGUAGGGGUUGGAGGAAGACAAGUAAUGGAAUCAACAGAAGCAGGAAUAGAGUGUUUAGUUGCAGUGAAAACCUUCGGCUUGUGAAUUCCAGCUUUAGCCCUUGUAAUCAUAGGAUGAAGAUUAGGAGGAGUAGGUGUGGGAGUAGGGGAGGAACCCGCUGGUAUAGGGCAGGGAAUAAGAGAGGAAGAAGCAGCAGAGGGUGAAGAGGCUGAAGGUUGUAAAACACUAUCGGGAUGAGCCAACUGAACUGCACUUGGGGAAGAAGAAACAGGAAUAUUCAGAGGUAUAGGGGCAGGAACUGUACUUGUAGGAGAAGCAUCAGAAGAUAGAGGAGAACCUGAGAACAUCCCAGUCUUGAACGGAAAUAAGUGUUCAUCAAAUGUAACAUGCCGAGAGACAUACAGCUUAUUAGCCACAGGAUCAAAGCAUCUGUAACCACUAUGAUGAAGACUAUACCCCAAAAAUACACACAGUUUACUCUUGGUAUCCAGUUUAUGCGAUGAGUAGGGCUGCAACCAAGGAUAGCAAGCACAACCAAAAGCCUUCAAAUUAUGAUACUUAGGAGGCGCUUGGAAUAGUUUCUCCCAAGGACUAACGGAAGAAGAUUGAGGUGGCAGGCGGUUGAUGAGGUACACAGCAGUUUGAAAAGCUUCUACCCAGAAUUUUGGUUCCAAACCACUCUGAAAAAGAAGAGUCCUGCCCAUUUCGACAACAUGGCGAUGUUUCCUUUCGGCACACCCAUUUUGUUCAGGAGUAUGAGGGCAACUUAAUUGAUGUGUGAUCCCUUGUGCAUUAAGAAACCCCUGAAAUUCCUUGCUUAAAAAUUCACCACCAGAAUCAGACCGUAAACAUUGUAUUUUACAAUCGAAAAAGGUUUGAACUUUGUGUACAAAAGUCUUGAAGACAGAGCAAACAUCAGACUUAUAUAACAAUGGAUAUAACCAGCUGUAUUUCGUGUAAUCAUCUACUACAAUGAGAUAGUAUUUAUAACCAGUACAGGAGGAAGUGGGAGAAGGACCCCAAACAUCAGUAUGAAGUAAAUGAAAUGGCCUAUUUGUAGUACACGGCAAAAUGGAAAAGGGAAGUUUAGAGGCCUUCCCCAACUUACAAGCAGUACAAACAGAAUCUGUGUUAACAGAACCAAUCACAGGCAGCUGGUGUUUAUUCACAACAUUAUGAAAAACUAGACUCGAUGGAUGACCUAGGCGUUGAUGCCAGACAUAAGCAUCCACUUUAGUAAUCAUCAAUGCAUGAGGAGAGAGAGCAAUGCCUGAGAUUCCAUUGGAUGCAUCCCAGUAGAAAGGAUAUAAGCCACCUUCACAGGGGCCCUGGAAGAGCAUCUUCCCAGUACUUAGGUCCUUGAUAUAGAACUCAAACGGAUCAAAAGUCAGAGAAGCCCAAUUAUCACAAACAAACUUGUAAACAGAUAACAAGUUAUGUGAAGCUUUGGGAACUAACAACACAUCAUUAAGUCGAAAUGUAGCAUUCAUAGUGCGAAUUAAAGCAGAUCCAGUGUGAGAGAUACACAGACCUUUACCAUUACCAACAAAGAGUUGAUCAUGGCCAGUGUAGGGAAUGGCAGAAUUGAGAGAAGCAGGAUCUGGAGUCACAUGAUGAAAAGCACCACUAUCAGUUUGCCAAUAGCUUGGUGGAGGAGAAGUAGCAGCGGUCAUACCAAGAGGAGGUCCAGGAUGAGAUCGUUGAGAGGCAAACUGAGAGAGCUUCUCACAAUUGAGAGCUUCAUGACUAGAUUUAAGGCAUAACUGACACUGAAAAAACCGGCCAGAGUAAGAGGUAUUAUUGUGCUGACCAAAUCCUGUAGAUCUUGAAUUUGGACCCGAGCCAAGAAGACCACUAGAGGUGUUAUGAGUAGGACGAUUGCCUCCAAACGUGCGAUUGUUAUGAUAGCAAUUACGAUUCUGAAAGCGACCUCAAGAAUUACCUCGGUAAGAGUUGACACCAGAAGAACCUUGUUGAGCCGUAUAGGCGUGAAAUGGUGCAGAUGAUGAAGAAGAGGCUUUGGUCUUUCGUUUCUGAAGAGAAAUUUCCUUACUAAGAAGUAAGCCAUGAAGUUCAUCAGUGUUGAUAACCUCAGUUCUUGUUUCAAUAGAGUCAACGAAGGAAUCAUACUCAUCAGAAAGACCAGAAAGGAUGUAGGCAACAAGAUCGGAUUCAGAAAUCGGAUCGCCAGCCGCUGCAAGUUUAUCAGAGAUCUCCUUGAGAGAGUUGAGGUAAUCCGUCAUCGAGGAGUCACCUUUCUAAAUUGUUUGGAUCUUCGAGUGUAAGCUGUGAAUAUAAGUGCGAGAAGCACCAGAAAAACGACGUUCAAGAGACUGCCAGAUAGACUUGGAAUCAUCCAUGCCAACCGUCAAAGGAAGGAGAUCUUUAGAUAAAGUCGAAUUGAUCCAAAUCAUCAAGAGUUGAUCGCGUUCACACCAAGUCUCAUACACCGGAUUAGGAAUUUAAGCGCCGGAAGAAUCAAGCACAAACGGAGAAGGACACACAUCAGUGCCAUUGACAAGCCCUAAAAGCUUGAAUCGCUUCAGAACAGGGAGGAAGAGACUACGCCAGGUGAUGUAAUUGUGACGAGUGAGUUUCGUCGCCACCAUACCAGUAAUGUUCUGAACGGUAAUCGAAGAGAGAGAUUGAGCUGACAGAUUUGGACCGUCGACAUGAGAACCAGAUGAAGCAGCCGGAGAAGAAGAGGUCGCAGCCAUCCAGAAGAGUAGAGAAGAAAAAUUCAAGAAUUUCAAGAAAUUGAAGAAAUUAGGGCAGAGAAGAUAUGUUUGGGAGAAGAGAAAGAGGUGAGAAAAUUCAAGAAGAUGGAAGCGGUGGAUCGAAGUCGGUAGACAACGGCUCUGAUACCAUGUAGAAACUCAUGAUUCUUUGAGAGAACAAUUAGAGAUAGAGAGAGAAAGAAUUUUAGAGAGAGAGAGGAUUGAAUAGAAUGAUUUUCAUUAUACUCAGAAUAUGUACAAUACAAUAUAUAUAGAUACAACCACCUACUCUACCAACUAUAUCUUAACAGAUAAGAAAUCUUUUUAAUCAGAUAUAGGCUUAGUUGGUGGUCCUAUUGUAUCCUUAACACGGAUAACCAGUCGGUUUGUUCGCGGGUCACCCAUUUCAACACGUUAAGAGAAAAGUUAGUUUGAUUAAUUUAAACUACUAAAAAAACAUUACUACAAUAGCCAUAGUAUUUAAUCUCCCAUAAAGGAGUAUAAAAAUUUUCAAAACACAUUAAAAAAUUCAUAAUGAUUAAUUUACAAUUGUAAAAAAUGUGAAAAAUAUGCAAACGCGUGAUGACAUCAUCUACAUUUUGACGAUGGGUACUUCGUCACUUGAAAUUUUAAAACACUACAAACCCUCAUGAAUAGUUUUUUUAUUGGGACCCAAAAUAAAUAAAAAUUCCUAAUAAUUAAUAUGCAAGUAUGAAAAAUGUGAAAGAAUGUACAAAUGCUCGUGAUUACAUUCUCUAUGCUUAGACAAUUGUUACGUUGUCGUUUAGAUUUUUAAAAUCCUUCAAACCUUCAUGAAUAAUAUUUUUCGUUUGAGUGAAAAAAAAUAAUAAUAACUAACAUAGAAGUGCGAAAAUGUUAAAAUAUAUAUAUAUAUAUAUAUAUAUAUAUAUAUAUAUAUAUAUAUAUAUAUAUAUAUAUAUAUAUAUAUAUAUAUAUAUGCAAUCACUUGUGAUGACAACUUUUACAACUUUCGUGAAUGGGUCAACUCCGAAAUUUGACAGUAUAAUUAAUAAAACCUAGAUUUAUAUUUAACCAUAGAUUGACAUUUAUGCUCUAUUUUUCUCACUGGAUUUUAUUUUUUAGAUUUUUGUUUUGGCCAAAUUUUUUCUUGGUCCCUGUGGUGAGACGACACUUUCAAUGUGAUCCUCAUAAUGAAAAAAUUGUUAAUUAAAACCCCAUGGUGAGUUCUGUUAGAAUCCAAUAGGCGAGCUUUUUCACCUGAACAUGAUCAUCAUCAUGGAAGCACUACCGACCAGUGACCAGAUCGACGACAACGUCUUGUGCUUGUCGGUGAUUAUCGACUUGACCAAGUCGUUGCAGCUGCUACUAGUCAGGGGCAGCUGUUGUUGCAGAGAGGAGGAAUGCGAGACUAGAGGGGUUAUUAAAAAUCCACACGAAAAAACAAGAUUGCUAAUACCGUGCUAAUGAGAUCUUUAAUCCAAGUGAGUCAUUUUAUUCAGAUGUUUUCAUUUUUUUUUUUUACAUUUUUCUGCAAUCAAACAACCCAGAUUGUGCCACAUGGGCCCAAACCCUUUUUUUCAAAUGUUUUUCAUUUUUUUUUUUCUGAAUUAAAAAGUCAGAUUCAUCCAACAGCCAUAUGUGCAGAAGGCUAGAAGGCUAAGUGCGCCUAUAGCGCAGGUCCCACUGCCACUUUCCAGUCAGCUCACGCUCCCUCACUCACUCGUGAAGUCCACGUGCUUGACGCAAAAAUAAAUAAAUGAAUAAAUAAAAAAUAAACGUGGUUAACCUCAUGCUAACAUUAGAUCCACUCCGACACUAAAGCGGACAAAAAUGACCCGAUCAAUAGGUCUGGGGUGGGUGGGCCCAUUGAAUCGCCCCACUGAUUUGGAUGGGCGGAGCUGUUUUUCUUAGGUGUGGGAAUUAAACCACCUAAUUAAAAGGGCAAUUUAAUGGAGAAAAGUUGCUUCAAGUAUAAUCCUCACUCACGCCACUUAGUUCUAAAGUCUAGUGGUAUUCCUCUUCACUUGUAAGUGAGAUGUCUUAGGUUCAAUUCUUGACAAAGGUGAAAUUGAACCACAUUCACUAGCCCAUUGUAAGGUUUAACCUACUUUCCCACCCCUUAAUGUAGAUAAUAUGUUUGUUAAAAAAAAUAUAAAAAAAAAAUCCUUACUUAACCAAACGUGGAACACUACUCCGAUCUAAGCUAGUCCGAAUUUAAAAAAAGGGCUAUCUCCAAUGGAGAUGGCUAUAGUUUAACCUUUUUCUUUACAAAACCCAACUCUGAUGGAAAGUUGGGCCAAAACCAAAUGGAUCUUACCAAGCCAAAUUAGAGCAAUUUGACCAUCGGGUUGGGCAUAUUGAGUCCGCCUUGCAGCCCAUUUGUUGGGUUUUUUUUUAUAAGGACGAAAUUUAAAAAAGAAAAAAUUUUAAAAUCUAUUUUUUUUUCUAUAAAUACCUAAGUCAUUUAUACACCAUUUUUCACAUCAUUUUCAUCAUUCCACAUUAUCUUACCUCAUUUUAAUCCAAUUCUUCACAUUCUAUUCACAUCAAACACUCUUUUCAUACACACUCUUCUCUUACCUCUACCAAUAAUCUAAAUUUAAAUUUUUCAAUAUUUAUUCAAAUGACACUCAAAAUAUAUCCGGAUAACCUUAUUCAUUUAGUAACAAGUGACACUCAAAAUAUGUCAUGAUAAAUUUAUUUUAAUAUAGUAGUUUAAUUCAAUUAUCCAAUAAAGUUAAAUAACAAAUUUAUAAAUAAUAAAUUAUUGAAGGGCUAAAAAAUAGCCUAUACAGUUGCAGAUGAUAUAUAAAUAUGGCUUACCACUAUUCAUUUAAAAAUAAUUUCUUACGUAACUUUGAUUCGGACUAAACAUAACCCCUGAUAGACGUAUCAAACGAGACAUAAAUAGCGCGUUGGAUAUUAACCCGGAGACGCCAUUGUGGGACACAUCCUCACGUUGUAAAAUUUUACUUUUAUGUUUUUCCGUUGUUUCAAAACAUCGACGCUGGGCCAAACUUUGAGCCGUCAUUUCGAUCCGUACUCAUGAAAACUGGAAACUUGAGCAGUACAAGUUGCCGUACCAAAGAAGUUGUGUAUCCGUUAUUCUCAAAAGCUCUUUCCUCUGCUAAAAACUGCACUGAAUUACACAAAGUCCACUCACAGAUUGUCACUUCAGGAUUACACCAUUCCGUCUUCUUCUCCGGCAAACUCAUAAGCAAAUAUGCUCAGCUCAGAGACCCCAUUUCCUCCCUCUCAGUUUUCCACCAAGCUCUUCCCAAAAGCAAUGCCUACCUAUGGAAUUCAAUCAUCAGAGCGCUUAUCCACAAUGGGUUUUACUCAAAAGCUCUUGACCACUACACUGAAAUGGAUAAAUUGAAUGUUCGACCUGAUAGGUAUACAUUUCCUUCAGUGAUCAAUGCCUGUGCUGCGUUAUGUGAUCUGGAAAUGGGCAUGAUUGUUCAUCAGCGUGUUUCCGAAAUGAGUUUUGGAUCAGACUUGUACAUUGGUAAUGCAGUGAUAGACAUGUAUUGUAGAUUUGGUGAACUUGGCAAAGCACGGCAACUGUUUGAGCAAAUGCCUCAAAGGGAUAUUGUGUCGUGGAAUACUGUGAUUUCGGGCUACAGUUCGAAUGGAUAUUGGGAGGGAGCUUUGGAAAAUUUUCGUAGGCUGAGAAUGGACGGGUUGUUACCAGAUUCUUUUUCCAUAUCUGGUGUUUUGCCUGCGUGCGGAGGCUUGGUUGAUGUUAAAGAGGGUUAGAUAGUUCAUGCUUUGGUUGAGAAGAUUGGGGUCCAUGCUGAUGUUUUAGUAAGCAAUGGAUUUCUUUCAAUGUACUUCAAAUUUGGUUGGUUAAAAGAUGCUCAAUGUCUUUUUGAGAAGAUGGUUGUUAGGGACUCGGUUAGUUGGAACACUGUGAUUUGUGGGUACUCUCAGUUGGGGUUGUUUAAAGACUCAAUAAAUUUGUUUAGGCAAAUGGUGAAUGAAUUUACACCUGAUUUGCUAACAAUCACUUCUGUUCUCCGUGCUUGUGCUCAUUUACAGGAUCUGGGACUUGCAAGAUAUGUUCAUGACUACAUGAAAAGAAGUGCUUUUCAAUUUGAUACUAUGGCAAAUAACAUACUUAUUGAUAUGUAUGCAAAAUGUGGAAACUUAUUAGCUUCACAAGAAGUAUUUGAUCAUAUGGAAUGUAGGGAUGCUGUGUCAUGGAAUUCAUUGAUCAAUAGUUAUUUUCUUAAUGGUUGUUCUGAUGAAGGGUUCAACCUUUUUAAGGCGAUGAAGAGUAGCGUGAAACCUGACUCUGUGAGUUAUGUGAUGAUACUGUCAAAUUCUACCCAGCUAGCAGAUGUGGACAAGGGGAAAAUGAUCCACUGUGAUACGGUAAAAUUGGGAUUCAAUUUAGAUGUUAUCGUCAACAAUGCUCUUGUAGAUAUAUAUGCUAAAUGUGGCAAAAUAAAGGAUUCGCUACUAGUAUUUGAGAAUAUGGAAGUUCGUGAUGUAGUAACAUGGAAUACCGUAAUUGCUGCUUGCAUUCAUUAUGACGAUUGUAGUUUAGGGUUAAGAAUGAUUCGUAGAAUGAGGAAUGAGGGAGUGAUGCCCGAUGUGGCCACCAUGUUAGGUAUCUUGCCUGUGUGUUCCUUGUUUGCUGCAAAGCAACAAGGAAAAGAGAUCCAUGGGUGCAUUUUAAGGUUAGGAUUUCAUUCAGAUGUCCCUGUUGGGAAUGCACUAAUAGAAAUGUAUUCUAGCUGUGGUAGUUUGGAAAACUCCAUACGAGUAUUUGAGCAUAUGAGAAAGAAGGAUGUGGUGACAUGGACCUCCAUGAUCUCUGCCUAUGGGACAUAUGGUGACGGAGUGAAAGCAGUAAGAACUUUUGCAGAAAUGGAAGCAACAGGUGUCCUUCCUGAUCAUCUUGCUUUCCUUGCUGUCAUAUUUUCUUGUAGCCAUUCAGGUUUAGUAGAAGAAGGUAUGGCUUACUUCAACCGGAUGAAGAACUGCAAACUUGAACCUAGGAUCGAACACUUUGCUUGUGUAGUUGACCUCCUCUCACGGUGUGGCUUAUUAGCUCAAGCAGAGGACUUUAUCCAUUCAAUGCCAAUGAAGGCAGAUGCGAGUAUAUGGGGAUCUUUACUUAGUGCUUGUCGAGCUAGUGGAGAUACAGAUAUAGCUGCACGUGUCUCAGAACAGAUAAUUCAAUUGAAUUCUAAUGAUACAGGGUAUCAUGUUUUGGUCUCAAAUGUAUAUGCUUUAGGGAAGUGGGAUCAAGUGAGAAGAAUUCGGAAAUGCAUGCAAGCUAAAGGACUCACAAAAGAUCCUGGAUUUAGCUGGAUGGAGAUUCAAAAGAAAGUCUGAGGAUAGUCCCUCUUAAAAUUGUAUAGAGGUCAAAACGUUUGUCGGGGCUACUUUUGGGUUUGUUGGGAAAGGAAGAUAUGCUGAUUUGCAACUUCUCCCACCAUGACUUCGGAGAUGGAUGAGAAAAAAGACGUAGAAAAGGGGAGGGCUUGCCAUGGAAGGUAAUGGCUGAUGAAUAACCCUUUGGCUUUGUGGGAAACUUUUGCAUUUCUUUCCUUUUCCAAAUCUUUCUUUUGUAUGUUCAUCGAAUUAGCAAAUCUGAAAACUUCAAAGUACACUUCUCCCUCAUAGGCAACUCAUAUGAACAAACGCUAUUUAAGAAUGAGAUAUUGCAUUUUUAUAUUUUCAUGUUGCUUAAUGUUGAUGGUAUCUUGUUGAAUGCUGUAUAAGCUUUAGGUUCAUCAGUCAUGCUUCUAUGAUAAUAAAGCCUGAUUUACACUUGUCUCUCUCUUGUUUAAUUUACAUAGCAUCAUUAAGUCUGCUUUUUGUCUUACCAUAUGGUGUAGGUCCAAUGUUCGAAGGAGAGGGUUCUGAAUUUAGAGCAGACCCGAAUUCACUGAUCCGAGGUUAGAUUGUUCAUUUCAAGAGAUUUUCAUUUCUUUUUCUUGCUUAUUCAUAGAUUUAGUUGUGUACUUUUAACAACAAAAAAAAACUGACUUGAAGCUCCUUUGUUCUUAAUUCUAACUAAUAAUUAAUUUAACGAUUUUAAUUUAUUGUGUAAAUUAAUUUAUUGUGUAAAUUUUGGCUUAGUACGAUUCAAGAGACUACAAUUUUAAUUGCAAGAUUUGGUAUUUUUUUUUUAUCUGUUGCACAAUGUGUGGCUUCAGUUCUGAAAAUAUUGAGGAUUACUGCUUUCCUUCAAUAAACAGAACUUUGAAAAUUCAUCUUGUUUAUUUAUCAAGUGGCUCUGAUUGCAGAGGCAACACGAGGAUGUGUCGCUCGCAGAUAAUGUGAAAUUCUCAAGAGGAUUUAUGCGAUUCUCGGGUCCAGGCGUCCAUAUGAACAAUCUCUCCAGCUCACUCUACAGAGGCUAACUACUGCAGAACCUGAGAUUGCAGACGCUAAGUGGAAAGCUUCUAAAAAAGUUCAAAAUUUGGCGGUAAUGCCGUUGUUGACCGACAGUCUUGACAGCCACAGUUGAACACUCUGAUAGUAAAACUGAAUUCUUUUCAGCCAUUAGUCAGUUCACUUGGAUGGCUCAGAUUUUACCGUUGUAAAUUCCUUUUUUUUUUCCAAAAAUCUGGCAACUCAACAUUACUAUUUUGGAAAGUUAGAGCUAGAUUCUGAAGGUCGUAGGGUAUAAAACCAGAACCAAGUCUUUGAAGUUCCGCAUUUUGACCCAAUGUCGGGAGAACCUUCCUAUUUGAAUCUGCUCCUUCUACCUUGUCACUCUUUUUCGUGAUCCAAAUUACAAUGUUGCUUGACAAUCGGAACUGUAUUAUCUAAGCUAACCUUUAAUUUUCAACUUAGCAAAAACACUUUUUAUGCAAGGGAACUUAUCAAGUAGCUGAGAGCAUUCAUCUUAGCAACCGUGUUAAUCCGUUCGAUAUCACUUGUUUAAGACGAAUAAAUCUUUUAUUCAAAUUGUUAGUACUAUAAUUAACAAUUCCAUUAAAAAUAAUAUACCAUCAUUAAGAAUUGAAUAUAUUAUGCAAGGAGCAUAUCUCGAGUAGUUAAAAAACAUUUUAUUUUGCAAUCGAGGUCCUUUGUUUGGGUAAUAUCACUUGAAUAAAACCAAUAAAUUUUCAUUCAAAUUGUUAGAAGUCCAUUUGAAAUAUUCCUACCUUCGAUAUUCAAUAGAAGUGCAUUUGACAUAUUCCUACAUCCUAGACUCUUAAGAAUUAAAAAAAUCCUAGCUGCGGAAAAUUUCUCUGCCGCCAGCUCCUGCCUUUGGCUUUAGAGUCGGCGUCAAUCUUCUUAAAAAUCAUUCUUCAUCUCUUCCUUCUCACUUUUUGUUUACUUUAUUUGGUUUUGAAUUGUCACCGUGAAAAUGUUGUAAUCACUGUGAUAAUGACACACGUACAUAGUUCACAUAAGGCUUUGGAUCCAAUUAUCACCUUCGAUAUGGGGUUGAAGCGGGAAGCCAUGAAAGAUGUCGAAUUGCAUUGGGAUCAAGUUUAGUCAGUACAACACUUUGGGUUUAGCUGAUGUAGUGGUAUGCCUUUCGGAUGUCCGAAGGAUGUGGAGUGGCGACAUGAUUUUAUCCUUUUAUUUUGUUUCUGUUUAAUUAUUUCUGGGAAUUGACUUAAGAGUUUGGUUUGAUUUCUCUUUAUAGGAGAGUUUGCUAGUUUGAUUGCUCUCCAUAGGAGAGUGCUUGAUUUUAAGUUUUGUUUUGGUGUGUUACCCUUUGGGAUCCAUGUCUAAAGGGUGGAGCCGUUUGAUUUGUUGGAUCUACUUCAUUUGGUGUUCUGCGAUUGUAAUGGUUAUUAGGUGAUGCGAUGGACUCAUGGGCAUCGUGCUCCCUAUUCCAAUUUUAUGGUUUGAGAUUUUGUUCUCACAUGAUCCUCUUGUAACACGAAGUUUAACGGUUUAUUAAUCUAUGUAAUCAUACAACUCCAUAUGAGCUCGAAAGAGUGCGUGAUGUCUACUCAUUGGGCGAUCAAUAUGCUUUAUUGUACUAUUUUUAGAUCUAGUUUGCAAAGACCCUUUUGGGGCCAAGUUCUUCAUGAUAUGUAUUUGUAAUGCCCUUUUAUCAAUGAAUGAAUACCGUACUCUUAAAAAAAUAAAAAGCAAACAUAACGUCAAAAUGUUCUACAGUCUCCAUGUAAAACCCACCAAUUUUUAUUCGGAAUUGUUCGCAGUUCCCCACAUAAAAUCUUGAGCAAAGCUACCAAAAUCAACAUUACAAAAGCCUGCUAGACAGAUGAUCCCAGACACCAAUAUACAUAUCGUUUUCACAGGAAGGGACAUGAAGCUUUUAGUUCGUCCAAUAUGCUACAAGGAUGUCAACUCAUAUCUCCAAAUACGGCAGCAAAAUGAGCCUAUCGCGCGCUAUGCAUGGGCAUGAGAACCAGAAGCAUGUUCAGUUUCGCAGGAUUGGAGAACCAGAAGUAUAUAUGCUUAUCUGCAAUCUUGAAAUGUCGUGCCUUUUUUAGGAAAUACGUCCCUGGACACACAUGAUGGAGGUACCCCAGCUCCAUGGGUUUGGGCCGGCUGCCAAUCGAUUGUUGGAGGCAUACAAGAUGCUUUUGAAGGUAUCUCAUUUGCCAAUGUUUACAUUUUUUUUCCUAGCACAUUUUAAGGUUUAUCAGCUAAAGUUUGAAUGGCAAUUCGCUCGUUCAUAUACCCACUAAUGUGAGUGAUGGUUUUAUAUGAUAUUAAGACCUCAUGGAGACUUCAUUUUCCACUAAAUCAAUAGGAGUUUCUACCCGUCUAGAAAAUGACAUUUUCUUGUUAUACGUAAUUAUGUAAUUUGUAUCGGUGAAGUAUCUCUGUAGUUAAUCAAUACUUUAAUAUACAACUAAAUUUCUUCUACUAUUGAAUUUCACAAGGACAGGUGUGUUCUUUCAUAUGAGGUAAUGAACAUAGGCACUGUACCUUCAUGUGUGGCUGAUGAUGGGUAGGUAUCUGUGGUGUGUGUUGGAAGGGGUCUGGGUUGAAAUUGUUGAAAGUAGCUUGUACAUGCCACAUUUGGCUUGUUUUUAUAGGGGUUUCAUGGGGAUCUUUUGUCUUUUGAAGUAUCAAACAUUGGGAUCUUGAGCCUUGGCCUUUUGAUCAUCGUUCAUUUGGUUUUACAUGUAAUCUUGAUCUUUGGUUAUUCUUUUGAAGUAUCAAACAUUUUUUUUAUCAACCUUGAUGUGUUAGAUUUAUGCUGACCCGUUUCUUCUCUCCCUUUAUAUUUGUGCCUUGUGUUUGCUGUCCCUAUGCGGAUGCUGUGGUGGUCAAUCCACCCCUUGUUUACAUGGACUUUCCUCGGUUCAAGCAUCCAUAGUGCCCCAUUCACUUAGCAUGGAAAACUAAGUACAAAGCCUGGAAAACUAAAACCAAGUACAAAGCAUGGAAAACUAAGUACAAAAGUAGUUGUUUGCUUGUAGCACAUACUCAGUGCUCAGUGCUCAGUGCUCACUAGUCAAGUUCACCUUUUAUCUGUCUUAAGGGAGAAAAAAGUGAAGGAAAGAAGUGGGGGUGGGGGAGGGGAAUGGGAAAUUUGCUUUUCUUUGUUAUGGGGUAGGAGGGAGGAAAUGGAAGAGAAAAUGAGAAGGGUAGAUAUCCCUUGAGCUGGGAAAGCACUCCUCUAGAGCUCAGUAAAGCAUUAUCCUCUAACAUGGGGAGACUGAAUGUCUAGUUAUUAUGCAAAGGGCAAUAUUUUAGUCCAACCAUUUCUGGAUUUCUUGGCUUCCCUUCGCUUUUCAUCAGACAAGUCAACCAAACAGUAGGAGAGAACCAUAACCAAAUCGUCUGUUGGGAUUCUCUCCUCCCAUUCUCUCUUGCUCCAAACAUGGUAUUACUUCCUCAUUUCCUUUUGUGUGUGUCUGGAUGUGUGCAUGUUGCUGUAGAUGUAAUCGGGUCUGGAGUGAAAUAGGUGUGGUGGGAUUACUUGGGUAUGGUGGAGCAUUGUAGAUCACAUUACUGAACGAUGCCAGAUUUGAACAAGUACUAUUAGUAUGACCGUGAAUCUUGUUACUAGGCCUCUUCUUAUAAUUCUUGCAUUUAUUGCAGUUCCUGGGGAACUUGAGGAAUCUUAGAGACUCAUACGCAGCUCUUGCUGUUGGAUCAUCUGACUCAGUUGCUGGCGAGCCCUCAUCUGUCACAAGAAUAAUCUCAGAGUGUGAAUCUGCUUUGACAUUCCUAAAUCGUGACCUCGGGAUUCUCUCGGCUUCCAUUGCUCGCGAGCAAGGUGAGGAGGUGAGUUUAUGAUGAAAUUGUAGUAGUUGUUUAGGGGAGGGCCAUGAAUGCAGUCUGUUCGCCUUCUUUUUGGACUGCAAAUGUAUGUUGGGAAAAUGUAGUUUUUUCUGUCAAAUGAAAGUGAAGUACAAUGUAGUAUUGAUUCUGUAUUCAUAACACCCACACUGUUUUGUGGGACGAUCUUUAUCCAUGUUCGUUUGGUUUGCAGUCUGACAACAUGAAAGUCAUCGUUGUAAUUAGACCCUUUCUUUUAAGUUCCUAGUCUUUAACCUAUAACAAUGCGAACGACACCUCUAUUUACGGGUGAUUCCCCAAUUCCUCCGUGCUCUCUCUCUCUCUCUCUCUCUCUCUCUCUCUCUCUCUUUCCCCUCGAGCCAAACUGAUAAAUAAGAAAUGAGAGGAAUCAUCCCCAACUGGAACAUUUGACGGAUUGAAUGAAUGAAUGAAUGAAUGAAUGUAUAUUCAAUUCGAAAAGAAUGAAAAAGCAUAUAUAGAUUUCAUUUUUCUCAAAAAAAAGAAGAAAAAAGUACAUAGAUUUCAUGGCCAAAAUGAGGCUUGGGAUCAGGCCUAACUUGAACAAUAAUCAGGCCCAAAAUAAGGCUGGUGCUUUCCAUUGAGGGGGGAAAGUAUAAUUGUGGUUUAUUUGGGACUUCCAAUGAUUAUAGUUAUGGUUUGAGUAAAUUAUAGCAAUGGUCCUUUAAUUUUAACCUAAUUAGAGCAAUGGUAUCUCAACUAAAAAUCUAUUACCAUUGGUUCUUCAACUCAUCAAAACGUUCAGUUAUGGUUAUUUUUGUCAACUUUGUUAUAACUUCCGUCGAAAUAAGUUACGUGUCAUGCAUGUGAGGCUAAAUCAAGGGACAAAUAUGGAAAAUCAAAUAAGAAAAAUUGUAUCAAAGGUCCCUCAACUUUAAUUCAACUAGAGAAAUGGUCCCUCAACUUUAAUCCAAUUGUAGUAAUGGUCAUUCUAACAUAACUCAUUUUGAUAGAAUUAUGAUGAAGACCAUAGCUACAUGUUUUGAUGAGUUGAGGGACCAAUGAUAAUGAAUUUUUAGUUGAUGGACCAUUGUUCCAGUUUGAUUAAAGUUGAGGGAUAUUUGCUACACUUUACUCUUCUGGUUUAGAUUUUGUUUUUCUUGAUAUGGAAAUAUUCAAAUAACCACAAAUAUAUAGGGGGAAUGUUUAGAAGUGCUUUGAAAAUAACUAAAAGCUCUUUCCGAACAUCGAAAAUCUUUCUGAUCAUGUUUGGGGUAAAAAGUUAAAAAGUGCUUUUAGGUUAAAAAAACACUUGCAUUUUUAUUUAAAAUUUCUAUGUAAAAUCUAAUAUAAGCGCUUUUACUGGAAGUUCUUUUGAUUAAAAAAAUGGUUUAGAUGCAAUUCCAAAUGAGCCCCUAGUUUUUAGGGAAAAUGCUAGGGACCCACAUUUUUGUACCACAUUGUUGUACUAUCUAAUGUGGUAAGUGAUUUAUACAUGUCUUGUCAUUUAAUGAGUUUAGGCCUUUUAGCCAAAAUGGUCACUGAGAUUGACAUAACUCAUCACUUUGGUUCCUAAAAUUUAAAAUUGAUUGAUUUUUGUCCCUUAGAUUGUCCACAGUAAAUCAUUUUUGUCAUUUUAGUAAAAAAAAAAUUCGUUAAAUUGAGUGUACUUUUGUCAAAUCAACCCUUCUACUUGAACUGGGGGUUUCUACAAUUUAACAAAGAUUUUUUCAUAGAAGAACCAAAAUAAUUGACGGUAGACAAUCUUAAUGAUCACUUGUAUCAAUUUUAAAUCUUAGUGACUAAAAUGAGGAGUUAUGACAAUCUCAGGGCUAUUUUGGCUAAAAAGCCAUGAUUUAUCUCACGUGUAAUACUUGGGAGCCCAUAUGCAACAACAUCCAAAGUGAUGAAUUAAUUGACGUUGCAUGUACACAUCACUUGUCAUAUGAGAUGAUACAUCAAUGUGGUAUAUUUAUGUGAUCUCAUAGCAUUACUCAGUUCCUAGAUAUUUAUUGGAUGCCAACAAAAGUUCCUUAUUGUUUACGUAGUUAUGGAAGACUUUUCUGCUUUUCUAUUGAUUUCAUUUGAAAUGAUUGAACUAUUUUCUUGUUAAUUAUUGGAUACGUUAUUAAAUUUUUUACAUAUUAUAAUAAUUAUUUAAUACAAUCACCAUUUGAAGUAAUGUAUCAAAUCUCUAUUUUUACAAUAAUGUAGUCAAAGUUUCACGUGAAUUCGGAAACAAUAGUUCAUUAACUUCUAUUUAAAAGAAAAAAUAAACUAUGUUAAGUGAUGAUGGAGGUAGAUACAAGCUAGAUGGAAGUUGAAAAGAACUAGUGAUUGAAAAAGAAAGUUAGACACAAACAAAUCCAUCAACAUCUGAUAUAUAAAGAACUGAUUAACAAGUAAACAAAUGAAUCAAAAGGAACACAAAGUCAAUAUGAAAAUGAUAGAACUGAAAAUUCAAACUAGUAAAAUAUUAGUAACAUUCUCUAAUCAUAACAAUAGUUUUAUUAAUUAAGGCCCAAGUGAGAUUGUGGUCUCAUCACAAAAUGAAAAUCUAAACAAAUGGUCCUACAUUGCAAUGACAAAGACAUUCUCUAAAUCAUGAUGAUACUUUAAUAUUGUUGAAAGACUAUAAACAAAUUUCCAAGUCAAAACUAGUGAAAUUUCCAAGAAAUCUUUUGUAUAUGUUGAAGACUUGAAACUUCCAAUCAUAUAGAGGUUAAUAAAGAAAUCCAAAAAAGAAAAAAACCAUCAAAAUAUAUGUAGUUUUAGUUUAUUCAUUAACUUCUACAAGUUAAGUACUCAACUUAAUUCUCCUUGGGUUAUAUAUAUAGAUGGUGCUCAAGCGAUAAUUGUUUAGUAAGUUACUUUGGCUCGAAUAACUCAUUUGCAUCCACUUUACUAUUUAAUUUCAUUAUUUGAAUCGUUCAUUUUGUUUAAAGUUUUCAUACAAAGGUUGUCACAUCCUGGCCCGGGCCCCCACCACAUCCCAGGCUCGACUUUGCCGUAGCACGAUAUUGUCCUCUUUGGGCCCCGACUAAACUCCGAAACAAAAAAAGUGUUGUCGAAAAUUAUCAAAAUGUUCAAGGCAAUGAUCAAGGAUGACCGUGGAUGAACACCUAAAAAUGAAGAGUUCAUAUAAAUAGCUUAAAAUUUUUGAACUCUAAACACUAAGUUGUUUGAUUAUAAUCAACAUUUACGUUUACGUGGAACAUUGUAUUUGUCUAUUUAGUUUAUCGUAAUCAGAAACAUAAAUACUUUCGAGCUUAUCAUUUACUUAUUUUAUUUUUUCGAACAAAUGAUAUUAUCUGCACUAAGGGGGGAAAGGGUGAGCUUAGCUUCACAAUAGGCUAGCAAUAAUGUGGUUCAAACUCAACUUUGGCGAGAAUUGAACUCAAGACCUCUCACUUACAAGUGAAGAGGAAUACCACCAAAUCGUAGUACUAAAUGACAUCAUUUACUUUUAAUAUUAGAACAAUCUUGAUUUGCACUUAAUGAAUUUACGAUACUUUAUAAAAUUAAUGGUAGAACAGUUUCUAUUUUAGAUUUUGUUUUCAUUGAUAUGGAGAUUUCCAUAUAACAACUAUGCUUUUCACAUUAUUGUGAGAAUUUUUCUGUUGAUUUCAUAGGAAGUAAUUGUACACUUUUUAUUUUUUUAUUUUUUUUUAUUGGAUAAGUUAUUAAACUUUUUUUAUAUAAUAAUUCUAAUUCAUUUUUCUAUCAUGCCUCACAAUAAUGUGGUCAAAGUUUCACAUAAAUUUGGGAACAGUAAUUAAUUAAGUUCAUGUUUGAAAGAGAAGAAAACUAUGUUAAGGGAUGAUGGAUGAUGGAUGAUGGAUGUAGAUACUAGCUAGAUCGAAGUAAGAAAAGAACUAAUGACUGAAAAAAUAAAGUUAGACACAAACAAACCCAUCAACAUCUGAUAGAUACAUAAUUGAUUAGCAAGUAAAUGAAUGAAAUUAAAAGGAGCACCAAAGUCAAACUGAAAAUGAUAGAACUGAAAAUCAAAGUAGUAAAAUAAUACUAACCUUCUCUAAUCAUAACAAUAGUUUUAUUAAUUAAGGCCCAAGUGAGAUUGUGGUCUCAUCACAAAAUGAAAAUCUAAACAAAUGGUCCUACAUUGCAAUGACAAAGACAUUCUCUAAAUCAUGAUGAUACUUUAAUAUUGAAAGACCAUAAACAAUUCCAAGUCAAGAUUAGUGAAAUUUCCAAGAAAUCUUUUGUAUUUAUUAAAGACUUGAAACUUUCAAUCAUACGGAGGUCAACAAAGAAUCCAAAAAGAAAAAACCAUCAAAGUAUAUGUAGUUUUAGUUUAAGGAAAACUAAUAAAAAUGGUUUGAAAACUUUGAGUUUUAAUUAUAAGGACAAAAUAAAGGGUAAAGUGAAUAGUACCAUGAUUGACUUUUUAGUGUAAAAAUAUGGUUUUUCGUUAAAGUGAACAGUACCGGGUGCUUUUCGUUAAAGUUCCCUUUAGUUUAUUCAUUAACUUCUACAAGCUAAGUACUAAAAUUAAUUCUCCUUGGGUUAUAUAUAUAGGGUGCUCAAGCGGUAACUAUAUAGUAAGUGACUCCAGCAUGAAUAACUCAUUUGCGUCCACUUUACUAUUUAGUUUCAUUAUUUGAAUCGUUCAUUUUGUUUAAAAUUUUCAUACAAAGGUCAUCUCCUAAAAAAAUCAAUCAAAUUGUAGAUCGUUUAAAUAGUAAACUGUGAAACAAAAAAGAAACAAAAAAAGUGUUGUUGAAAACAAUCAAAAUGUUCAAGGCAAUAAUCAAGGAUGACCGUGGAUGAACACUUAAAAAUGAAGCGUUAAUAUAAAUAGCUUAAAAAAGUUUGAACCCUAAACACUAAAUUGUUUGAUUAUAAUCAACAUUUGUGUUUUCGUGAAACAUUGUAUUUGUCUAUUUAGUUGACCAUAAUCAGAUGCAUAAAUACUUUCGAGCUUAUCAUUUUUUUUUUUGAAUAAACGAUAUUAUCUACACUAAGCGGGAGUGGGUGAGCUUAGCCUCAUAAUGGGCUUUUAAUAAUGUGGUUCAAACUCACCUUUGGCGAGAAUUGAACCUAAGACCUCUCAAUUACAAGUGAAGAGGAAUACCACUAGAUUGUAGUACUAAGUGGCAUCAUUUACUUAUUUAAUACUAGAACAAUCUUGAUUUGCACUUAAUGAAUUUACGAUACUUUGUAAAUUUAAUACUAGAACAAUUUCUAUUUUAGAUUUUGUUUUCAUUCAUAUGGAGAUUUCCAUAUAACGACUAUGCUUUUCACAUUAUUGUGAGACCUUUUCUAUUGAUUUAAGGGGCUUUUGGAUCUAGGUCCAAAAACAUAGGUAGUUUUUUGGACUGAGUCCAGUUAUCCAAUUACAUAUUGAUAUCAAUUUUAACCAUUCAGAUAAAAAUAUUUAAUUUCUUUAAAUUUCUUUAUCAUUUAUUCAGUUUUUAAAUUUUGAAUAUUUAAAUACUCAAACUAAAAUAUUAUCUAAUAAGUACCUACUAUUUAUGAAGAAAACAAAACUGAUAUAAUCUAGUAACUACCUAUUGUGUAGGAAGAAAGAUGCUUUAUACCUACAAAGCAGAUAUAAUCUACCUGCAAAACAAAAAUAAACUACCUAUUGUAUCGGAAGAAAAAUUCUGGGAACCUACUUGGCGGAACAUAGAAAUAUAAAUAUGAUAUAAUAUACCUCCAUUAAAGGAACGAAUUUGGAGGGAAAACAUAAAAAUAUCACCCAUGAAAAGAAGAGACAAAAAAGAGGAGGAUUGAUUCCAUGAUCUAACGGAGGGAAUUGUGUGGAAGAAGGAAAGAAAGAGGGAUGAAACGGACUGGGGGUUGAGGUAAUUAUAUGGCUAUAACUAAUCCUACAAUUAAGGGAUUAGUUAAACCACAAAUAAUCCCAUAAUUAAGAAUUUUUUGUGUAUUUACUACAAUUUGUAAGCCUAAGGGGUAAAUAUGGUACAAACCACAAAUAAGCAUACGUGGAAUCUCAAUUAUUGGACCUAUUUCAAUGAAGUGGACUAAUCCUACUAAUGACUCACAAAAUUGGAUCUGUAUCAAGUUAUCCCUUGAUUUAAUAGGAAGUAAUUGUACUUUUUUUUUUUUUUUUUUUUGUUAUCGGAUAAGUUAUUAAUUUUUUUAUAUAAUAAUUCUAAUUCAAUUUUCUAUUAUGCCUCACAAUAAUGUGGUCAAAGUUUCACAUAAAUUUGGGAAACAAUAAUUAAUUAUGUUUGAAAGAGAAGAAAACUAUGUUAAGGGAUGAUGGAUGUAGAUACUAGCUAGAUCAAAGAAAAAAAGAACUAAUGAUUGAAAAAGAAAGUUAGACAAAAACAAGCCCAUCAACAUCUGAUAUAUAUAGAACUGAUUAACAAGUAAAUGGAUGAAAUUAAAAGAAGCACCAAGUCAAUUUGAAAAUGAUAGGAUUGAAAAUCAAAGUAGUAAAGUAAUAGUAAAGUAAUACUAACCUAUCUAAUCAUAACAAUAGUUUUAUUAAUUAAAUCUAAGUGUGAUUGUGGUCUCAUUACAAAAUAAAAAUCUAAACAAAUGAUCCUACACUGCAAUGGCAAAGACAUUCUCUAAAUCAUGAUUACUUUAAUAUUGUUGAAAGACCAAAAACAAAUGUCCAAGUCAAGAUUAGUAAAAUUUCCAAGAAAUCUUUUGUAUUUGUUGAAGACUUGAACUUCCAAUCAUACAUAGGUCGAUAAAGAAAUCCAAAAAGAAAAAACCAUCAAAGUACAUGUAGUUUUAGUUUAUUCAUUAAACAAGUUAAGUACUCAAAUUAAUUGUCCUUGGGUUAUAUAUAUAUAUAUAUAUAUAUAUAUAUAUAUAUAUAGUGUCACAGCCCGUCCCGGAAUUUUAAUUCCGAGGACAUGAAAAGAUGAAAAUGCCCUUAAACGGGACUAAGGGGCGAAAAUUUAACAAUUUGGAUUGAGUUGGACACGUGGGAUCCCCACAUCCCUCAAAACCUUCCCCAAUUCCCGUACCUUGUCUCUCUAUCUCUCUUCCCUCACGACUCUCUCUCACUCUCAGUUCUCUCUCUUCCUCUCCGACGCUCAACCUCACCCAAAACCACCUAAAACAUAAACAAACGUCCAAGAUAAGACCACAUUUGGAUUCCUGGAACUUCCACGAUCACGUAGACAUCAAUUUCAGGUAAGUUUUGCUUCGAAAAACCCUAGUUUCAAAGUUCCCGUGAAAUGGUACUGUUCAUGAUCUUCUAAAUGACUACGUUUUAGGCUAAAACAAGAUCACAGCGGGCUUAGUGAGGUCCCAAGGAAGCUCGGAGUGCUUCGUUGGAAGUUUUUGGACGUAAGAACACGGAGAUUGACAAGUUCAAAGUUUGGCCGGAGCUUUCGAGGAAUUUUCCGGCGAAUCCCCGGCGAGUUAGGAGUCGAGGUAGGUAUCAAUCUCUUCGUCUCUUCAAGGGCUACAACUUUCGUUUUUGAAUCACUUGAUUUCGUUGAGAAAUGACAAAGUUAUGGCAAUUUGAAAAACUGCCCGGAAAACGGCCGCCGGAAAAACCAGUCCGGCGACCCAAGGAAGAAGAAGGUGCUACAGUAAAAAUAAAAAAUAAAAAUAAAAUUAUUUUAAAAAUAUGUCGACGUCUGUGACGUCGAGUAGAUCACUGUGGUAUAUUCAUAUACCUAAAUUGAACACCGUAUGAGAAAGUUAUUGAGGAUUGUUGGUUAGGUGUUCAAAUAACGUUUUAUAAUUUUCACAUUUAGGUGAAAAUGUGAAUUGACGAUCCGACCGUUGGAUCGUCACCAAACUUUGAUACGUUGCAAUACGUAAUAUUUGAGGAUUAUUGGAACUUACAGAUUGGGAAUCCGAUUUGCGGAUCUUCCGGAAUUGGAAUUGUAAGUCCAUAAUAUAAAAUGUUAACCGUCACUUAGUUUUGGAAAUUGACGGAGAUCCGACCGUUGGAUGGUAAUGAAAUUUUAGGAUGUUGUCCUAGAGGUAUAAUGUGGACCUCUGGAAGUUAUGGAUUUAAAAUCUGAGGGGUGGAUCUUCCGGAUCAAUCUACGUAGUGACGUAUUUUAUAUAAGUUAUAUAUUUUAUCAAUAUGAAUUCUGAGGUUGGAAUUGAUUAUUGUUUUAGGCGCCGAUCGUCAUGACGCCUUGGCGUAUUGUGCUAGGGAGUUGUAGGGCAAACUCCAGGUGAGUGGGCAGUUUUGUUUUCCGUAUAUAUAUAUAUACUUGACGUUUCCCAGAAAUUGAAUUGAAAUGAAAAUAUGUUUAAAAUGAAAUGCAUAUGAGUUAUGUGGAAAAACGGGAAGUGAAAUACCAUGCAUAGAAUUGAUAUGAAAAGUAUAUAGAAAUGUGAGUUGAAAUGCCAUGCAUGAAUUAAUAUAUGAUGCAUAUGUAUGAAUUGGUGCGGUGGACGCACAAGUAAGAAUUGAUUUAUGAUGCAUAUGUAUGAAAUGGUGCGGUGGACGCACAGGUGAGUAUUUAAUUACUGUUAUGAUGAUGAUGAUAUAUAUUGAGCUCAAAUCCUGCACCAUGGUUUAGUGCUUAUAGUAUUCACCGUAUCGCACGCUCGCCUUGGAUCCAAGUAGAUGCUAGUCGUACAGUCCACGCGGAGUGGGUACGACAGACCAGUCGCGAGAGUGUUAGUGAGAUUCCGACUGGUGGGUGACCUUAGAUUAUGUGCACAGAUGAUUUAUGAGAAGCACUAGAGCGUAACUUGCGUGCAGAAGGCCGGACGGGUCACAGAGGUGACUCCGGUAGAGUGAUAAUGAUAGAUUUUGAGCUUUAGGUUCAACCGUACAGGGUUAUUAGAGGGCCUACGGUUGAUUACUUUCUUGCACCUGAUAUGAUUAUGUUGAUGCAUUCAUACCUUAUUAAUGUUGAGAUGAUGUGGCAUGGCAUAAUUAAUAUGAGAAAUGUUGAGAUGAUGUGGCAUGGCAUAACUGAUAUGAAAAAUGUUGAAAAAGUGAAAUGAAGUAUUGAGAAUAUAUAUGUAUAUUUAUAUUUUACAUUUCUGGGAAAGUAUACAGGUUUUACGGAGAGGGGUUACAACGUUUUGAGAAAUGUUUGGAUUUGGAAAAGAAUUGUUUUACUGACCCACUCAAUUUUGGUUUUGCGCCCCUCCAGGUUCAGGAAUCACAAAGGUGUGGUGACUACGAGGAAUACAGCGGGGUUCUGACAGAUUGGACAAAAUUAGGACUCACCUUCGGGUGUAUCAACUUAUAAAUUGUAUAAUUAAAGCUUCCGUACUGUGCAAAUGGUUACGUCACUCUCACGUGACGGCCAGCAUGCCCUCCUUCGGGACGGGGUGUGUCAUGUAGGGUGCUCAAGCGGUAACUAUUUAGUAAGUCACUUCGGCACGAAUAACUCAUUUGCAUCUACUUAAUUUCAUUAUUUGAAUCAUUCAUUUUGUUUAAAGUUUUCAUACAAAGGCCAUCGCCUAAAAAAUUCAAUCAAAUUGGUGAUCGUUUAAAUAUCUAAAUUGUGAAACAAAAAAAGUGUUGUCGAAAACAAUCAAAAUGUUCAAGGCAAUAAUUAAGGAUGCCUGUGGAUGAACACCUAAAAAUGAGACAAGAUCUUUUCCACAAUCAGUGAAGAGGCUAGGAGAGAGUAACCACUUCCAGUUGAUAUGCUCAGCGAGAAUACGCAUUGCCCAAUUGAUUAAUUUCAGCUGACACGUCUUGAUGUCCUCUAGUUCGUUGUUAAACUGUGGAUUGGGAAAAAGGAUAGCCCUAACUAUAAUUCCUUCUAUGCCUCCUUCCCAAUCUCCAUCGACUAACAUAAUGUCCUUAAACCAAUCCCUAUUUUGCCAAAGGACAUCUAAGAUGCACGACUCCCAGAUGAGGCUGGGCCUGGCUGUAAAGUAGCAGUGGUUGUCAAAACUUUUCCUGAUGUUACGCAACACUUUGAAUUCUUGAAUACCUAGAACGGCUCCAUACCAGUGAUUUAGCAACUCGAAAUAGGUAAUAGGUCUAAAGGCUGCUGAAGAAAUUGUAGAUAGCCAUAUGGUAGCAUAUUAGAAUGCCCUUUAAGAGAUUAGGAAAAAGGAAGUGCAAGCCUAAAUCCAAGAAGGAAGGAUAAAUCCUAGUACAUGUGGGAAGUUCGGGUAGAUGACUUGGCCAGGUUUCCACCAGACUUUACACUAACAUAAGAGGUUCAGAUGGUCCUUGAAGGAGGUUUUGCCUUCCUUUCUACUAUAAAUCGUCGUCAAUGAAAGGUUGUAGGGUGAGAUUUUAGGCCAUUUGGAGGUUUUGCUUGAAGACACCACUGAUGAAAGACGAAAGGAUUUGGAGAAUUUUUUAAUUAAUAUGUGAAGAAAGUUGGAGCCUGUUUUCAAUGAGUGAUUUGAGGGUUCAAGUGAAACGAAAGGAAAAGAUCUGAUCUUCUAUACGCGUCACUGAUGAGAUGAAAGUUAAGCACUCAAAUUAAACCCUCUUGUUGUCAAAUUGUAGUAUAAAUGCAAGUAGAGAUCGUUCUAAACCGGGGAUUAGGAGGGCUUACUAAAACCUCUAAACUGACUCAAAAACAUAAAAACAAAAUUAAAAACAUUUGAAUAGACUCAAGGGACUCAAAACAGAUUCUAAAGAUUCAAAACAACUUAAAAACACUCAAAACUGCCUAAAAACACAAACUGGGCAAAUUUGGACUCUAAAACAACUUUGGACGAAUUUAGUGUUUUGGCUUGAAUCAAAACACUCAAAAACACAAACAAAACAGAAAUUUAACACUUUGAAACAAGAAAGUAAAAAGGGGAUUUUGGUUUGGAUGAAUUUUAAAUAAACAAGCAAGUUAUAAAACUAGGCAGAUUAUAAAAUGAAUUUGAGAAAUAAAAUGAUGGAUGGAUUAGUUAGAGGUCCGUUCUUCACACAUGACACACUUGUACAUGAAUUGAUUUCCAAUUGCUUUUCAAUAAACUAUGAUACUCAACACCCCAGAUUAACCGUGAUGCACAAAUUAACCCUCAUAUUUUCCUUUACUCAUUGAAUUGGAUGAAUGCAUGCGACAACCCAAAUCAUUCUCUAAAAGUCCCCUAUAUGAAUGCAUAAUAGAGAUACAAUCAGAGAUCAUUACGUUCAAUGAAAAUCAUAAGUGUUGACGAGACAAUUAUAACUAUGAAUGCAUGAUACAAUUGCCAAGAAUUCAAUUAACGCGAUUGUGAUAAACAACCUUCACUACUCAUGAAUAUAAACUUGUAACGAUUAGGUGAAACUCAUUUAUAUUCUAGCAUCUAAUUCAUGCAUGAAAAUUAAGUAUGCAUCCUUAAUAAACAUACAAGAAUCAGUUAUGAAUAAAAUAGAUAAUUGAAUUGCAAUCACAACUUAUCAAAUCACAAUUGGAAGAAAUCAAUUCAUAUCUCAAGCAUGUUCAUGGCUUCAAACUUCCCCCUAACUAAAUGGGGGUUUAGCCACUCAUAAUUGCAACAAAAUCAAAAAAUGAAUUUAACAUUGGAAACAUAAAUGAAUAUAUAUAUUUUUGGAUGAAGGUUGUAUUGAAAUGGGAGUGAAUGAUCUAAAAAUAUAUAUAUUCAUUUAUGUUACACACACUUCCUUUUAUAGAGAAAAUGCAAGGCAAAACAUGGGUAAAAUGGAGUAGUGUUGAAAUGAUUCAAAGGUGAAAGUGGAGUAAUGAUGCAAAGCAUGGGUAAAAUGGAAUGGUGUUGAAAUGAUUCAAAGUAAUGUGCAUGAAAUCUGAAAUGAUGGAGGGAACAAGGAAUGGUGUAGCAAUUAAGUGCAAAGAGGGAACAUGGAUGAUGAUAAGGUAAUCUUGACUCAUGUUUCUUCUUUGGUUGCUGAGCUCUUUGUCAUUUUUACAUUAAUUCUUCUUUCUUUUUAACACAUUCCAAGCCUCUUUAGUCUUCAAUUUCGUCCAUCCACCUUGCUCCAUGCAUGUGCUAUCCAUUCCAAGCCCAAAACUGCUCCAAAAUGCACCAAAAUGCACCUUAUUGCUUUAUAAGGCCUAUGGACCUACAAACACACGAAAAUAGCUUAAAAUACAUAAUUAACUAAGAAAUAACAACAUAAAUGCAUGAGAACAAGCUAACUCAAUCGCAUAAAUAUGCUUCUAUCAGUCACACAAUGGAACAAUCUAGCCAUUGAAUACGAACUGACUCACUUUGGGAUCAACGAAUUUGAUAGUUAAAAUUAGUGAAGAAUAUCGAAGGCAAUUUCUUGUUUUUUCGUGCACACACAACAGACGCAAAGUUUCAUCAUCACAAACUUUAUAGCAUGGAACUCGACACUGCAUGUUUGAAUCCGAGACAUCUCCAUCACAUCACAAAGAAUAAGAUCAUCAUACUAAGUUAAAAGACCUAAACAUACGUAUUUCAGCUUACUCCGAAGGGCAUCGUCUUUGGAUAACAAUCAAUCCUUAAGGGGAACAGGUUGCCCUUAAGAUGCAUAGUUAAGGGCAAUUGUGUGACCAUGAUUUUCCAGGGUCGAAGCAGGGCCGAUCUGAAUAUUGAUACCUCAGAGUCUGGUUAUAGACUUACCAGCUCCGAGCGGAGUUAGAUCAGACGGAGUAGCAGUGCCCCUAUCACCCUGCUCCAGGGCAAUAGGUAAAGUCCGAGCGACUCUAUUGGAUGACCAUGCUUGUUUCGCAAGAUACGUGAUUGAUCCAUAUAUGGACUUAAUCUGAUCCUUCAUAAGUCUUAAAGUUUCUACAAUCUAGGAAUUGACGUGCACCGCAAGUAAUCAUAACUCCUAAGAGGGUGCAAUAUCUGCUUCUAGAUAUCUUCUAGGAUUCUCUGGGCUUAGAACAAGGAUUCUAUCCUAAAAAUGUCUUUUCCUACAAUAUAAAUACACCCAUCUAGAGUUCGUCUCUGGUAACGCAAACUUUGUACUUUAAUUAUCUUACCCACUACUUGAGUCUUAAACUCUUUACUAACUUGACCGACCGCUUUUGGCUAGCACACCACCCCAGAUCUUAGGCUUGCUCAUAAUUAUUCUCUGUUUUGCAAGUAGCUUGAGUUUGUGCCUUCACCAUCUGCGGCGGUGCGCAAAUUUGGUUCUAACAGCUCUAAAGCAUUGCCUCCUACUGGACUUCAUCUAGUUUUGAUUAGAGAAUGGCACAAUAUACAUCCCAGAAGUUGCACUCCAUUGCGAGUGUGCACUCAUCAUCAUCUAUUUUGUCAAAAUUGUAUAGACUUAACCUCAAGGCGGACUACUUAGGUACCCAAAUUGUUUGCCUUUCUUUCAUCGCAACUCAUACAUUCUGACAGUUCAUCUCUCUCAGCCAUGACUUUCUCCAAAUCUGCUGUCUUUUUUUUGCAACUGUCUUUCCAACUGGAUUCGACGGCCCAGCUCGGCUUUGUAGGCCAUUUCAACCUUGAGAAUUUUGCUUGUUUGGCUCUUGAGAGUAACUUUUAUCAGUGUGUUCGCCUGGGCAAAACAAAUUAGGAGUAAGUCGAGUAGGGGAGUAAGUCAAGUAGAUGAGUAAGUAGAAGAAUUAGAGUUUUAGGUAAAGAUGGAUGAAUUUACCACGUAAUGACUUUGAUAGUAGUUUUUGACCAUUUAAUCAGGCGCAAAGACAACUUCUUCAUAAAAAAAAGGCACAAUGGCCGAACGAACCAAAGCAUGGGCGUGUUUCUCGUCAUGGAGUCUGCUAGCAUGAAAGGUAGAGUCUUGCGACAAAAAAACAGGCUUUAAUAUCAGGGUUGGUUGUCAACGUUGGAAGAAUGUGAUGCCUUACAAGAGCGAAUGCAGGUCAGCAAGCCUAACUGUAGCUGCUUCUACGUCGGGCUAGGAGGAGCAUAACGAUCACCAAGUGUUUAUAGGACCAGAAGGAUGACAAGUUCAUCCAUUUGUUGUUGUUAUUGUUGCUGCUCUAGUUUGUUAUUGUUGUUGUGGCGCCAUGCCAGUUAGUGGAAGUGUUUGUACAAUGGAGGCAUUAGUAAGAUUCUCAUUUUUGAGCAAUUCUACCACCACUUUGUCCUUAGCUGUUGAAGUUUACUGGUGUUCAGAGGUAAGUAACCCCAAUUCAAAAUCUUGGAUCACCAACACUUUACUGAUGGAGGAAUGCUAGGGUUUUCAGAUUCGUUUGAUUUCUUUUUAGGAGGUUUACUGUUAGAUGAUUUCUUUGCGAAAUUCUUACGACGUUUCAUUUUCUUCUUUUAUGAUCUUGGGGUUUUUGGGACUUUCAUCAAUCCUUCCUAUCCUUAGCCUUCAUGCAUUGACCUAGUAUAAAUUCUCAAUGGGAUGCUUGGUGCACAAAUCGAUAAUAGCGUCUUUCCCAUGCUCUUUAACUCUUUAUGGGGCAAUGAGCCAUUUCCAAUUCCGAUGCUCGAAGAGAAUGAUGUUGAAUGCCCUGUCAAUUAGCCGUGGACGACACUGAUCGAUGUUUGUGAUAUCAUUGUUGCAGUCAAGGCUAGUGGAAUGAGUGUUUCAAAUUCUGGUUCCAAUGAUAUCCAUUUCCCAGUUUUUGUUUACAAUAAGAAUGUCUUUAUACUAGUCUUUAUCAUGGCGGGGAAGAUCUGGCAGCCCUUCUGACACUGGGUCUCGAUUGAAAAAAGUAAUAUAGGUCAGAGUUCCUGCAAAUAGUACGAAGCAUAUGAAAUUCCUGGAUACCUAAGCCUACUCCAUACCAGUCAUUCAGGAGCUCGAAGCAUGUGAGGACGUGGAACAAUGCAUGAGUCAAAUUGCAAACAGCAACGUUGAAGCUACUUAAUACUUGUUUUAAGAAAAGAGAAAAAAAGAGCUUUAUAAAUAGGUCUAGUUACCAUGGGUGAUUUUGGUACAUGGAUGGUUGGGGUCGGAAGGUUUUGGAUAAAGAAUUUUAAACAUUAUGCAUGCGCUUCUAUUUGGCAGAACAAUCGUUCAGGAAAUGAUGAUGAAGACUAACAAUACCUUUUGCUUCUUCUUCACUUUAUACUUUCACCAUGAGAGGUUCAAAAUGAGAAUCAUAGUUAGUAGCAAGAUGAUGAAGCACAUUUGAAGGUGCAAUCAUUGACUUGGAUAAAAAUAUACGAGGAGAUCAAGUAAAAAAGAUGAGAGAAUGGUAGAUAUUUCAGACUUGAUUUGUAAGAAUGUAAGACCUUUAAAAAAAAGGGCAUUUAUGUGAAAACUAAGGAAAAGGUCUUGAGGGUAUUUAAGGAAGAUAUCUUUGAAUUGCCUAACCGUUGAAUAUGGAUCGUCAUUAGUAGAUUCGACGGUUGAAUUUAUCUAGAGAAAAUAGCAAACAGUGCUUUAUUUUCUACGCACACGUUGUUGCCACUAUCCUUAUCAUUGCGAUAUUAAAGGUACAAUUUAUGAGAUGGUGAACUCAGAUAAGGAGUGAUUUGAUGUCCAAAUGGAUAUCGAGAAACGAUGCUGAGACACCAUGUAUCUGAAGCAAGAAAACUAUAUGUAUUCUGACUUACUCCAAAAUGCAUCGUCUCUAGGUAACUACCCAUCCUUAAGGGGAACAAAUCUUUCCAAUGCCUAGUUUGGGGUAGUUGUAGAACCAUGAUUUUUCAAGGCCAAAGUAAUGCUGAUCAAAAUACGCCUACUUUAGAAGUCCGAUCAUGGACUCAAUAAGAUCCAUUGCGGAGCUGAUUAAACAGAUCAGUGAUGCCAUAAUCAUCCUGUUUCAAAAUCAGUGGCAAAAUCCAUCGACUUCGCUGAGAUAGACCAUUCUUGUUUCGUAAGAUUCGGGAACCCAAUCCAGUAAGGAAUCAUUAGGUUUCUUCUUGGAGUCCUUAAAAUAUAAGGAUUGGCGUGUGCCACAAAUAAUCACACUCCUAAGAGGAAGCAAUAUCUAGUUCCAAAAUAUCCUCAUGGAUUCUACUGGUUUAAUUAGGAUUCUACAAUCCUAAAAGGUCUUUUCCUCGACUAGUAUAAAUACAUUGCUAGGGUUCAUCUCUAGUAAACUGAUUUUGCAAGUAAUUGCCACUAUCCUUAUCAUUGCGAUAUUAAGGGUACAAUUUAUGAGACGGUGCACUUAGAUAAGGAGCGAUUUGAUGUCCAAAUGGAUAACAAGAAACGAUGUUGAGACACCAUGUGUCUGAAGUAAGAAAACUAGACGUAUUCCGACUUACUCCAAAAUGCAUCGUCUCCAGGUAACUACCCAUCCUUAAGGGGAACAAAUCUUUCCAAUGCCUAGUUUGGGGUAGUUGCGGAACCAUGAUUUUUCAAGGCCGGAGUAAUGCUGAUCAGAAUACGCCUACUUUAGAAGUCCGAUCAUGGACUCAAUAAGAUCCAUUACGGAGCUGAUUAAACGGAUCAGUGAUGCCACAAUCAUCUUGUUUCAAAAUCAGUUUUCUACAAUCCUGAACCCUAUUUUGCCAGUAAACUGAUUCUGGCAUCUCCACUACUCACAACGGUACGCGAAUUUGGUUAUAACAACAAAUAUGUCUGCAGAAGAAAGCUUUGUUAACACUAACGAUAACAUGACAGCAUGAGAUAACCCAUUCCCUGAUGCCUCCACCGCUCUCGUAGGGAAUAACCUAAUCUCCAAUGUCUUCACCACUCCUGGAACGAGCAACUAAGCCCCUGAUGCUAUGACCAUCCUAGCGAAUAGUAACGCUCUAAUCACUGGACAUCCUCUCACCAUGGAAUAGAUUUGGGGGACUCAGUUGAAGAUCAAUGCUUUUGGUGAUAAAUUUCAAAGAGCCUACAUGGCUUCUCGAGCAAAGAAUCAUGCAAUGUUCGUGGGCGUUGAGAGACAAAUGAAAUCUCUAGAAAACUCCAGCAAGGCUAGUCCACAAACACAGAUUCCUAUUUUCAACUAUGUAAUAUUAGUACCAUAACUCCAGAAGGGCAACCCAUUACACCAAUUUCUACCCCAAUCCCAACGAAAAUUGCUAAUUCGGGUACAAGCUUCCCUCACAAUGGACAUAUUGUUAACAACGCAUUUGCAUGUGGGAAACUGUGAAGUCUAGAUUUAGUUAUUUGGCUUUCCUUGUUAAAAGUUGUCAAUGAUACCACAUGCUCUUAGACUGUUUUUUGUUUGUACAACUUCAGUAUAGGUUCAUCUAGCUAGAUAUUGUGUCCCAAAACAUUGGUCGAAGACAUUCAUCAUAACAGAAGGUUUGUUUAUUCAUGUGCAUUCAUGCAUAAACUUGAGUUUAGUCUAUUUAGUCAUGUUGUCUGGUCAGAAAUUCUCACUGUUAUCCAGCUGUUUGGUCAAGCUUUUUGAGUCAACCCAUAUGGGCUUUCUGACAAUUUAGUUCGAGGUUGAAAUCUCAAUCUUAGAUUUUCUUAGAUUGAGCUCUGCAUUGACAAGUGUCUUUAUCCUUAUGUGGACAGAAAUCUUGUAGCUCCCAUGAUAAAACCCUAGAUGCCUUCUUUGUUUCUUCGGCUAUAACAUUUUACAUUUGUUAAAGAGUGUGUUUGAGUUUAGUGUUUCCUUUUUUAAUUGCCCUGCCAUAAAAUUGUUCUCAUGCAUUAAAACCCAAGAUUUUUGUGUAUCUGGGUUGCAUUGGUUCCUUUGUUUUGUGUUUUGUUCUUGAUCUAGCUUUAUAAGUUAAAACCUUUAAUCAGAUCAAGUAUUGGAUUGUUGUUGGUUUCUUCAUUCAAGUGUUUGAUUGGAGAAAUUGAUUGGUUUUAAAUCCAAAUUUCAUAUCAUUUGCAUUGAUCGUGUUGGUUCUCGGUCCACAAGAUGAUGAGCUCAGGAGGAGCUGCCACUUCGUGAAGAUCGAAGGAGUCCAUCUAGUGUAAAGCAAGGUUGCACAAAGGUAUAAACUGCUCAAUAGAUUAGGAUUUAGGAAUUGGGCUUAUGCGGAUACUUUGUAUGAAUCUUGUUUACACUAGUGGAUUGGACUCAGUGGUGAGUCCCCGGUUUUUUAACCCAUAUGUAGGUUUUUCCUACCCAAAACACCCUGUGUUGAUUAUUGUUUUUCUUGGCUUUUAUAUCUCAAUAUUUGUGAAUGAGAUGCUAUCACCAUGACCUGUUCUUGCAACUAAGUUUAUCAGCGUUUGAAUUUAUACUGAACUGGAUCUUAGUUAACUAUGAACAUUUCAGUAAUUCAAGUCUUUAAAUUGAUUGAUUUAGCUGUUAUUAAACUAACAAAUCUGAUCUUAGUUGACUGGUGUUGCUGACUAGUCAGACAAGCACAUAUAUAGAUUUUUAAAUGCAGGUUAUUUCACCUGGUAUCAAUUUUAGAUAUAGAUCCGAAGUGAUGUUGGUCUCUUUGACACUGUACGAGUGCCUCGAAUGGAACCUCGUCAUCUGAAGUGGCGCCGCGGGCCCCUGAAUAGUGACAAAGCUAGGGAUGCACUGAGGAAAAUUUAACCUUGCAUCUCUAGCAAGAUUGUCGCCACAGCCAGAUGCUCGCUUUCCUCUACAAAUAAGUCGGUAGCUCUGCUUGAGAAAUUCUCUCAACCUAAAUUUAAGUAAUUUCGUGCUGUACAACAAUAGCAGCACUUAGAUGUUCAAGAUGUAUGGUUCUUGGAGUUACUAGCCCAUUCUAUCAAUUACUUCGAAAUCUUAGCCAUAUUCGCAAACACCUAUUUAGUGUACCACGAUGUUUGCUAUCAAGCCAUAUUCAGCAUGGAUGCUCAAAACAAGGAUGAAAGUCUUAAGGCUUACUUAAAGCGAUUCCUCGCGGAAUUUGCUGAAGUAGAAAAGAGAGACGAUUGACUCGCCAUCGUGGCUUUCAAGCAGAGAGUUUAUGUCCACUCACCCCUCUCUCUAGACCUGACAAUUUCUUAGAUGACCUGUUAACCUGACCCCAAACAACACGAAAAUAAAGGGUUUUAGUCAACACAUUAACUAAUCGGGUCGCACUUUAAGAACCCGUUAAUAACUAGUUCUUAACAAGUUUACCCAUGGGUAAUCCAUUAAGAAUAAAGUUAGUUUGAUAAUUUUACACUACUAAACAAACCUUACUACAAUAGCCAUAAUAUUUAAUCUCACUUAUGUGAGAUUAAAAAAUUCCAAAGCACAUUGAAAAUACCAAAGUAAUUUAGAAAUACCAAAGCACAUUAAAAAUUCAUAAUAAUUAAUUUACAAGUGUGAAAAAUGUGAAAAAAAUUAUGCAAAUGCUCGUGAUCAUAUCCUCUAUGCUUUGGCGAUAAGUCCAUGUUCGUUUGAAUUUUUAAAACCUUACAAAUCCUCAUGACUAGUUUUUUUUUUAGUCCAAAAUAAAUAAAAAAUCAUUAUAAUUAAUAUUCAAGUGUGAAAAAUGUGAAAGAAUAUACAAACGCUUGUGAUUGCAUCAUCUACACAUAGAUGAUGGUUACAUUGCUUUUUGGUUUUUAAAACCUUCUAAACCCUCAUGAAUAGUGUUUUUAUUUAUUUAAGUGCAAAAUUAAUAAAAUUUGAUAAUAAUUAAUGUGGAAGUGUGAAAAAUGUAAAAAAAAAAUAUACAAUCACUCGUAAUGACAAGUUUUACAACUUUCAUGAAGGGGUGAAGUCUGAAAUUCGACAACAUAAUCCAUAAACCCGAGAUUUAUAGUUAUCUAUUGAUUGUCAUUUACGCUCGAUUCUUCUCACUAGAUUUCGUUUUUCAAUUUUUUUGUUUUUGAAAAUAUGAUCUUUUAGUGGAUACAGAAUAAUGAACGAUUCGGAUAAUUGAUAUCACGAUCCAUUGUUUACGGUUAAUUCAAAUAUGAGUUAAUGUUAUAUAGUUUCUUGCCGUGAUAUCAACUUUCCAAACCGUUCAUCUUUCUGCAUCCGCUUAUAGAUCAUGUUUUUAAAAAAGAAAAUCUGAAAAUGAAAUCCAGUGAGAAGAAUAGAGCAUAAACUGUGAUCGACGAUUAAAUAUAAAUAUAGAGUUUAUGCAUUAUGGGUCGAAUAUCGAAGACAACCCCAUCACAAAAGUUAUAAGCUUGUCAUUACGAGUGAUUGUAUAUCUUUUUUACAAUUUUUUUUCACUCUACAUUCAUUAUUAUGAAUAUUUGGGGUAUGUAAUACUUGAAAGACAAAUGUGCUUUUAUGUUUUGAAGUAAUACUUAUGUGACAAUGUGGUAUGUAGACACUAAUUUAGUAUUACGUGUUGGAACCAAAUUGCGCACCUCCGGGAGUAGUGGUUGAGCACAAACUCGGGCAACGUGCAAAACAGUAAACAACUGUGAGCAAGCCUAAGACUCGAGGGGAGGGUGUGGUGUGUCGGCCAAAGGCUUUCCAACAGUCAAGUUAGUGAAUAAUUUUAGACUGUAGCAAUAGGUAGAAGAAUUGAAGUGUUUAGAUUGCGUUACCAUAGAUGAACCCUAGAUGGGUGAAUUUAUACUACAAGGAGAUAGACCUUUUUAGGAUAGAAUUCUCCUUCUAAACUGAGAGAAUCUUAGAGGAUAUCUAGUAAGUAGACAUUGCAUCAUCUUAUGAGUUGUGAUUACUUGCAGUGCACGCCAAUCCUUAAAUAUAGGAACUCUAAAACUUAUAAGAUAUGAUUGUGUCCAUAAUUAGAUCAGAUCGCAUGUCUUGUGGAUCAAGCAUGAUCAUCCAGUAGAGUUACGAGGACUCCGCCUAUUGCCUUAGAGUCAAGUGAUGGUGGCACCCUGCUCCAUCUGAUACAGCUUAGCUCAGAGCUAGUGAGUCCAUGAUCGGACUUUUGAGGUAACAAUAUUUAAAUUAGCCUUACUCUAACCUGCAAAAUUAUAGUCCCACAAUUGCCCCAAAUUAUCCGUCUAAGAGGCAACCCGUUCCCCUUGAGUUUGAUUGUUAUCCAAAAAUCGUACCUGUUGGAGUAAGCUGGAAUAUGUACUGUUUAGUCUUUAGAACGAUGUAACCUUCGGUAUUGAAGUGGAGGCUUUUUGGACUUGGAUGAGUAGUCUCGAGCUAUGUGCCAAAGUUUGGUAACAAUGAUUGUUGGAACCAAAAUAGUGAAACAACUGUAAGCAAACCUUAACCCAAAGGGUGUGCCGCCAAAGGCUUUCCGACGAUCAAGUUAGUGAAUGAUUUUAGACUCAAGCAAUAGGCAAGAGAAUUCAAGUGUAUAGAUUGUGUUACGUAGUUAAACCCUAGUUGGGUGUAUUUAUAUCAUGGGAGAGAAACCUUUUAGGAUAAAAUCCUCGUUCUAAGUUGGGAGGAUUUUAGAUGAUAUCUAGUAAGUAAAUACAGCAUCCCCUUAGGAGUGUGAUUACUUGCAGCGCAUGCCUAUCCCUAGAUUGUAGGGACUCCAAGACUUAUAAGAUUUGAUUGUGUCCAUAUUCGGAUCAAAUCACGUCUCUUGUGGAAUAAGCAUGGUCAUCUAGUAGAGCCAUUUGAACUAUGUCUAUUGUCCCGGAGUAGGAUGAUGGUGGCACUCUGCUCCAUCUGAUACAGCUCCACCUUGAGCUGGUGAGUCCAUGACCGGAUUUUUGAGGUAACAAUAUUCAGAUUAGCCUUACUCCGACCCUGGAAAAUCACAUUCUCACAAUUGCCACUAACUAUCCGUCUGAGUGGCAACCUGUUCCCCUUGAGGAUGGAUUAUUAUCAAAGACCAUGCCUUUCGAAGUAAGUUGGAAUACUUACCGUUUAGUCUUUAAAUUCUUUCACAAGUGAUAUGGCCUUUGGAUGGCAGUGUCUUCAAUCCUAAAUGAGUCACCUUGAACUCCUUGUUUUUGACCUCGAUAUGAUGAUGCGUCGCGUUCGUCGUGUGCACAUGAAAAACGAGAAAUUUCCUUUGAUAACAAUCAGGUCCAUUGAUUUCGAGGUAAAACGGUCUGUAUUUAAUGGUAUGAUGAUUCAAAAUAUCCUCUUUUAAAUAACUUCCACAUCACCAAUUUCACUUUUCUUCAAAUUCCCAAAUCUUGUUUAGAAGGCGCUUCCACUAUUCACUCGUCGAUGUUAACCUUCUCUUACUUGAUCGAAUUUAAUGGCGACCAGCUCUUUUAACCUAACUAUUCAAUCUGACAUUCUGGUUAGGGUUUGUAACAGAGGUGAAGAAGAAGUCUUUCCUACGAGUCGUAGUCAUCUUCUCAAUGGAUGUUGGGCUUGGUAGGAAGAUAAUGGUAAUGUGGCAACAGAACUUCCUAACUCCAAGUUUUCUGAUCGCCCAUGUACUAGAAUCCACCCUUGUUAUCUUGAUUUAGGACUAGGGUGCCCUCUGUCACAACUAUAAAAUGAGAUCCUUAUUCAUUUUCAAAGUUAGUCUCUGCAAUCUCACCCCGACUUCCAUUCGCAUUAUCUUCUGUUUCGACAGCCUGGAUGAUUGGUAUCAUGCUGAGCUGGGCUUGUUUGAAUUUCUCACUUUUUAGCAACUCUAAAGGAGUUCACUCCCUACUUCUUUCAAUCCCGGUCCACCAUUUGGUGGCCUGCCUACAUCACUGAUAUCCUAUCUCACGACAAAGAUUGGUACAUAGAUAUCCUUUUGGUAGAAAGGACUGGAACAGUGAUAUAUCCUUGCCGAGAAUUCCUUAUAAGCUCAAAAGUGACAUUCCUUAUAAGAUGGGUGACUAGAAUCCUAGUCAAUGUUGCAUUGAGCUUAUAGAUAGGGCGUUCAAACUCAUUCUCUCUUGGCAUUGGAGUUGGAAGUGGCUUAGGGCGCCGAAGAGAAACAUUGUUCAGAGAAGGGACGACAUCAACGAUCUUUGCUAUAAACAUCUCAUUCCUAACCCUGCAUGGGUUGGGACCUAAUGCUUUGAAGUCUUCCAAACAUUCCAAAGGUGCCCCUAAAGCAGAGAAAAAGAAAAUGAAGAUGAGGACUAAAAAGGAGGAUUCGAAGAUGGUCCUGGUCAAAGCAUCCAAGAAAAAGACCAAGUUAACGGGUCAUCCUAGGAUUUGUUUAGAUAAAAGAUCGAAAACCAUGAACCUUGCUCCUAUUAUUGAAGAGAAUUUGCAACAAAUCCCUGCAAACCCAGGUAAAGGAAAAGGUAAAUCCAUUCUUGUAGAGGGGUCAACGUUGGCACGAAGGCUGUUGAAAAAGGGAGUGCAUCCAUCUGUACUUGAUUCUUGGUUUUGUAGCUGCCCCUACUAGUAAUCAAAGUCUUGUUGGCAAACUGAAUACCUUGAUGCCCGAUACAUCAUCCAUUAUGUCUGGUAUUUGUGAGAGAAUAUUUAUCGAGGUGCCUCACUUAGUGAUCAGGACCGCUAUCGGUUCAGAGCCACUUCCUCUAGAUGCAAAUGGUCUUCGAGAUGCGGGAUAAGCUCAGGCUUUGAUGUGCUCAGCUCCUUUUUGCAGAUUAUAGGGAAAUCUAAAUUACGAAAUAUCCGAGGGAGAGAUGUUAUCAAAGCAGAUAUGUGGUUAGUCUUCUCAAUCUUUCAUAUCACUAGUUAUCUAUGUGCUCAUUUUUUCUUAUUCCUACCUCAAUAUACCUUUCUUAAGCUAAUCUGGGCCCAAACAAAUGAGAACUCCCAACUUAAGGCUGCUAAUAAUAGUGAGUUAGGCAGCAUGAUCAAAGCUGAUGGGACCUGCAGAAGAGAAGUGCUAGGCUCGAGAUGUUACUGGUGGAUAAACAAGCUUAGAAUGCUGAGAGAGAUACCCUUAGGACGCAUUUAUAAGAAACCUAGAGGGCAUUCACAUCAGAGAGGAGUUUGUGGGAAGCAGACAGGUCUAUCAUCCAGUCGAAAUUGGACGUAGUUCAGGAUGAAAUGUGUUGUAUAGAGAAAAUCCAAGCAAAGUCUUCUCAGCAAAACGAGGAAAAAGUCAUGGAGCUACAACGACAAUACUAGGAAGACAUCAUCCUUGAGUACAAUUAGGGUUAUCUUGAUGGUUAUAGUGUUUAGGACCAUCGUGAUCAGUGGGACAUUACUUGUUUGCUCAAAGAGAUAUGAAACGCUGAUUUGCCGGUGCCUUCCUCGCUUGUAGUUGAUGCAUUGAUGAUCGCCUUAUCGGAGCAUAGUGAAUCUUCUUCAGAGUUUAAAGGACAAAUGAAGAAGAAGGAUACUGCUGCUGCUAAUACUCAUCUUGUUGGUUCCUAUUCAGUUGAUCUUAAGGACGUAACGAACUCCGGUGCCGCUAAAUAGUUGUUUUUCUUAUGCUUUGCAAAGCUAGAAUGGGGGCGUGUCCCAUUCACUGAACACUUUGCCCCUGUCUGAGCUUUGAAUCUUUUUAACUUUGUCUGAGGGUGUUCUUUUCUUGUACCUCAUAUUUUUCUAACCGUGUCCCCGAUUCGGCUAACUUUCCAAAGUAAGCUAACUUUGGAACAAUAAGUAGCAAGGUGAAGCACAGAUGAGUUUGUGGGCCCGAGACAGAGCAUAAUAGCCCCCUUGAUGAUAUUGAUCCGAAAAAACAUCAUCUCUCAAACUCAAUGCUUGUAAGGGUACCCAUCGUGAUAAUCAAAGUACCAUCUUGCUCUAAUACCAGGUGUUAAGGCCCAUAGAGAACCCUUUGCCUUGUUUCUACUCUUGUUGCUAGAUCUAAGAGGACGGUAUUUCUUUUAUCAGGAAUGUCCUCUCAUUUAUUUGCUUUUCUCAUUUCCUUUCUAGAGAUUCUUCGAAUCUUGUUGCAAAGUGAUGCUCGAGGGAUUUGUACCUCUUAGCACAUGUUGCGUGUUUGUCUCCAGUGAAUUUUUAGGCGAAAGUUUGUUGGAGAAGAGUUUACCUGCUUGUCGAUCGAAAACAAUUUUUCAAUCCUUUUGUCAGACCUUAAGCAUCAAACCUGAGCAUUUCCGUUCGGACUACUUUGGUUGGCUUGACCAUAACAUUUAUAUGUAUCGGAGCUCCGUCGGAAUAAAUUCCUCUUGGGGAUUGCCUAGUCUGGAUGCCCAUUUCGAACCUGCUAAUACUUGGUGUUGUAGGCUUACUUGGUACGGAAUAGAAGUAGUCGUACUCGAGGUCGGAUUUGAGAGCCACCUUCCGAUGAGUUUCGGAUCACCCUUUCGACUAUUCCUUCGAAUGGCAUAGAGCUUGGGUUUGAAUGUUAUAGCCCAUAACCUUGCUAGUUGCAUAAACUUUUCAAAGGUCGAAGAGUGCAUUGGACUUCUAGGUCAAGGCACCAUGUACCCGUGCCCGUAGCUCGUCAAUCGUUACCGCGCUUAUUACAGUUCGAGUUUCCCAAGUUGCUAAUCGUUCCAGACAGAUUAGGCUAAAUGAGGCUCAUCUAACAGUGUAACUUUGAACGUUUUUAUACUUUAUUGUUGCAAAGUUUUCAAAAUUUGUGCCCUAUUUUGAAUGAGUAUGGUACUCCCUGCAUCACCCAAAAAAUAGAGAAAGAACACAUAUUUAAGACAAACAUAUGCUUUUGAAUCAUGAUCCAAGUAAAGUUGGUUUACAAGAGGGUGUGAUUGAAUCCGUUCCGACAUGCAUAUUUUUUAUUUGCCAAUGAAUUUACGAGAACGAUUGCCUACAUAUCUCAGGAAUGGAGAAUCAAAUCACUAUUCUAGUUCUAAGGAAAAGAUGAUAUGAUGUAAAAAUUACAUCAGGGAUCACUUCUGACGAAAAGCCUAUGGUGGGGCGUUAGGAGUUGAGUUAUUGGUGAACUUGUCUUCACGCAGAUGGCGGUGUUGUGAUUGGGUCAGGAGAGGAUUGCCUACAUAUCCCAGGAAGGGAAUCAAAUUGUGUAUAGUUUGUGUUACCUUUUUUCUUUCAUUUGAUUUGGACUCGACAACAAGGUAUCCACUUCAUGGUGGUUGGUGUCAGAUUUCUUGUGACCCUUUCUGUUGCUUGUGUCCGACCUUUGCAGAUGACGUUUAUGUUGAGGGUCAUUUUUUUACAAGUUGUUGGUCUUCAUUAUCGGUGUGUUUGUCCGACCGGUCUAUGUUCUUGGGUUCAGCUGAAUUUUCCUUCUGUGCCUUGUCCCUAACAAAUUUCUAGCAGUGCCCUUGAUCCAGCAGCUCUUUGAUAUUAUCCCUCAGCACUCAAUAACCUCUGGUGGUGUAGGCAGUAAUCUUAUGAAAAUAGCAAUAUUCACUUAGGUUUUUCUUGGCUAAAUGCUUUGGGAAAGGUUUUGGACGUCAGAGGAGGGGUUUAUCUUUUAUGCUGUGGAAGAUGUUAUUAAUGGCGGUAUUCAGGGCAAUAUACUAUUUGAGUUUUGACCGCUCUUUCUUGUCUCGGCGUCCUCUUUUCAUGACUUGUCGAAAAGAAGGUGGGGGAGUGUUUUUGUCCAUCAUUCUCUCCCCCAUUCUUCUGUUAGUUUUCCUAGAUUAAUCGAGUUCAAUGGUCGUCAUUCGGCUCUUAUCGUCCCCUUCGAUCAGAUAGUCUGCGAUAUAUAAGCACUUAACUAGAGUAGCGUAGUCAUAUUUUUUUCUUGUUCAGCUUCUGGGAGAGAAGUGAAUGGAUAUAAAGGCUUCGCUUGAAUGCCACAAUCGUGAAAGCGCUUCAAAUAAGCUCUAAGACAACUCUGCUCGAAAGCCCUUCAAAUAGGCUCUAAGACUUUCAUCUCUAGUUUGACUGAGUAGCCUGAACAUAGCUUCAUAGCAUUUUCUGACAUCAUGGUACACAUAAUAGUUGUUCGUAAAUAAGUCGACUAGAGUUUCAAAGCAGUCAAUGGACCUGGCUGAUAGCUCUGAAUACCACUUCAUGGCGGGUCCUUCCAAGGUGGAUUGGAACAUUUUGCACAUCCAAGCGUCGUUGUUGUUGUUGUACAAUGCCAUGUCAUAUCUGUAGUGCAUGAUAUGGUAGUCAAGAUCAGAAUCACCACGGAAUGACUUGAACCUCAAUUGAGAGAAUUUUUCUGGUAGGGGCAUUCAUUCGAUUGUUGCUGAAAAAUGCAUCUUGGUCCAAACAAUCGACCUAUUCGUAGUGCGAGGCUGAAUGAGACUUGCAUAAUUAUCUCCAUUCGGAGAGUAUCGUUGUUCUUGGUUACUAGGAGCCUUGGGUUCAUCGAACCUUAAACGGCAGGGUUCCCUCAUCAAUCCCCCGAUGUGUUUUGAGGGGGAUUUUGCAGAUUUUAGGUUCCUUCUCUUGUGUCUGCGCCUAGGAUCUGCCCAUUGCCUGUGGGAUUUCUUAUGGGAUUUACGGUGUUUGCUGCAACGACUCGUCCCCAAAAUUUACGAUUUUUAUAAUUUUUAAAAUGCUAAUUUAUGAAAAUGCCCUUCGAGGAAAAUGCGAUGAUUUAUGUUGACAACCUUGUCAUGUCACUUAAGAUCCAUUUUCUUGGUGUAUCCUCGUAGUACUCAUCACUACGAAUACAUGAGCACAAACAGAACGUAAUUUGGAGUUAUAACGAAUGAGUUAUUAAUGAUUGAAGUUAAGGGCAAAAUGGCCAGUUGACCAUAAAUCUGGAAGGCUCCAGAUUUUAUUGGAACAUUAAUAUGAUGCCACGUGUAUGGCCAGCAUGGAGACUUGAGGGGCGACCCAAUCAGAAGGGGGAAAUGAGAGAAAUGUGAGAUGGGAAAAAUGAGGGAACCUAUUCAUCCAUUUGACCUGUUUUCCAACCCGAGACUCGGUUCUAACCCAGACGUCGGGCAUGGUUUUUUGACGUCGUUGUGGCAUUUUGCUUGCAAAUUAGGGCUAUCCACCAUUACCAAAUCAUUUCCCUGCCACUUUCCCUUCCAUCUACAACCAAACCAACGAGUUUUGGCCUUGGUUUUGCCUGUAACCCACCGACUGGUCCGAGUGAUUCUCGACGGCGAUUUACCAUUUGUGAAACAUUUUCCUUCGAUCACCACCACCAUUAGACUUCUCUUGAGGCCGGGAACAAAGCCCAAACAAGUUAGGGGGUGAUGGAGUUGAAGAUUUGACAAAGAGCACUCAAUUCUAAGGUUUCCAGCGGAUCGAUGGUGAAUUGGGGUGUUUCCCAGUAAAAUUGGAUUUCGGCCUAGGUAUGAAAGUUGUUCCUUUCAUUGAGAUCUUCAUUCUUGUUAAUUUUGGGAUUUUUUAGAAUUGUUGAAUUUUCCAGCAAGUCGGGGUGGCCGGCCGCCGCGUGACCUUUCGAGUCGCCGCCUCAUGGUGGCUCAUGCGGUGGCGCGUGAGGGGAAACCUAGGUCCCUCCUUAGGUUUUUUGAUGUGCCGGAUCCAAAUUCGCCAUCUUUUUUCCUAAAUUCUAUCAUUUAGAUAUAGUUUUACUAAAUGGUCCCUAAUUAUGUUUAGGCGCGUGGCGGGAAGCGACAUCAUCCUUACUAGCUCGAGCGGUUUCCGAACAACGAAAUAUUUAUGAGUAGACCCCUUCUUAACUGAUAUGUUUUUAUAAAUACUAGCCUAGCAUGCAUUUCAUAUUUCAUGAUUUAAGUGUGUUUUAUAAUAUGCUUAUGGAUUUCUAUAAUUAUGGUUUACGAAAUAUUCAUGAUUUAUCGAGAUUACAUUUUACGAAUGGAUAUGAAUUAUUGGAUUUGCAUAUAUGGAUUUCUAUGGAUUUUGAACAUGAUUUAUCAUGGAUUUAUGAGAUGAGACUUUGAGCUUGUGAGCUUCAGAUUUGAUACAAGUUUUGAGAUAUGUUUCGGUACUUAUCUAGUGGGUUAUCAUACAACACAUACACGUACCACGGGGUAUGACGUCUAUGGCCAUAGGACACAGUGGAGGAGUAGUGAGAUAUAUGUGUACACACACACACACACACAUACCCCCAGCUUCACUGCCAAAAGCAGUGUUUGACAGCUUCACUAGCCACGGCUAGAGUCGGUGUGUAUGUAUGCUCUUUUAUUCAGCUUCACCUUCAGGUGAUGGACAUGUACUGCUUUUGGGUGACUAUGAUACCCCUAGAGAGAGUACAGUAUUGAUGAGAUUUUUCGAUUUGCCUUUGAGCGUUGAUUGCACCGUUUUUUAGCAUGGUUUUACUCGUACUUGUUUACGAAUGUUUUCAUGGCAUGCUAGGGUUUUCAGAAAAAACUUAUUAUGUAGUAUUAUAUAUGUUUUAAAAUAGGGGGUUAGUAUGUUCAUAAAUAAAAUGGUUUUCUUUACUAUUAGUAUUAUUAUUAUUAUAAACUUUGGUCCACUCACCUUUUUUUGUUUUGUACCCCCUUAGGAGGUAGAAUUGAGGCACACGAUCCCGACGUCAGGACAAGUCUACAUAGGUAUAUUCGAGUCUCCUCAGUGUAUGACUCUUUCUUUCAUUCAUGCCUUUUUCUAAUAAUUCUUUCUUAUUAUUCCAAAUUAGUGUAUGCUCUGAACACGUUUCUACAUUGUAUUUUUUUUUCUAAUUACAUAUUUUAUUCAUAGGCAUGUCCAAAAUAGCUUCGUCACCCUCGUGUAUCUGCCAGCACGUGCCUAUCCUAUUAAUAAAUGAAUAUCAGGAUCAGGGCAUGUCAUUUAUUGACACCUGAAUGAUUGAAGAUGUUAUGGGAUCGCCUUCUAGAGUCAUGGUGCUUAUGCUUCCAAAUCCAAAGACAAGGAUUUAGGUAGGAGGCGUUGUCCCGCUCAAGUUCUCCAGAUUCUUCAUCCGUUCUUCCAUUUUCAUGAAGUUGGAAUAACUGUUAGCAUGAGCCACAGUCUAGUUCUUCUGUAGCUUUUUGACAAAAGUGAUGAUCUUAGUUAGAGUCAAGGUUCUAAAAGUCGCUAGGCGCUAGUCGGGCGGCGGGCUGGGGCCUAGCGCCUAGGCGGCUAGGCGGGGCCUAGGCGGGAGCCUAGGCGGACUAGGCGGAUUUAAGUAAAUUUAUCAUAUUUCAGGUAAAUAAGUGUCUGCUUCUACUUGAAAUAUAUAUAAUUUCAUCAUAAACUACAAAAUAGAAUGCAUAUAUAUCAUGAAGUAUUGGAACAUAAUGAAAACAUGUGAAAUAAGGAUAUAAUGUUUGUUCAUUCAAGUAUGCAACAAGUCUCUUAUAAUUUAUUGGAAAAAAACAAAAUGCAAAAUGAAAGUUAUGUAUUUUCUGUCUAAGUGAGUUGCAACCUAGGCGGGUCUAGGCGGGUGCCUAGGCGGGCUAGGUGGGUGCCUAGGUGGUCUAGGCGGUGGGCUGGGGCCUAGGCAUUAAUCGGGGCAGUGGGCUGGGGCCUAGCGCCUAGGCGGGGCCUAGGCGGCGCUAGGCAGGGAUUUUUAGAACAGUGAAGAGUUUCCCAAAUCUCAUCCAUAGAAGGGGAGGUUAUAUGACUGGAUCUCAUCCUUCCCCAAGGGUGGUCGUCAUCCCUUGGGGGUCGUUGCUGGCUCCAGGCGUUCCUGCAGUAGUUGGAGGCAACGAGCCCUUUGCCUUAGGGAUAAUUGAUGCAUCAUAGGGUAGGCCUUUUUCGCCUAAUGGGUUGACAUGGGUGUUAAAUAAACUUUCUUCGCGCUGACUUGUUUACUGGUGGAGUGGUCUGGUCGAGAGGAAUAUGGGUUUGCUCUCUAUGAAAGCACCAAUUGUUGGAACCAAAACUGCACACCUCUUUCAGUGGCAGUUAAGCGUAAAUCCACGUAGUUUGGAACAACCUACAAAACAGUGAAACAAUUGUAAGCAAACAUAGGCCGGGAAGGGGGAAGGUGUGUGUGCCGGCCAAAUACUCUCUGACGAUCAAGUUAAUGAAUGAUUUUAGAUUCAAGUAGUGGGUUAAGUGUAUAGAUUGUGUUACCAUAGCUGAGCCAUAGAUGGGUGUAUUUAUACCGUGGGAAAGAGACAUUUUUAGAAUAGAAUCAUUAUUCUAAACCGGGAGAAUCCUAAAGGAUAUCUAGUAAGUAGAUAUUAAAUCCUAUUAGGAGUGUGAUUACUUGUGGUGCACGCCCAUCCCUAAAUUGUAGGGACUGUAAAACUUAUAGGAUUUGGUUGUAUCUAUAUCCAGAUCAAAUUGCAUAUCUUGGGGAACAUGCAUGGUCAUCCAGUGAAGUCGCUUAGACUCCGACUAUUGCUACAGAGUAGGAUGAUGAUGGCACCCUGCUCCAUCUAAUACAGCUCAGCAUGGAUUUGGUGAGUUCAUGACCGGACUCUUGAGGUAACAGUAUUCGAAUCAACUUUACUUCAGCCCUAAAAAAUCAUAGUCCCACAAUGAUGCGUUGCAUUUGUUACUUAUGCACGAAAAACAAGAAAUUUCCUCUGAUAAUCUGCUAUAUAGACAAAACUGUUAGAUUUGCUGAUCUCAAAAGGAACUGAUCUGUAUUCAACGGUUGGAUUACACAGUCUUCACUAUUAUUCUUCCUGAGUAAACCCUAAUUCUGGUAAAAUUAUGGCCGCCAGUUCAUAUGCCAUCCUGUUAUUCAUACUGGUUCUGACGUCUUUCCUAAGCCUCCCAUGGUUAGGGUUCUUAAUAAAGGAGAAGGAUAAGCCUUCCUUGCAAGUCGUAGCCAUUUUCUCAACAGGUGCUGAGUAUGGUGGAAAAAUAAUGACAAGGUGGCAAGCGAACUUCCCGAUUCUAAAGAUCCCAAUCGUCCUUGCACCAGAAUCCACCCAUACUAUCUUGAUUUGGGGCUAAGGUUUCCCUUGUUGCCUUUGUGGAGAAAGAUUCUUGUGUUUUACUUACCCCUUCAUUGGCACACAUUGUUACCACAUUUGAAUGCCUAAAUGAGUUGUAUAAAGCUGAACUGGGCUUUCAUGAGUUUUUCGUUCUUUACGAUCUUUACAAUAGCACUUACACGUGGUACUAUUUCCAGACUUGAUCUGCUCUUCGGUGGCCUACUUACAUUACGGAACUGCCUAGUCAAGAUAAAGACUAGUACAAGGAUAUUCUCCUGGUGGAAGGGAAUUAGGAAGGAGAUAUAUCUGAGCCAAGGGAUCCCCAUAAACCAAAGAGCGAAGUUAAUAGCAAAAUAGAGGCCAAUGACCUUAGACCAUGUCGUCGUGAGCUUAUCGAUAAAGCUUUCCACUUUAUCCCUAUCCCACAUCAGAGUUAGAAAUGGUUUAGUACGGCGGAUAAAGAAAGCGCAUACAUUAGUACGGCGGAUAAAGAAAGAGCACACAUGAGGGAUGACGUCAUGGACCUUUGUUCUGUCCAUCCUAUCCUUAACCCGGAGUGGGUUGAGGCUAAAGCUCAUAUGAGGCCGCUGAAGAAGAAAAAGAAGGGAGUGGGUUGAGGCUAAAGCUCAUAUGAAGCCGUUGAAGAAGAAGAAGAAGAAGAAGAAGAAGAAGAAGAAGAAGAAGAAGAAGAAGAAGAAGAAGAAGAAGAAGAAGAAGAAGAAAAGAAAAAGAAGGAAGAAAGAAAGAGAAGAAAGGAGGAAGAAGGAGAAGAAGAAGAAGAAGAAGAAGAAGAAGAAGAAAGAAGAAAGAAGAGAAGAAGAAGAAGAAGAAGAAGAAGAAGAAGAAGAAGAAGAAGAAGAGAAAGAAGAAGAAGAAGAAGAAGAAGAAGAAGAAGAAGAAGAAGAAGAAGAAGAAGAAGAAAAGAAGAAGAAGAAGAAGUUGUCAAAGUUUCAUAGUUAGGCCAAUUGUGAGACCAUGAUUUUCAAAGAUCAAAGUAAGGCAAUACGGCGGAUAAAGAAAGCGCACACAUUAGUACGGCGGAUAAAGAAAGAGCACACAUGAGGGAUGACGUCAUGGACCUUUGUUCUGUCCAUCCUAUCCUUAACCCGGAGGGUUUGAGGCUAAAGCUCAUAUGAGGCCCUGAAGAAGAAAAAGAAGGAGUGGGUUGAGGCUAAAGCCUCAUAUGAGGCCGUUGAAGAAGAAGAAGGAAGUGGGGUUGAAGAAGAAGAAGCUCAUAUGAGAAGAAGAAGAAGAAGAAGAAGAAGAAGAAGAAGAAGAAGAAAGAAGUUGUCAAAGUUUCAUAGUUAGGGCAAUUGUGAGACCAUUAUUUUCAAAAGAUCAAAGUAAGGCAGUACGGAAUAAAAGUACACGGAUUAGAAAGAGCGGAUAAAGACGUCAACAACACAGGGCGAUGAAAGAUGGAUUUGUCUUUCAUCCUAUGUUUUAACCGUGAGGGAAGAAGAAAAAGAAGAAGAAGAGAAGAAGAAGAAGAAGAAGAAAAGAAGAAGAAGAAGAAGAAGAAGAAGAAGAAGAAGAAGAAGAAGAAGAAGAAGAAGAAGAAGAAGAAGAAGAAGAAGAAGAUAAGAUCAAAGUUUCAUAGUUAGGGCAAUUGUGAGACCAUUAUUUUCAAAGAUCAAAGUAAGGCAGUACGGCGGAUAAAGAAAGCGCACACAUUAGUACGGCGGAUAAAGAAAGAGCACACAUGAGGGAUGACGUCAUGGACCUUUGUUCUGUCCAUCCUAUCCUUAACCCGGAGUGGGUUGAGGCUAAAGCUCAUAUGAGGCCGCUGAAGAAGAAAAAGAAAGGAAUGGGUUGAGGCUAAAGCUCAUAUGAGGCCGUUGAAGAAGAAGAAGAAGAAGAAGAAGCUCAUAUGAGGCCGUUGAAGAAGAAGAAGAAGAAGAAGAAGAAGAACUUGUCAAAGUUUCAUAGUUAGGGCAAUUGUGAGACCAUGAUUUUCAAAGAUCAAAGUAAGGCGAAUCGGAAUACAAAUACCUUAGAAGUCCAGUUAUAGACUCAACAACUUCCUAGUGGAGAUGGAAAGACGGAUUAACGAUGCCACCAUCAUCUUGUUUUAGAGCAGUGGGCGAAGUCUGCGACUUCGCUGAGAUUGGCCAUGCUUGUUUCGCAAGACAUGGAAACUUAAUCCAGCAGGGAAUCAAUAGGUUUCCUAUAUUCUUGGAGUUCUUGCAAUCUAAGUAUUGGCUUGCGCUACAAUUAAUCAUACUCUAUAGGAUGCUAUAUCUACUUCUUAGAUAUCUUUUGGGAUUCUCUCGGUUUAAUACAAAUUCUAUAUCUUAAAAGGUUUCGACUUCAACUAGUAUAAAUACACACUUCUAGGGUUCAUGUCUGGUAACGCAAUUAUCUGGUCACUUGUUCUCUUGCCUACUGCUUGAACCUCAUAAUAUUGCUUACUAAAUCGACAUUUGGAAAACUUUUUACCGGCACCCCCUCCCCACCCCUCGAUCCUUGACUACUUACGGUUGUUUUUUCUUUUACAAGUUACUCGAGUUUGUGCAUUUACCUCUCACGGUAGUGCACGAAUUUGAUUCCAACAACUAUAAUUAUAUUUUUGUCUUUGUCAAUGCAAGUAUCAAACAGAAACAGUAUACUUUUUAAAUAAUUAACCGUCAAUUAAAAGAGCAUAGUACUUUUCUACGGUGAAAAAAAGGGAAAAUGAAGAAAGAAUUAGAUUUCCACUUAGGGUUUUCAAUAGCUUCCUAUUUUCAAAGUAUAUAAAGUUAGGUAGAUAAUUCCCACCCACCUUUUCAGCUUUUCACACAGAUUCUUUAUUUCUGAUUUAUGUCACUGAAUCAAACAACAGCGAGGGACAUGAAAGCAUUCAUGCAAAAUCGGAAGGUCGUGCGUCCAACAUGAUGCCAUGGUCUAAAAAACAGUUGGCUGGCAAAACAAUCUGAUCCAUUACAUAAGUAAACCAUCAGAUUGACUAAAUAUUCAUUUCUAUAAAGAAUAUUACUUGUAUAAAUGUCAGAUCCAUCAAUGAAUAAGUUGCAGAUAAAAGAAUUUGAGAACGUAAGUUUGGACUGCAAUUUCAUAAACAUUCUUUAAAACUGAUUUACUAGUACUAGUCAUUAUCGAAGAACAAACCGAUAUACCAACUAUCACUGCUUUAUUGGUAUUUGUCUUCGCAUUGUUGAAAGAAUGAAAAUAAUAAUUAACAAGUUAAUACUAGAAAUCUUCAAUAAUUCCCUGCCUAACAAUCCACUACUAAUCACACAAUACUAAAUCAUGCCUCAAUGUGAUUAGAAAUAGAAUCAUUCAAUAUAAGUUAUCACUUAUUCUUUAAAUUUUCUAAUAUAGGAUAGCAUUCAUCAACCUUUCCCCUCACAAGGACCUUUUUUUAUGGGCCACAUGCAAAUAAUUCUCCAUUGGUAGCCCCCUUUCUAUUCUUUAUUUAUUUUUAUUUUUCGGUUUCUUUUUCUCAAGCAGCGGAAGAUUGUCAUGAAAGUGUCGUUAGCUCGAGCUGAAUCAAGGAGAACCUGCCUGAUUCCAUUUAAAGACAUCACACUAGUUACUCGUUAUUAAUCACAUCGAUAUUUUUUUCAAUUUAAUCAUCUGUACAACUUUACAUGUGUUGAGUUUUAUAAAAAACGACCUCAGUGCAAUUAAAGGUGGAGCCGUUUAAUAUAAUUUGUUAUUUAUUCUGUCAAGUAUUCAUUGUGAAUUAAUGUGAAUAAAUAAUAUAGUCAAGUUGACUCAAUUAUAUAUAACCAACUUUGUGAAAAAAAAUCUCUCUUUAAACAUUGCAAGUUGCAACCGUACUCCAAAAAUUAGAAUUUAUGAAAUGAUGUUGUCAUCAUUCUCAACCAGCCAAUAAACAUUAGCCAUACAUGCUUCCUGCGGGUUAGAAUUUCUUGAUCAAUUAUGCAUCAUUGUAGGGGUAGUUCAGUAUGGCAUCCCAAAUCGAAAAUGGGAAUCCGAAUCCUAAACCAAAAAUUUUUGGGACGAGAAUUUGAAUAUCAAUCCCAAACUGAAAUUUAGGUAUUCCCAAUUUCCGGGAUUCCCAAAAUGUUUUUGGUAUUUCAUGAUGGAUUGGGAUUUGAUCUUCGGAUUUGGACUUUUGGAUUUUUUGGUUAAAAUUUGAGAUGUUUGGGUUAUGGGCUAAAAUUUGAGCUUUUGGCCUAAAAUUAUGUUCCUUAAUUUCAUAUAAAUUGAAAGUUAGGUUUUUUACCUCAUACCAAUUUGAAAUUUCAUACGAAUUUAUUAAUAUCAAGUUGAAUUGAUGCUGCAAAGUUCGAUAGUAAUUAAUUUCAUACUUCUAUUUCUAAUAUGGUCUACUAUCAAACUACUUAAAUUCAACAUUCAACAUGCAUGCAACCAAAAUAAAUAUAUAUAGUUUUUCAGUUCGGUUCGAGAUUCCCAAACCAUUGAAUAUGUAAUCCCGAUUUCCGUACUGAGAGGUUCAGGAUCGAUUCGGUAUGGAUCCCAAAAAAUUUUGUAUUAUCGGUUUGAGAAUUUUUCGGUAUGGAAUCGGAUUUUUUUUUUGUUUGGUUUGAGAUUUUCGAGAAAAUUUUCCAGCCCUACAUCAUGGACAAGGAUUGUCUGCCCUCUUUAUUCCCGUGCCCUCCCAUGCCCUUCUGUUUGUGUGGUCACGGUUAAGCCACGUCAACAUUUUAUAUUACUAUUUAUUUUUGUCUUAUUAUAUCUAUAAAAAAAACAAUAUAAAAUGUUGACGUAUCUUAACCGUGACCACACAAAACAGGAGGGCAUGGGAGGGCACUGGAACAAGGAGGGCAGACCAUCCUUGUCCCUACAUCAUAGGAGCCGAUUCAAACUUUGCUAAUAUAAUCAAACCUGCAUCCAAAAAAUUCAGGUCAAAAAUCAUGUCUCCAUCUUAUCUUUGUUAUCCAUUUCCUUUCUAGCUAGGUCAAUAUCCUUGAAACUUCCAUGAAAUUUAUUCUCAUCACAUUAUUAAUGAUAACCUUGAAUUUCAACUCCAUAACCAGAAGAAAAAUUUUGCUAUAAAAUUCUUCGAAAUUGCCAUUGAGGUCAACAUCAGUGAAACUUCCAUGAAAUUUACUCUCAUCAAAUUAUCAACGAUGACUUUGAACUUCAACUCCAUAAACAAAAGAAAAAAAUUUGCUAUACAAUUCUUCGAAAUUGCCGUUGAGGCCAACAUCAGUGAAACUUCCAUGAAAUUUAUUCUCAUCAAAUUAUCAAUGAUGACUUUGAAUUUCAACUCCAUAACCAAAAGAAAAAAAAUUGUUGUACAAUUCUUCGAAAUUGCCAUUGAGGUCAAUUGACGUACUUCAACCCAGAAUGUUCACCUGAACUUCGAGUCGAGCUGUGCUGGCCGACACCCGAAAAGUGGCGAAGCCAAAAAGUGUACUGAUGUGGAAAAUAUGGAUAAAUUUAAACUUAAAAGUGACUAAAUUCAGGACUGCGCAUGUGAACGGGAUUGAACCCAAUUCACACGUGUUGUCAUUCUAUAUGUAAUAUAGUGUGUGUGUGUGUGUGUGUGUGUGUGUGUGUGUGUGUGUGUAUUUGGAAACUAUACUUGUUUUGUGGCAAUUUGUUAUUACGUUUUUGAAAAAGGUUUUACAAAUCUUUAUUUUCAGGCCCACUCACCCUUGUUUUUAAGGUUUUAGUGGCAGAACUUUCGUGUCGACGAGGAUUCUUGGCAAAUGUUGAUAUAGGAGAGUACCUUCGAUGGUAUAAUUCUUAUUCCACUUUUAUUGUACUUUACUUAUGCUUUGACAUCACAUAUGAAUUGGGUUCAAUCCCGCUCACAUGUGCUUUCUUGCAUUCAGUCGCUUUUAGGUUUAAAUUUAUUCAUAUUUUCCAUAUCACCGCACUUUUUGGCUUCGUCACCUUUCGGGUGUCACCAGCACAGCUCGACUCGAAGUCCAGAUGAACAUUCCGGAUCAGGGUGUAUCAUCAACAUUUCAUGAAAUUUAUUCUCAUCAAAUGAUCAAUGAUGAUUAUGAAUUUCAACUCCAUAACCAAAAGAAAAAAUUUGCUAUACAGUUCUUCGAAAUUGCCAUGGAGGUCAACAUUAGUGAAACUUCUAUGAAAUCUAUUGUCAUUGAAAUUAUCAAUGAUGACUUUGAAUUUCAACUCCACAACCAAAAGAAAAAUUUUGCUAUAAAAUUCUUUUAAAUUGCCGUUGAGGCCAACAUUAGUGAAACUUCCAUGAAAUUUAUUCUCUUCAAAUAUCAAUGAUGACUUUGAAUUUCAACUCCAUAACCAAAAGAAAAAAAUUGCUAUACAAUUCUUCGAAAUUGCCAUUGAGGCCAACAUCAGUGAAAUUUCCAUGAAAUUUAUUCUCAUCACAUUACGUAUUGAGAUGUGAUGCUAGAAAGCAUAAAUUGUUGUUGGCUGAGAGUUUAUAGUUGUAAAAUGUCACUAGUGUCAACUUGAAGGUAAUAAUUUUUUGUUUUUAAAUUGGGUAAUCAAAAUUUAUUUGCUCAGGAUGUGAUUGUUAAAAAAUGCAAUCUCACGUCUGAAACUUAAAAAAUAAAAAAAUAAAAAUUACAACUCAUAAUAAAUAAUUUUAUAUUGGGAUUAGAUAUCUGUGAUCUAAACUUGUAUUGCACGGUUAAAAAAAAUAUUCUCUGCACGCCUAGAGAAACUGCAACAGUACGAGAAAUUUGUAAUGGAAUUUUAAGAUAAAGCAUCUUAAAUCAUGUUUUUUGAAAUUUGAACAAAAACUACUAGAGAGAAUGUAGAAGCUCUGUAUAAAUAUAACUACAGCCAUGCCAUUAGGAGCUCAUUUCUCUGUCCGCAUAUUUAGAAUUCGUAGCGGUUUUGUUAUCCUAAGAGCAAGAUACACGGAGUGUGAACGGAGAUAAAUCUUUUAUAAUUUGUUCAUAAAUUUUAGUUAGCAGCUUAUUGGGAGAGUCUAUUAUAGAUACUUUUAGUAUAACAACGAUGCAUAGAUGCUAGUGAUUAACAAGUAAUUUUAGUUAUUAGCAAAUUUAAGAGAAAAGAAGUUUCAAAGUCUGAUAUUUAUUUUAGUGACUAAAAGAAUGACGAGACUAUGAGCCUACUUGAGAUUGUUUCUCAAAAGCCUAAAAGCUUUUUCAUGAAACACUUUGAUAUAAAGUCAAUAAAGAAAAGAAAUUAAAAGACUGAAAAGAAGAAAAAAAUGGUCGUAACUUCGAUGCUUUACUGAAAAGAAGAAAGAAUGCAUGUGUGUGUGUGUAUAUAUAUAAAACACAAAAACUACACUCCUUUAAAUAGAUAAACUCUAUAUAUUACAUAAAAUAUAAAACAUCCAACGAUAUAAGAUAAACCUAAUAUUUAACUUUCUUAGUAUGAUAGCACUUGACCUCUCAUAUCAAAUUUUAUGAGUGGUAGUCGUACAACUCUUGAACACUUUCAUUUCACACAAAGUAUAGUUGUAUUCAGUCAAUUCGAAGUAGACCGGAAAGGAUUAGCAGGUACGGUUAGAUUGUCACCCUCUCCUUCUAACAUUUGAAUAACAACUUUCAUGGAAGGGCGAUCUAUGGGGUGCCAUUGGACGCACCAUAGACCCACAAUAGCUAGCUUCUUUGCAGUUUCAGCAUCUCCUCCGUCCUCAAUGUGAAUCCGUAGGUCGUCCCCUUGUUCUAAAAGGUUAUAAAUCCAUUCUGGGAAGUAGACUUCGCUGCUGGUGGAGUCCUCUUCCAUGAACUUAAAGUUUUUUCUUCCCCCGACCAUUUCCAGCAGCAACAUUCCAAAGCUAUAGACAUCUGACUUGUAGGACACGUUUCCAAAGUUCCUAGAGAACACUUCGGGCGCAAUGUAGCCAAUGGUCCCUCUGAUGGUAGUCAUGGAUACUGCGCUUUGAUCUCUAGAGCACAACUUGGCGAGACCAAAAUCGGAAACUUUUGGGGUGAAAUUCUGGUCUAGCAAAAUGUUGUGUGGUUUGAUAUCGAAAUGGAGGAUUCGGAGGUCACACCCUUGAUGAAGAUAUUCAAUUCCUUUGGCUAUACCUAAAGCAAUCUCAUGCAACUUAUCCCAACCAAGGAAAGCGCUUUUACUAUCUGCUGAUGAUAAGAUAUUCUGUAGUGAACCAUGUGGUAGAUAUUCAUACACAAGAGCUGUUGUGUACCCAUCAGCACAAAAACCAACCAUGCGAACCACAUUGACAUGGUGGACUCGACCCAUUGUUCCGACUUCAUUUAAAAAAUCUUCUCCUUUUUCAUUAGAAUUGUUGAGGAUUUUCACAGCUACAAGUAAGUCGGAGGAAAGCUGUCCUUUGUACACUGUUCCAUAGGCUCCUUGACCUAACUUUUCAUUGAAUUGAUUUGUUAUCCUUUUAAUAUCAGCGUAGGAAUAUCUACUUGGCUUGUGUGCUAUGUAAUCGUCCAAAAAUCUUUCAAUCCUCAACUGAUUUGUUUUCUCUAUUUUGUUGGAGCUAUAAACACGGUAAAUGAGAGUCCCCACGACUGUUACAACCACAGAAAAUGUGAAAAUACCUGCGGAUACAGAAGAAACUCUGCGUUAAGAACCAACCCAUUUCUAAAUUAAAUUAAAAUAAAUCACAAUUGCCUCCAACUGAUAAAGCCCCCAGAAAUCAGAACUGAAUUUAUAUUAAUACUUAUACAUAUAUAUAGGGUUCUUUUGUGGGGAAGUUAACGUGUCUUUUAUCCGGAUGCUGGCACUGAGUUUUGAACUCAUAAGGUUUUCUUGUACCUUAAAAGAAGAACCCUUUCAAGGAUGGGAUCCAAAACUUGAAAAACAAAUGAUGAAAAUUGGUGCCUGUUGAAGCAAGUUCCGACUAGGACCCUAAAAUAUAACAUACUGGCAUGAGGUUCAAUAAUCCAAACCGUCUUGGAUUUAGCUCUCCAUCUAAGAUUUAUGAUUAUGGAUCACACAAGUGUGCAAAAAUUAACCUAACUAUUAGCAGUUCAAAUUCAAUCUUGUAAAAAUAGUGCUUAUAUGUGAACAACUUACCAGAUAUCUCUAAGCUUGUCCUUCCACGGGUACUAUCUGUAAAAACAGGUUAAUUAAGUCAAUAAUUAGUACUUUUGUUAUCAAAAGAAUAAAAUACUUGAAGAAUUGUUUGCAUAAAUCUUUGUUUUCAUUUAAUAUAAAAAGUUCGAAUAUAUUCUUUGAGUCCAAAUUUGUUGUAUAUAUUGUCUGCACAAACUAGCUAAUUAAAACCUUGUCAAUGUGAAAAAGAGGGAAAUAUUUGCCGGCAAAGUACUGCAACAAGUCAAGUUAAAUGGGAGAUUAAAGGAUACCUUCGCUCACGCAUUCAGUUUCUUCAGUCUGAUUAUCUGUGAAAUUAUAUUGACCAAUGGUUCUCUUCAGUCUGCAAGGCUUGCCCAUCUCUUCGCAAGGUCCACAUGAUGGUUUGGACCACUGCAGCUUCAGAGAUCUGUAUUCUUUCACUGAUGAAAUAUCUGGAACUGAUGUGUAGUCAAGCUGCUUGGUACAAGAAACUAGGUUCAUUCGACCAAUGGAACACCGGCCGUCGACAGCAUAGUAGUAGGUUUGGUUUUCAGGAUUGUCAACGCCGUAAGGGCACCGACUCAGUUCAAUAAGACAAUACCCGUCCGUUUCAGGUAAUGGUGACGGACAACUGAAUAAAGUAGAAUUAGUACCAAACGGUCCAUGCACAAAUUGAAAGGUCGAGGAAGAGAAAAUAUCUUUCGGCAGGCAAUCAUUUUGGGAAUAUACUCUGAUUUCUUGAGAUGCGUAGUUAAUCGUUUCAACGAUGAGCUUGUUAGAUGAGGAUGGCAUCUCAAGCACAGUUCGGCCGUCGGUGGUGCAUGAUAGAUCAAAGCCAUGGUAACCGCACGAGAAUGGCUGUCCUUUAAGUCGAAAUGGGAAUCGGAUGGCUGGACCGUGGUGUUCACAGUGUCUUACUUUGCAGUUUUCAGGGACUACUCUGUCGCCAUACACUGUGCUUACAAAUCCAGCAUCUGCUAUCAUGAGAAACCAGCACAAGAAAUUGAUCAGAAGCAUUCUAUCCAAUGAGAAUAUUGAUUGUAGAAGUUUGGUAUCUUGGUAAUUCAUAUAUAUGAUUGUAUAUAAGAUAUGGGAUUGCAGAAGUCCCCUAUGUUUUGGGUAUAAAUAAUAAUCUCUUUUUAUAUUCACCCCUUCGUUCCAUUUCCUACCCCCAAAAACGGUUUUCUAAAUUUUUUUAAUCUUCCACCCAAUUUUGUUUUUAACUUCAAUUUGAAGGACUUGGUCGUGAUUUGCUUAUGGGUUAUUACCAUCGUUAUCAAAUAAAAACUUUUAGUCGCUUUUAUGCAACUGUUACUCGCCAUAACAUGAAACUGGAAUGCUGGAAACUGUUUCUUCCCCAGAUGGGCAGGAUCAACCCAUUAUUAUACAUGUUAUUCCGAGUUAGAUGAGGUGGGUUCUGUGGUCGUGUGGCUUCAAUAUUGGUCAUUCUACAUUGAGUAAUGCUAGGUAGAUUAACACUUUAGUAAUAAUCCAAUUAUCAACUUUCAUGUCAUUGAGUUUACAAAAUUUAUUCUAUAAAUUUAAUCUCUCUAACAUUACCCUUCUAGAAUUUGGAGUUGUCAAUAUAGUUUGGUUGUGCAAAUUUGUUCUCUUUAGUUUAGCCUUGGUUGUUGUUGUUGGAAUUAGUAUUGAUGAGACUUGUGUUUUGCAUACGUCUUUAAUGUAUUUUUAAAGUUUUUGCGAUAACUAUGGUUGUUAUGUUGAAAAACUAUUUAUUAAAGUUUUUUUUUUCAUUCAAUAAAAGAAAAAAGGUAAGUGAUUUUUACAUACGAUUUUUCUUCUCCUACGUACACAUGUAUAUGUACAUUUCUGGCCUUUAAAAAUAAAAAAAAAUAAAGUGCAGAAAAUGAAAAGAGAGUGUGUGGGAAAAAAAAUUAUAUAUAUAUAUAUAUUUUAUUUUAUUUUUUUAACAAAGGGAAAGGAUAAUACUUGGAUCUUCCCAGGAAGUACCUAAUUUACUGACCAUCUUACAGGCCAAUAAAUUUAAAACACCUAGCAUUUUAACUCUCUUCUAAUAUUUUUCUAUCUCUGUAACCAAACACAUUUUGUACCCGAGAACCCUCUCUUCUUCCCAUCUUCUUUCCUUGCCCAGCCCAACCCUUCACCUUCUCCGGCGACCAUCUCCAUGCCUAUCGGGAGUUUACUAAUUGGGCCACAAGUGUACCCACCGGGGAUAAUACUUAUUGGGCCACUUAAGAGUGAGUAAAUUGAAUAAUACUUGGGUCCUAACCUAUCAGGAUCAAAAGUGUACGGACCACUGACAUGGUCCAAUAAUAUAAAGAUAUCUGUAAUUUUAAAACGGGUUGUGCUAUUUAUAGAUCUUUUUUUUACUUCUUACACACUUUUUGUUAAUUUUUAUCCAUUGAUCUUCUUCAAUUCAUCCGAUAUCCGAUCCGACGACCGAAAAUUAAAAGGCUGUAUGAGAAGUAAAAAUACAUGUUUGGAUAUCACAGCCCUUUUAAAACACCACUAUUCUAGUAACCAAACACCUUGAAGUCCUAAACUCAUAACCCAUGACCAACAUCCAGAUUCCCUCCUCAGUGGUCAUCGACCGAUGCCCCACCUUUUCACCGCAUUCCCUCCCCAGCAUCUCUCUCUCAUCAGAGUCUGCAAUUCUUUUGAACUUCAAAGUUCCAAACCUCUUGUCUUCCACAACCUCCAAUUUCGCGGAUUUCCAUAACCCAAUUUUACCGAGCUCAGAUCUGGACGCCGGAGAGGGAUUGAAACUGACGUCGCCGGAGAAAAGAAGGAUUGGGAGUGGUCGGGAGUGAGACGGAGUGCGGGGGUUGCUGGAGAAAGAAGGGUUGAGGAAGAAGACUGGGUGAUUGGUUACAAGAAUAAGCAAGUGUUUGAUUGAGUUUCACUUGACAGGUGGAAUAAUUUUAUUGGACCACGUAAGUGGUCAGCUUGUCAGUAUUAUCCUAGUUUUACUCGUCUCGUGGGUUUGUCUUUGCUUCGUUUGUCAUAAAUAAUGGGCUCCAAGCGGCCAAUUUAUAUCUGAAUUCGCCCCUUUCUUGCCUUAAGCCAAAAACCCUUGCUCCCCAUUAAGCUUUUUUGCCCUCUUCCAUAAUUUUGAUACAUUUAUAUUCUCUUUUGCCAUGUGUAGAGGAAGUCUCUUACUAGUUGCAUAUGGAGCCCUUCUUCUACUCUUUCUUCUUCCCUUUAUUUGUUCCCAAACAUCGAUACCUGAAAAUAAUUCUGAUUGUACUCUUUCUUGUGGCAAUAUUGACAUAAGCUCUCCAUUUCGGUUAAAGGGAGACCCUCAACACUGCGGCAACCCUACGUAUGAGCUAACUUGUGAGGAAAAUGUUACAGUCCUCUACUUGUAUAAGCGAAAGUUUUACGCCAAGGCGAUCAAUUACAACAACCUUACAAUCCGAGUUGUGGAUGCUGCUGUUCAAAAGAAAGAUAACUACUACUCCAUCCCACGUUACUCUUUAACCUCAUCCAACUUUAGUUCUGGGUAUCCUUACAGCACUUAUCUAGCCCGACUGACGUGGAGUUCAAAUAGCCCGGACAUAAGUUCUAGUUACACGGCACGGCCUAUAAUUUUUAUGAACUGUCCAAAUCCAAUGCAUUCUCCUGGCCUUGUAGAAACAGCUCCAUGCGUCAAGGACGGCACCUAUUCUUCCAAUUCUUCUCUGUCCAAUGGUUUAAGAAUGUUUUCCUAUUCCAUCUUUGGCUGGAAUGGCUCCAUAAGUUCAUUGGAUUUGGGGGAGUCCUGUGAACUAACGCAGAUGCUUAUGGUCUCACCUUCGUUAUCCGUACAAGACAUGCAUCAACACUUGACGUCCUGUGAAGGCAUAUAUAGUGAAAUAGCGCAUGGCUUCGAGCUUUCAUGGUUUGACCAGGCUUGUAGCACCUCAAACUGCA